CUUUUUUUUUUUUUUUUUGUUUUUGUUUCUUGUGUUAUUUUCCAAACAUUUUCAUGGAUUUUUUUUUUACUUUAAAUAUAAUUUAAUGACAUAACAAAUAAAAAAUAUAGAAUUCACUGAAAUAUAAAAAAUAAUAAUUUUAAAAUUUAAAUAACAUAGGACAUAUUAACAACCUAAAUUUGGAAGAUAAAAAUAAUAUGUAAAUUUAAAUAUUGAGCGGACUAAAAUUUAAAAUUAAAUUAAACAUAUAAAUUUUAAAAAUAAAUAAAAGUACAUUCUGAAAAUUUGAGAAUUAGCAAGAGAAGAAAAAAAAUUUAAAAAUAUUGAACAUAUAUUAAAGAUUAUUAAAGAGGCCGAAAAAAUAAAUUAAAAAAAACAAGUUAAGAAGGAUGAAAGAGAAAUAAAAUAGGGAUUUUUGCAAAAAAAAAAAAAAACAAAUUAUGAUAAUAUAAUUUAUGUCACAAUAUUUUCUAAAUUUGUAAAAGUAGCAAAUUUAAAAAUAAUGAUGAUAGUUUUAUAAUUAUCGUCUGAUAUCAUCGUAAUAUGCAAAAGAAAAAUGAGUUGAAUGUUUUGAGCUGUUUUUUUAAAAAUGUUUUUGUUAUUUGAUGCAAUCUUUUAAUAAAAUAAUCUAUUAAAAUUAUAAAUAGCCUAACGGUGAAUGUAGACCUAUCUCCUCGGCCAACUAGAAAAUAGAGACUAUGGAUAGUAGUUUUUCUAUUUUUGUUCAAUUUUUAGAAGCUUUAUUAAAUUUUGAAAACAAAAAAAAUGAGAACCGUUUCCUUGAAAUUCUCAUCAUAUUUUCUGAAAUCUGAAGUCUGUUUUUGAUAGGUCACAUUUUCUCUCUUCCAAGGAAAAAUCCAAAUUUCACAUUUGUGGAAUUCACAUUUGGUUUGUUUUAAGGAUUUUUUUCCCCAUAGAUAAUGAAUUGUUAAAACAAAAGGGGGAUUUGAAGGCAAUAAAUAAACACAAAACCAAUACAACAAUACAACAAAAAGAAAACCUAAACCUAAAGGGGAAUAAAGCCCCACACACAACCUUACAAAGAGCGGUUCCAAGGAAGAUACUCCACACCCUUUUAAUCGUAUUGCUGUUUAUAUUUAUUGAAUGUGACGGUCCAUUUACUAACCACACCUUCAAAACAUAUUUAAAGCAUACUUUUCAUUAUGAACUCAAAAACGUAUACUUUAUUUGUUUUGAGAGUCUAAUUAGGCGCAAUUUUUAUAACUAUCGAUGGUAAAGUUUGUUGGAAAGAAGGGAAAAAAAAAAAAAAGAGCUUUGCCGACACAUAUGAUACUAAGUUUUUAACUUUAAUAAAAUAAAAAGAUGAUCGGUCAAUGCGAAGACAAAUGGCUUCCGGACAAAAUCCCCUCCACGGCCCACUUGCCCACAUUAACUUUCAUUAUUAUUAGGAUUAAAUGCUGUUUUUUCUUUGUUGCUCCUUUUCUUACUCACCCAUUUGUUCAUCAUUCCUGACAAACAAACAAGAUCCGAUCAAAAAGUAAAGUAAACCAACAACAAAACACUGCUGCUGCUCUCCAUUUAACUAUUGCUUCUCACCCAACAUACCAAUUACACAACACCCCUUUGAUUUAAUUCCCAAAAUCCUGCUCAAUCAUCGAUUAUAACCUCUUCCACUUUCCUUCUCUUACAACAGUUUUAUUGCGUACAUCAUAUUCAAACCACCUGCUUCAACUUCAAAUUGGGGUCACCUGAUCGGAUCAAAUCCCGGCCACUCUCACUCCCACUCCCACUGGGACAAUUAUUUUGGAUGUUGGUCAGAUUAUACGGCGACCUAUCCAGAGCCAACCACUGCUCCACCGUGAACAGUUGUUGAUCGCACGGGCUAUGAACCCCUGUUGUGGUCACCUCCAGAUAGUUGCAGUACCAACCAUGGUGCGGACCCGAUCCAUCAGAGGUCAGGUUCAAUGAACACACGGGUCCGCUCAGGCAUGGACCUCUUCCACUGAAAAUAUCGAGAUUACCUCUCUCGAAGUAGUUGUAGCCGGGUCCCAUCAACCCGCCCCAUUUCUCCAGAUCCAUAAUCCUGAUUCCAUCCCCGGCAGCCGUGUAGAGCGUGGCGGUAAUCACCGAGUCCGUCCCUGCUUUCAGGAUCGACCCUGUUCUGAUAUACACCGUGUACACGCAAUCUGGAUUCUGCAUCAAACAAAUCCAAAAUGUACAUCAGUUAUUUUUAUUUCUUUCAAAGGGCAAAAAAAAAAAAAAAAAAAAACGGAGGAGAGUAAGUGGAAAUACAUCGGAGAAAGCUAUGGCAGAGAAGGAAAGGAGAAUGGAGAAGAAGAGGGCAGAUUUGGUGGCCAUGGUUGUGUUGUGGAAUGAUGAGUAUGUUUUGUUCUUGUAGAUAUUAUUAUAUAUAGAAAAUCUAAUUGCUAAAACCAUGCCAACUCAAUUGAGAUUCAUCGGACGGCUGCAAUCAUUUGAUGGCCCACUAUUAAUGGUGAAUGUCAACAAUUUGAUAAUCUUUCAAAUGAUUCAUCCAAUCAUCUGUCUCCACGUACUCACAAAUAAAUGGCAUCGUCUCGAUUCUUCCGAUUUCUCCCUCUUCUUUUCUAAAUAAAUGACAAUAACUACUGACUCAGUAUAUUAUGAAUCCAACAUAAUUAAUCCUCAAAAUAUAAUGCUUGUGAGCAUUUUUUAAAUGUUUCAAUUACUUUUUAUUUCAUCUCACACCACGAAGACCUAAAUGAGAUGGGAAUGGAUGUAGGAUAAACAUGUCAUCGUUUGGUUCAAGUUUUCGUAGAAUCCAUUAUAUAAAUGUCUAUGAACUAUACUCAUUCAAAAUUAUAAGUUUGCAUGGCUAAACACUUGAAAUUCAAAUUCGUCGAACAUUUAACUCUUAGUGAUCCCGAUCCAAAUUGGCUCAAACUCACCUUGUGAAUCUUAGCAAAACAUUUUCUGUCUUUAGUCACGAUCGAACACAACUCUAUAAUUGCUUUAAGAGCCCUUAAAUUUUCUCUUUUAGCCUUCAAUCCCGGUCGAAAUUGUCUUAGAGAUGGCUUAAGAUCUCCUUAGACUUGUUUCUCUACGUCCAAUCUCGAUCGAACUUUGUCUGAUAUUGCUCAAGUUCCCCUGUCCUUAAGCAUUCUUUCCUUCAUCUCGAUCGAAAAAGCACCAAUAUAGUCUCGAGAUCAAUAUAAACUCACAGUUGGUUAAUGACCAAUAUGAUUAACGUAAUAAGAACUAAUUUUUUAAAUAAUUUUAUAACUAGUUUACCAUUAAUUAAUUAUAAUUUAGUACUUCCUAAUUAUAUACCUUCAUCAAAUUUAUCUUAUCAAAUUACUCGUUUUACAAAUACUAGUAAUUAAUAUUAUUAUUUGAUUGUUAAUAAUUAAAUUUUCUUUAAAAGUAUGAAUUUGAAUGUAUUAAAAUUUGAAUGUAUUAAAAUUUUAUUAGAGUUUUCACGAUUAAUUUUACAAAUAAAAUAUAUAAAAAAAAAUUCGUUUAUUCUUAACCAAUCACAGACAUCCUUAAUUAUGAAUGUAAUUCCAAAUACAUCAAUUUAAACGGUUCUAUAUUAUUAACCGAUUGAUAACAAAUUGACUAAUAACUUACCACUUGUAAGAAAUUUAAAUUUUGAUUAGAGACGUUCAAGCUAUAAAAAAAAUAUUUAAUCAAAUUAGUUGAGAAAUCUUAUCAAUGCCUUAUGCUUUAAAAAAUAAUUUUUUAAAUAAUAUUCUGUAUUCUGUAAUCUCCAUUUAUCAAUUUCAAAAUCUAUUGCAUAUUUACUAUUUUGCAGUCUUCAUUUUUUAUUAUUUGAUAGGGUUUUAGCUAUUUUUUAAAAAAUAAAAUAAUAUGCAUUUAAAAAAAAUAGAAACAAUUAAUAUUAUAAUUUAAACUAAAAUAUCGUGGAGAGCCAACUUUCACAAUUAUAACUCAACUACAAUUAGUUAGGUAGAUGAUAAAUAUAAAUGUGACUUUUUAAGUUUAAAUGUAUUUAUGAAAAUUUUGAAAAUUUUAGGGACAUUUUUAUACCAAAUGUAAAAUUGAUAGUCAUCUUUUUUUUUUUUUUUAUUGUGUAAUUUAGCCUAAGAUUAAAUGCUACCUUUUCAUUAUUGCUCCUGUUGGUAAUGGAAAAUAUAAACCAAUUAUUGUUCAUCAGACAAAAGAUCGGAUAAAAAAUAAAGCAAAAAGAAUACAUUACUCUCCAUUAAACUAUUACUUCUUCCCCAACAUACCAAUAACACAACUCCACACAAAAACCACAUCCAUUUGGUUUUAUUCCCCAAAAUCCUGCUUAAUCAUCUCGAUCAAGCCCUUAUUCUACAACAAUUCUAUUACAUCAAUCAUAACCCACACCACCUACUGCAAUUUCAAAUCACCGCGGAUUCCACUCCCACUCAGACACUCAUUCCGGAUGGCGGUCAGCUCAUAAGGCGACACAUCUAAGGCCAACCACUGCUCCACCGUGAACAGGGUUUGCUCGCACGGCAUGUGGACACCCGUUUUGGUAACCUCCACAUAGUUGCAGUACCACCCAUGGUGCGGACCCGAUCCAUCGGAGGUCAGGUUUAACGAACACACCGGUCCGCUCAGGCAUGGACCUCUUCCGCUGAAAAUGUCGAGAUUGCCCCUCUCGAAGUAGUUGUAGUCGGGUCCCAUCAACCCGCCCCAUUUCUCCAGAUCCUUAAUCCGGACUUCGUCCCCAUCCGCCGAGUAGAGCGUGGCGGCAAUCACCGAGUCCGUCCCUGCUUUCAAGGUCGACCCUGUUCUGAUGUACACCGUGUACACACAAUCUGCAUCCUGCAUAUAGAUCAACCAAAACCAAAAUGUGUAUCAGUCUUCUUUUAGGUUUCCAGAUGAAGAAAAAAAAACACAGUUAGUGGAAAUACAUCGGAGAAAGCUAUGGCAGAGAAGGAGAGGAGAAUGGAGAGGAAAAGGAGAGAUUUGUAGGCCAUGUUUGUGUUGUGUGGUAAUGAGUAUUAAUGAGGAGUUGUGUUUUUCUUGUAAUUGAUAUUUCUAUAUAGAGAUUUGAAUCACCAAAACCACGACAGCUCAUCACAGAUUCAUCUCUGCUUUAUUAUAAUCCAUGGCCAUCUUUUUCCAUCUGAAAAUAUCAUUAAUUUUAUUUAAGUUCUUAAAAAAUAUUAAGUUACUAUUUUAUUUCAUAAUAGAUAGACCUAUUGUUUACGAGUUUUGGUAACGAAUUGACUAAUGAUAUAUAAUCCAUCUAACAAGUUUAAAAAUUGAUUAAACACGUUAAAAUAAACAUUUGAUCAAAUUAGUUGAGAAAACCUCAUGAAUAAUAAUGUUAUGCUUAAAACAGUAAUUUUUUUUCAAGAAAAUGAUUUGUUGAUUUUGAAGUGACGUACAGUUGAUUGGUAAGUAGUAUAAUAUUUAUGCAAAUUAAAAUUAAUAAAUGAGAAUAUCUUAUGGAGAAAGGCAAUGAAUAUAUUCCAAAGGACAUGUGAUGCACGUUGUUGUUCUCUAAACACUGAUCUUCAACUUCCACUUGGUCAAUGCUUACCUUAGAGUAUUACAAAAGCUGCCAAACCUAAAAUAAUACCCCCCAUCAAUUUCAUCUAUUAUUCAAUUUAUCUUUACCCAUUUACCCAUUCAAUUAAGCUUAAAUGGUAUUUGAGCAAGUUGGUUUAGGAUCUUGAUGUUUCUGUAUUUACAUAAAAUUGAGAUUUCAAUGUUCCUAUCUUCUCUUUCACUGCUCCUUGAACCAAAUUAUUCAUUUUCAAGAAUAUUUCACCUAUUAAUAUGGCAAAAUAUGUCAAAAUCUACCAAUGGUAGGAGCCCAACUAUGCAGCAAAUAUGGGUACAUUAAUAAUAAAUCAUGAGAGUCUAUUUAAAAAAAUACAUACUUGGAUAAUUAUUUAAAAAAUUGUUGUUGAUUAUACUUACCCCUAAAACAUUUGUCAUCUGCCAGAAUGGGCUUUAGGAAGGGACUCUCCAUGUUGGAGGCCGAACCCAACCAAUUCCAUUGUGUUGGACACGCGUUUGGUAAUGGAUUUUGGGCCUUUAGCCCAUUUCAGAAUUAGUUAAAUAUUUGGGCUGGAUCAAGGAUAAGGCACACCCAACCAUCGGCUCGAUAUUAAUGAUUGCGCUGAGCACACUACUUUUAUAUCAUAUUAUUUCCUUUUUCAUAUAAGAUAAAAGUUGAAUGAUCAUCCAAUACUAUGAGCACAACACUUCUAUGCUUCCUGCUAUUCACCAUUAAAACUUUUGAGUUAGCGAUAAAAUAAGUAACAUUGUCAAUUUUAGUAAAAUGUUAAAGCCAUGGUUGAAUGGAAUAUUCGUUUAUCUCGAUCCACAAAGUCAAUGAAAUUUCUCUUCUAACCUUUUGAAAAGUUCUCAUUUUUAUCAUAAAAAAUCUUUGUGUUAAAUGUUAAUUAUAUAAUUACUCUCGUCACGGUAUAAAAUCAGUGUCUCGUCACUGUAUAAAAUCACACUGAUUAAUUGAUUGAUGUGGAACCAAGAGCUAAUUUCUUCAUAUAUUUUUGUAAGCUUAUAAAGAGAAAUGGAAGGUUAAGGUUGAUAAUAUAAUAUCAAUAUAAGCUAUAAUAGUAUUUCUAAAGUUUGUAGAUUGUGCGAUUCUCUAAAUCCAUGAUUAAUUAUUUGUUAGAUAAACAAUACGUAAAUCUAAUGUUAAUGUGUAAAGCAGAUAUCUAGGGAAAAAGGAACUGGAAUCCAUAUAGGUUUUAUUAAUUAUAAUAUAUAUGGAAAAGAGUAUAUAGUUGUGUAAUGUAACCUAAUAAUUGUGAUUGUUUAAGCGAGAGAGAAAAUAAAGUGAAAUAAUAUAAGAAAAGAAAAUAUGUAUAGUAUUGGUAUUGAAAAAGAAAAGGGAGAAACUUUAAAAAGGGAUGUUACAGAAAGGAAGGGAACUUUACAAGUGUUAGAAUUUAGAACACUGAUGGGUGGACAUUUCAGAACUUAAAAACUUUGGCUUUUACUUUACAACAAAAACACUUUAUAACUUGGCUAAUUUAGAAAUUAUUCAAACCAAAAAAAAAAUAAAAAGGGUUUUGUGUUUCCCACCUUUUACAAAUCAACAUCUCCACAUGGUUAGUUGAAAACCCUGCUUCUCCAUUUUUAUAUAUAUAAUAACCCACCUCUUUUUAUUUUCCUUUAAUUUCUUUCCCACUUCCAAAAAAUUAAAAUAAAUAUGCAUGGCAUGGGCAACAUUAAAAAUGAAAGAUUACACUACACUAGUUGAGUCUGGAAUGGGCAAUAAAUAUAUAUAUUCAUAUAUACAAAAGCUGCUUGUGUGUAUCCAUUGAGGCAAUCGAGGCAAUGUUCGAAAUAUGGUUCUGAAUCAAUGAAUCAAAGAGAAGAGAUGAAGGAAGUUCUUUUUGUAAAUCAGUUAGCUGCAGAACUCAUUUAUGACAAUUCAUUGCAUUGUUGACUGAUACCAAAUAAAUCUAAAAUUUGCAUUAGGCAACGUGUCAACAAAUAAUGAACAGAAGAAGUAGAUAUUAGGAGAUGAGUAGAUAGUAGUUUUUAGGAGUGGGUGCAUUUGGUUCCCUGUGAGAAAGGCAUCUGGGGGCACAUGGGAUUCCAUGUGAGUCUGAAUUUAAAUGGCAGUGUCCACUACACACACACACACACACAAGAAAAUUAGAAAUGAAGAAAAGAAAAGAGAAGAAGAAGAAAAAGAAAACGGCUCGACCCUCAAUGCGGGGACCAACUUCACAUCACAAUAUGUGCACACACGUGUAACAUAUCUAUUUCCAAUUUAAACACCCAUUAUUGGAAGGGGAAGGGAUUUGGUUUGGUAAUGGUAGGCGCCCCCACACACACAUAUUAUUUCAAUUUCUGAUAUAAGAUUUUAUGUUUUUAUUGUUUAUGUGUGGUACCAAUAAUUGAAGCUUCACAAACGGAAAAGACAAUAGUUUUAUUUGAGUUAAGGCACCAAUGAUGGGGGGAAGUUUGAAAUAUAAAACUUAUAUUUAUAUAUUUAUAUAUUUAUAUAUAUAGUGGGAUGUGGAGUGUAUCUUUACACGUCUUAAAGAAAGCAGCAGGGGGGUAAGGGUUUUUGUUUAAAAGGUUAUAUGGAUAUUAAUGUGAGUGUGAGUGUGAGUGUGUCUCUCUAGCUACUUGUAAAACUUCCCAUGUGUUUUUCUCUCCUUCAAUUCCCCUACCUAAAGCAAAGCAACCCUUCUUUUUAAGUGGAUUCCAACUCUUCCCUUUCUCCCUUUCCCCUAAACCUAACAAUCAAAACAAACCCCAUUCCCUUAUUACUUAUUAUUAUUCCCAACCCCACACCCUCUUUUUUUUAAAUUUAAAAAAAAAAACCCUUAAGCUUUCCAAGCAGAGAUUCUCUCUUGUGGGGUUCUUUCAAAUCUAAACACACAUCCAAUACCCACCACUUUUUCCUUUUCUUUUCUGUUUCUCAUAUUCAGCCUUCUGCCCUACUGCUUUGGAGUUCCACCCAACCCAAAAGAUUAAAUAUACAACUCUCACACCCAUUCAAACACACAUAAACAGUCAUUUUUAUUACUCUUAAUCAAUAUGUAGCAUAAAGUUCUAUAUCAAAAAUAAAAACGGAUAACUAUCUAGCUUUAUCUAUUACUAGCUAAUAAAAAGUAAAACAAUUUUCUUACUUUAAAUUUGUAUUAAAUCAACCAUUUAAAUACUAUGUUGGUUGAGAUAUAUUUGUCUUUCAUACGUAUUUUUGUACUUUUGGCAUUUUUUUUUUUUGUUUGUUUGUAUGCCACUCACUCUGAAUAUUCUCUCUUGUUUAUGUAUAAUUGGCUUGCAUUAAUUAUUGUCAAGAAAUCUAAUCGGGUUUAAUUUCUUUGGAACAUUAUUAUGGUUGGAACCUUCCCAUUGGGAAGACUACCGAAGAUUCUUUCUAAUGCAUUAAUUAAAAAUAAAGAUGUAAGUGAAGUCGAUGGUAUUUAAUAAAUAAAAUGGUGCUUUCAGUUAAUCCAAAUCAUAGCCACUUCUGCUCCCUACGUAGCUACCUCCCCCCAGGGGAAGAAAAUCUCUAACACAUUAAAGCCAUUAGCUUAGCGCCAUAUAAUUGAGGCAUUUCAUCUUAACUAUACAAAAUUUAUUAAAUGUACUUUAUGGCAACAAAUUGAGAUGAGUGGUUCUUAAAAUAAUAAUAUUAGAAUUGUUUAAAGUAGAUUAGAGUGUGGAUGUGAAGUGGAUUGCGUGGUUCAUGCCGGCUUAGACGCUUGCCUACAUUCUUUUAUUUCAUUUACUUAUUUGACGUCUGUUCUCUCUCUCUCUCUCUCUUUUUAAUACAUAUAUAUGUAUAUUCUUACUUAAUAUUUGUUCAACACCUGAAAUUAAAAUAUUUAAUGGUUUUGAACAGAUCACAUGGUUCUUCGAUGCAGUAUUUUAAUUGUUAAUUUAAUAUAUGUGAUGAACACCUAUUUAAGUUAAUGGGACAAAAUAUUUUUAAUGCAAAACUUAGAAAUAGUGUACAACAAAUAUAGAGAGAGCAUGUAUGUGUUACCAAAUCUCUCCUAUGUCCAUUUUGUACCUUUUAUUUUUAAGUAUAUAUUCAAAAUAAUAGUUCUAAUUUCUUUUAUGUUAUCGCAAAUUCAACUUUCUUUUUAAGAGUAUAAACAAUGUCUCACCUUAGUCAAGAUAUGACAGUUAAUAGAUAGGUGGGUGGCUAUGUCUAUAUAUUAUAAAGAUGUGAAGUUUUUCUAAUUCGUGUAGAAAGGAUUUGAAAAGAUUCAUAAAUAUCCUCCUUAGGUUAAUUUUUCAAGUGGUUAUUUUAAAAUAAACACUUAUUUUUAUGUGUGAUUAUUUUUAUAUAUCGUUUUAGAAAGAAGAUUUUCAAAGUUUAUUUUAAAAUGUUUUUUUUUAAUCCAAAAUCUUUAAAUAAAUUUUUUAAAAAGAAAUAUUUUAUUUUCUCUUAAGCAUCUGUAAAUAAACUGAAAGACGUUUGGCCAUGUAUCUAGCUAUACGAGGCAUUCACUGUGCUCAAGUGUUACAGUAGUAUUAUAAAUUUUUAGGUAUGAACUGUAUAUGCUCCAGACAAAAGAAAACUAAAGUGGGAUUGACCAGCCUAAUUGUUAGAGGACAAGAAAAUUCUGAGAGCCCUAACAUUAUAUGCCCAUAGUUUAUGUAAUAACACGUUGAUUUUUGUCGUUAUGCAUACAAUAUUACUUUUUACAUUUGAAUCAAACGUCCUCUGAAAAAAUCACUUAUAAUAACGAAUAAUACUUCCCUGUUCGCGUUGUAAAUAAAAAAUGAAAAUUGAUCGCAAACUCUUGAUUGGAGUAAAGGAAGUGAAGGAAGAAGGUAAGGUGGAGAAGAUAAGAUAAUUAAUAAUUAGAUUAAUACCAUUAAUUAACAUGGAUUAAGGUGCAUAUAAUUGCAAAUUUUGGUUGUCUUCCUUUCCCCUGUACACAGAGUUACAAGAUGUACAAGGCCAUGAAGCCAAAGAAAAAGAAAAAGAAAAAAAAAACCAGAGUUCCCACCCAGCUACCUUUUUUGUUCUCUAUUUCCAUAUAUAUAUCUAACUAACAUAUUUUUGAACAAUUAUAAGUUACAUAUAUAUAUAGACCGACCAAUCCCAACCAACCAACCAACCCUCCUCCUCUUUUCCUUAAUAUAUAUUCUAAUUUAUUGGCUGGGAAAAAAAGAAAAGGUAUAUAUAUAUAUAUAUAUUUUAGCUUUUCCUUUCUUUUUUUCCCAUUUCCCUUUCUUCUCCUUCUUAAAUUUCUUUCACAUCUGGCACUGCCCUGGCAGUGGCAAUAUAGAUCUCUUCUUCCACUCAGCCAAGCGUUGCAAAAAGUUCAUAACCUGUGUAUAUACCAAAAUUAAUUAAAAUUCACAUAAUUAAUUUUAUAAUGAGACAAAAAAUAAGACAUUGUACAUAAUUAAAGUAUAUUUGAUGAGGUAUAUAUAAUAAAUACUUGUACUUGCCUCAGAAGGUUCCCGUAGAGAAUAAGAAGCACUCGUUUCCUUUGGAAAUUUUGACACAAGAAUGCCAAACCCUUGUCCUCUCUCUCUUAUUAUCUGCUCAAUUUUUUUUAAAAAAAUAAUUUAGAUUCAUCACGAGCAUGAAACAAAAAAUACAUCCAUUUCUUAUUAUUACUGUUACUAUUAUUUUAAUAUAUGUUGUUUACCUUAAAUGCAUCUUCAUCCGUUCGAUCAUCUCCGAUAUAUACCGGAAAAACAUCCGAACAAUUGUUGAAUCCUGUUAAUUUAUUUAUAUAAAAAAGUUAUUAUUAUUAUGAGUAGGAAAACUUUUCAUUAUUGGUAAAAGGGUGAAAAAGCUCACCAAGUGACUCUAAUAAGAAUUCUAAGGCCUUCCCUUUGUCCCACUUAAUGGUUGGACGAAUCUCUAAUACCUGCACUUCCACUUCAAAGUUAGAAGGAGGGAUUUGGAAAAUAAUAAUUAUGGUAAUUAAUUAAUUAACUUUUCGUAUAUACCUUUCUUCCUUGGGUUAGUCGAAGCUGUGGGAAAUCUUUCAACACAGAUUUAACUUGUUGGGCUAAUUCACUCCAUUUCUGUAAUAAUGAUCAUAAAAAGACAAAUUACAAAAUUAAUCACUAGGACAAGAGUAAAUAAAUAUGAACAGUAUAAAGAGGUGAUAGCAGAUGGUGACAAUGAAAUAUUCAUUAACCUUUUCUUCAACACAACGGUAGUGAACAGAGAGACAAAACUUGUUGUUCUCCACCUUAGCUCCUGGAGUUGAUUUGGUUUUUUCAACCAGCUCUUUGUAAACCUGACAAAAUAAUGAUAAUAUUAAUAAAUAUUAUGAGGGUUUCAUUUAGUUGAUUUAUUUGGAAUAUAUAUUUGGAGGUAGAGUAUUAAAAAGGAAAAUUAAUUAAUUCACCUGGUCGAUCAUGGGAAGAAACUCACUGGCAGGUUGAAAGAGAACAGAUUGGGUACACUGAAACAGUAAAAGAGAAGAUGAGGGGUAAAGAGAGAAUAUAUGUCAGGUAAAAGAUGGUAAAAAUAAAAUAAAAUAAAAAGAAGAAGAGGCAGAGAGAGUCACGCACUUUCUUGUAAUUGGAAUCUUUUGUCGGUCCUUUAAUAUCCAUCCCAUGGCUUCCUGCAUAAUACAGUUCUCCUAGUCUUACAAACCCAUAAACCUGCAAUAAUCAAAAUAAUUAAAAACACACCAUUCCUAUUUUUAUUUUAAAUUUAAUCUCAUCUCAUGUAUUUCCAAACUUCAUUUUAUACCUUGUCUCUACGUCUCCCGCUCACUAUUGCAGUAGGGAAGCUUCUCGCUACCGUUUUUACCGUUUUUCUCAUCUGUAAAUUGUUUUUAACCACAUGGAAGGAAAGUUGAGUUAUUUAUAAAAGAAGAGAGAUUUAAAAAAAAAAAAAAAAACAAAACGUAAGGUAAAUUACGGACCGCAUCGGACAUGAAGGCACGAUCUGGGUCAUCGACAAUUGGGGAAAGUGUGCCAUCAUAAUCCAGAAACAUCACUAUUUGUUUCCCUUUAGAAGCAUCAAUGAUUUGGUCAAACAUGUCCAAAGCCGAAGGAUGGUGGAGCUGUUACAUUGCACAAUAAUCAGAUCAGAUCCCACUCUUGCAUAUUAUAUAUAUUGUAUUUUAUAAUAUAAGUUUAUAGUGAUUCAUUGAGGGAGUACCAUCCAAGAGGAGUUAUUGUCAUGGUCAUGGUCGGAGAGGGAAGGAGUGGGUUUAAUACGACUUGGAGAUGAGGCUCGCAUUGAGUCCACCCAUGUCUUGAUUCUUGCUCUCCCAUCGGGCUGCUGCACCAAUUUUGUGGACCGAGAUAUUGAGAUGUAGCCACCGCCGGUGGUUGAGCUGGGGCCAGCCGGUGGCUUUUGAGCUGUUGCUUGGAAAAUCGACGAGUUUGAUACUGUGACAGUGAUGGCCAUGUUGAUGCUUGAUUUACUCUCUGAAAUUACUACAUUCGGGUUGUUCGUCAUCCUGUUUUUACUCCCCUAGUUCCUUUUUUUGUUUUUAGUUUCUUUCUCACUACUAACUGCAUCGUACCCACAUCAUGAAACGAAGAUCAGUGAAUUAGUAAUAUAAAAUUAAAGAAAAGAAAAAGGCUAGUUGGAAAUUUGAAGAAGAAGAAAACUUACAAUUGUUUUGAAAGAAGAGAGAAGAGGGAAGAAUAAUAUUAAUGGGGGGGGAGAAGCAAAGAGAGAAGAAAUGGAGAGUGAGAGUAAGAAGAGGGGGAAGAGGGGAUUUAUAGUUAAAACAAUGGGGCCCAGUUGGAAAAAUCCAGUAGGCCCCACAUUAAAAACCUCAUCCUUUUUUUUUUUUUUCUUUUCUAAAAUUUAAAAUAUUGUUAUUAUUAUUAACACUUGAGAGACGCCGUUGCUGUGGUGGGGUGAGGGUGGGGGUGGACACGGCCUUAAGCUUAAGCUUCUUCCCUUUUCUUUCUCCCUUCUUGCCAAACCGCCACUUAUGGGUUGUCUCCACGUGGCCAACAUUCCUCUUCCAAGUCAAACCAACCUGGUUUCUGCCCACGUGGCUUUUCUUUUCUUUUUAUAUAUAUAUUUGUUGAUUAUAAUAAAGUUCUCCAAAUAAUUCCUUUUUUGAAACACAAAUUAUUAAGUUCUACCAAAAUUUUGGCAAUGAAGUAGUAGAUAUCAAUUAAUUAACCUCUAAAAAAUUGUUAGAUUCAAAUUAUUGCAUACCAAUUUUCCUAAAAGAUAUCUUAAAGUGAACUGGAUUAAGCUGUAUUUAUUAAAUAACUAAAUACAUUUUUUCCUCCUAGCAAAAAAGCUAUUUAUCAUAGACUUCUGCCUCCAUUAUCUAAAUUAUUUCUUUAUCAUCAAGUGUACUACAUUAAUGAUAUUAAUUGACACUAAAAAGGAAACAAUAGGUAUAAGUAGCCAACCAUAUUGCAUUAUAAAAAGUAAAACAGAUUUUAUCUAUAAUCAUUUGAUCUUUCCUAAAACAAUAUAUACUAUAAUUACUUAAUUUUUUAGUUCAUGAAAAUUCUUCAUUUGCUCCCGUUCUUAAAAGCAUAGUAAUUCUUAACACUUAUUUGCUUUUAGAAAAUAAUAUUUCACGUAAAAUUAAGACUAAGGUAAUAUUAUUGAUGUUUUUUAUUUCUACGUUUAAAAAAUUAUAUUCACAGCACAAAUUUACUUACUUUUGUAAAAAUGACAAAAAAAAAAAAAAAGUUGAUACACAAUUGAUACAUUAUUAAUACAUAUUUGAUACAUUUGAAAAAUAGGAGGGAGAGGGGAGUAAUAGAGUGGGAGCAUUGAAAGCAGUGGAAAGGAAAAGGUGAGUGGGUUUAUUAAGGGAAGAGCUGUUUUGCGAAUUGCUAUAAAUAGUGUGAGUUCAUGUUAUGGGCGGUUGGUACCUUACCUAAAAUUAGAGAUUACAUAGAGAAACUUCGUCGGAUAAAAAACGCCCCUUGUAAAUUCCACCAAAAACAGCGGCGUCAAUAGCCCUAUGUGCUUCGCAUUGCAUUUCCCUCUCCUCAUUAAAAUAAUAAUAAUAAUAAUAUCACCAAUUAUUAUUGUUAUUAUUAUUCUUCACCAUUGUACUCUAUUUAUUAAACAUCAGAGAACUCAAUAAUUGAGCUUGUACUGACCCUUUUUUCUUUAUCAAAUUUAGUCUCUUUAUUAGAAUAUUCACCUUUUAAGUGAAAAAUUAAUUAGUAUAUAUAUAGAUGGAAAUAAAAGGUACUAAAGACUUUGAUUAUUAACACACCUGUCUCGAAUCAACCAAUCGGCCUUGACUUUCACUCAUUUUUUAAAACAUAUAUAUAUGUUUUAUUGAGAGGUAGAGAGUAAUGCAGAACAAGGACAGGGUGCCUAUCUAGCUAGCCUAACUUUUGUAAUUAUUAAUUAUUAUUGUUAUUAUUCUAAGGUCACAUUUAAUUAUGUCAAUAUUAUAAUGUAAUAGUUAAGGGGAGGUGUUUCAAAAAGUCUUUGUUGGGGUUGGGGUUUGGAGAAGGUGGAAAAGAAAGGGUAUAGGAUACAAAAAGAUGUGUGUGUAUGUGUGAGAAUUAGAGUGAAUGUGGUUUGAAACUAAAGGAAAAUUCGUCUCUCUGUACUUUUAUGGCUUCAAUUCCUUUUGUGUGUAUUAGAGUAGAGGCAGCAAAAUCAUCCAUUUUUCCUCUCUUUUUCCUCUUUUGUCCCACGCCAGGGAGAGUAUAUUCCAAAUACCCUCUACACUUGGAAAUUAUAAUAUAUACUUCUUUUCUACUAUUUCAUUUAUGUUCUUUCCUUUUUUAAAAAAAAAAUUAAUAUCAAAUUUCUAUUGAAGUAAGACUUUUGUUUCCUUUUUAUGUUUGGAAAUAUCAACAAACUUCUUUCUAACAUUCAACUACAUUUAAGAUGCACAAAUCAACUAAAAUCACACCACAUAUACAUUCAAAAGCUAACUUACAUGCCCUCUUUAACUCAUUUUGCCGAAUAAUCUUUCUAAUUCCAUAGCAUUUGGUUGUCAGAAAAUUUUAUAGGAUAUUUAAUUCUAUGCACGGGGAGUCGAUGAUCACCUUAUAUUGAACUCAUGAUCUCUUAUUCCUUUUAUAUAAAAAUAGAUCCUUAAAUGAACUAUGAGAUAUUACCAAUACAUUUACCCGAUGCAUUUUAUUUCUCAAUGACAAAAUCAUAUAAACUUUAAACGAAAAACAUUUUUUAGUCUAAAAAGGGCCAAUGUCAAUUUGUGAGAUGAUAUUUUCUUUAUUUAAGACAAAUAAAUGACAUUAUCAAUUCAUAUUGAAUAGAUGAAUAUAUCCUUGAAGUUGCAAUUCUAUAUUACAUUAAUAAAAAUCAUAAAAAUAUAAGUAAAGAAUAAUAUCAAUAGACCUAAUUACCCAAGAAUAAAUACAAGAUCACAUAAUGGUAAUGAUAACUAGAUAAUUAUUGUCUCAAUGAGUCACACAUUAAAAUUUGCUAAAGAAUUUAAAGUAUGUAUGUGGGUAUAGUAGCCUAUUUUAGAUACAUUUUUGUUCUUGAAACAUGUGGAUAGAGACAAAGUGAUUUGUCAAUUAGAUCUAGACCAUAUUAAAGAAAAAUGAAAAUUUCUUUGAAAUUAUAAAGAUACAAGUUGAAUGGAUAGGUCAAAAGUCAUAAGAAUCAAAAUCAUUUGUCUAGGAAACACGAAAAUGUAAACUCACAAUUAUUGUUCAUUUGAUAUGAGCAAAAGUGGACAAACUUAAUUCUCCAAAAAAGGUUAUAAAUAUAUUUUCCUUUUACAUAUUUUUAUUAAUUUAAAUAUGAUAUUUUUUUUCUUACAAAAUAAAGAAUAGACGUACACAAAACCAUUUAUUAGACUUUAACAAAAGUAAAGGUGAGAAAGUUGAAAACAGGAAUAAAAAUUGUGAAAUGACUAGGCAUUUCUUUUUUCUUAUAAGUGAUGAGACUUUGAUGAUGAUGAAGGUGGUGAUGAUCAUGGUUAUUCAUAAUAAUAAAUGAAAGAGAAAGAGAGUUUGUUUGGAUAGUUGUGAAAAAUAGUUCCAUUUUUUUUCUUCCUUAAAAUUGUUUUUAUUGACAAUAUAAUGUUUUUUUAAAAAAACAUUUUUUGUAUUAUUAAAAUUAUUUUCAAAAUCAAUUAUUCAAGACAAUAAAGUGGAUCCAUUUAAGUUAAUAGAAUAUAAAUGGACAAUUCUAUUUUAUCAAUUAAACAUUCAAUUAAAAAAAAAAAAACAUCAACGACAGUAACCAUAAUAUUUUAUUAUUUAUUUUAGAUAGACAGAUUUAUCAUUUAGUUUUCUUUUUCUUCAUAUUUUUAAAAAUAUAACUAUCUACAAUAUUAAUAUUGUUUUAAGGUUUGUAAGCACAUAUUUAGGAAGUUGAGAUUUCCACCUUACAUGAUUUAGAAUGAUAUUAAUGGCAUUAAUAUCUAGACAUUAUGUAUACAUGAAAACUCUUAAUUGAAUUAAAAGAAAGACACAUGUAAAAGUAAUAAUCAUGUUCUAGUUUGAAUUAAGAAAACGGAGGAAAUCCUCCUACUCCCUUUGCAAGCUUAUGAAAAAAAAGAUUAAAAUAAAACAAAAGAUUCUAAAGAACAUAUGAGCAAUAUGAGCAAUAGAGUCAGAAUGAAUCACAUGCAACAAUGUAAUUUAAUGAGUUAAAUUGUGCGACCCAAAGUCAUGAUAUGUUUGGUAGCAUUUGAUGGAUAUUUAUUCUAUUUAGUUUCACAUUAACUUUAUAGGGAUUAGAGAUAUUAUUUUAACUCAAAAAUUUAGAGUUGAAGGUUGAAGUUUGACUAAUAAAAACACCAAAGUCUUAAGCUUGAUUUAAAAAAACAAUAAAAAUAAAAAAGCAAAAGAAUUAAAAUAAUUAGAAUAUAGUUAUAAAGAAAUAGAUAUUCCAUGGAACUCGGCUGGAUCAACGCUUAAGAUAUGGAGAAAAGAAAGUGGAGUUGCAGUUGAGGAGUAUUAUAGUAUUUAAUUUAGGGCAGGAAAGCCGAACCCGAACCCAUCCGCCAAUCAAAUGUUGGCAAUCCACCCAACAAGAAACAUCCAAAAGGUUCAAAUGGUUUAGAGGGGUACGUGGCCCAAUCAGGGAUUAGGUCUUAAGAAAGACUUAAGGAAAUUAAAGAGGAAAGGAACAGAGCAUUAUUAAGCAUAAUCACACGCUGGACGUCACACGUGUGUCGGCUGUCGCGGCACUGUGUAAUGUAUACACGUUGCAGAAUUAACACACACAAAAUAAUUCAUUUAUGUAAUUAUAAAGUUUUGUUACUAAAAAAUAAUUCCACUAUGAAUGAUGCUAUGGCCGGCGGGAUUCUGGGAACCACAAACAAAUUACUCACACUCUUCUCACGUGCAGUACAGCUACUCCUUCCUUCUCUACCUUCCUCUUCUAUAUUUCUCUAACCUGUUCAUUUUUUUCACUCUACGUACCAAACCCCAAACCCCAAACCCCCCCCCCAAUCUCAUAUAUUAAUUCUAUCUUAUAAUCUUUCUAAAAUACAUUCAUUACAUUCCAAUUAUUAAUUCAUUUUUUAAAUUCAAUCUCAUUUUUAUCUAAUUCCUUCACACCUCUCUACUCUUAUAAUAUUAUUAUUCUCAUUUUUCUUUUAAUUAUGCAUGUGCCUCUUUCCUCUCACUUAUAUUCUUUGGGUUAUGCACCAAAUCAUUUCUUAUGUAUAUUAUUAAUCAUAUAGUCUGUGAGCAUUAAUUAUAAUCUCAAUUUCCAGCACGAUUUAAAGCUCUUCAUAUGUAUUACUGAAUUAAUGUGCAUUAUGUUCCUUUAUUAAUUAUUUGGAGUUUGAAACUAUAUAUUAUUUUAGUGCAUCAGAUGCGUGGUAGUGUGUAAACCAUGAUGUCAAAAUACAGAUGUCAUGACUUUAAUCAAUUUUUGCCGGCUUGGAAACAGUUAUCUUUACUUCCACUUCUCCUCUCAAAUUCUUAAAAUAAAUACACUUUUUAAAAACACUCUUACAAUUUUAAAUUUUUUUAACUUAGAUAUAAUAAGAAUUAGAAGAUUGGAUGACAAAACAUAGGAGGUGAAAGUAUUAUAUAUAUAUAUAUAUAUACAAAACUAAAUUGGUUAAAGUUAGUUGAACUAAAAAUGACGUUUAUAGAUUUUGAUUUUCAAAAUGCAAAGGAUUAAUCAAACGGAGUUAUGUAUUCUUAUUUAAGAUUAUGGUUGAUUCUUUAAUUUAAUUUUUUUUAUGUUUAUUAUUCUUUUUCACGACGGUCUUCUAAUAAAGAAAAGUUGGUGUUAUAAAACCAUAGAGUUACUGAGAAAAUAUAUCCUAUUAAAUGUUACUCAUUAUUAAUCAUGUGAGCACUACUGUGUUAUAUGUUAUAAUAAUAUAAUUAGAUAUAGGUAAAAAAUGCAUGGAAUAUAGAAUGCGUCAACAAUGACUAGAUUAUUGGUUAAAAUCCCCAUGGUUAAAGUACUAAAGAAAAGGAGUUUAGGUACAAUAUUGUGUAUCAGUCAUCUUUAAUUGACAUUGGGUUGCCUACUUGACAACUGGACUCGUGUCACCAAAAAUCAAAAUAUUUCGAUCUUAUACCAAACUCCUUUAGCAUCAAUAAUCAUUUAGGACUCACCUAAUUUUACUUUAAAAUCUAAACGUUACAUCAAAUUGUUUGAAAUAUAAUUUUCUUGGUUAAGAUUAUAUGAAAAGUCGUGUUCUUUGUAGAAUAUUCCAACAAAACCUCGAUUACAAUGCCUUUCAUUUUAUUGGGUCGGUUUGUGGACCCUUUUUCAGAGAUAUACAAUUCAUUUAUUUUCCUUCAAUAAAAUUAUUACUCUCAUUUGUCACGUACAUUUUAAUUGGGUUAGUUAGGUUUCGUUUAUUCAUUUCUAAUUAAUUGUGUCCCAUUGGAAAAUUCCACUAUUCUAUCAAAAUAUUUAGAUUUAUUGAAAAGUGGUCAUAUAUAUAUAUAUAUAUAUAUAUAUUAGAUUGAGAGUAAUUAAACUUCCAAAACAAUAUUUAACUUACUGAUGGGUUAAAGAUUAACAUAACAACGAGGCACAUUAGACAGUGAAAUUACACUCUAAACAAAGGUGUGUCUUCCUUUAUAUUAUUAUUUAAAUUUAUAAAACAUAGUAAAAAAAUUUAAGAUACAUAAACAGUGUAUGAAUUUGGGAUCAUGAAUUCUAACUAUGGCUAACUUUAGAGACUUUGAAUACAAGUAAAUAAGAUAAAGAGAAAUUAUUUGGUAAAUAACUUUGUGUUUAGGAAAUAUAUAAUCCCAAAGAAAACAAAAAACAAAAAAAAACAGAAAUUGAAAAGGACGAGUGAUAAAUAGUUUUAUAUCACAACCAGACUUCCACACUAAUAGAUGUAGUUGGGAUUUCAAAAGAGAUUUAACUAAAUCAUUUAAAUAAUAGUUAGGCUUUUUUUAAUCCUUCUAUAUGGAAGACAAUGGAAGUCUCUAUCUUCAUAUUUGUCGAUUAUAUAUAUUCUCCACAUUUAAACUUUAGGCCCACAUAAUUAGUUUCCUUUCUAAAGUGCUUAUAUAUAGUGUGUUAUUAAAAACCAAUAUCUACAAUCAUAUAGAUUUUAAAAAGUAAUUGCUGUAAUAUUUUCCUCAGACUAUUUUCAUAAAUAGCUUACUAAAUUGAUGACUAUUAAAGGAUUAUUAGAAUCCUAAAGCAAGGAAUUGAAUGAUAAUUAGAGUUAACACAUAUUAUAAUGUUGGAAAAAAGUUGAAAAUUAAGAAACACUUUUAAAAGGCAGAGAGAGACAGUACCACUUUCUUUCUUUCUUUUUUUUUUUGUUUUUGGAGUAAGACAGUGCCACUUAUGUACUUGCUAUUUGUGGUCGGCAGGUGCAUCCAAUUAAGUCUUGUUUUCGUGUCAAAAUUAAAGCCAACCUUAUGGUUUAUUUUUCCCCCCCUCUCUCUGACCUUCCUUUCAAAAUUGUCUCUUACCCUCAAAAUCAUUCCGACUCUUUUCUUUUCUUUUUCUUUUAUUAAUCUCUCGAUUCUCUCCUUAUUAUCAUAAAAUUAUUAUAGUUUAAUUAACCGGCCACUUGCUCACUCCUGUCUACAAUUUACAGCACCCCAAAGACACACCUUUAUUAUUUCAACCCACACACCACCACAGUUAGCUACUUUUGAAUUCAUAGUUCUGUGUUCACACAACACAUGCAUUUCUAUGAAAACACAAUGUAUAUUUGUCAUAUAUUUAAAACUCAUAUAACCUCAUCUCAUUUGAUCCAUUUAAUUAACAUGAAUUUCUACAUUCUACUUGAUUAUUGGUUCUUUUAGCUAGGUACAAAUAGUUCAAUGACAAAUUAAACUAAAACAACAUGAAAAGCAAGGGAGUAAAAAUAUCAGUGUGAGGGAGUAGUUUUAAAGUGGGGAAGGUGGUAAGUUCAUUAUCGUGAGAUGACAAGAAAAGAAAAGAAAGAAAAGGGAAAAAACUGAUUUGGAUAAAAGUGAUUAUCCGUUGUGAUGGAGUACGUUUGUGUGUGUGUGUGAGCUUUAGUUGAAAUUGAAAUUUGAAGAAGAAUGAAGUUGAAGAAGAAGCAUAAUUUGAAGGAGGUGGUUAAGUGAUACAUAGGUGGGACCUUCCUAGUAAUGUCCAGGUCGGUUUCAUGGAUUUCCAAGUAAUCAGAAUCUUUGUCGGGAUUCAUCAUUCUUUUUUAAAAAAAUAACUUCCAUAUAUUAUUCCCCUAAAUAUAUUUAUAUAUACAACUCCAUAAUUUCCCUCCUCAAUCACUUUAUUCCUAAUUUUAAUCACUCCUUUUUCAUAUUAAUUAUGACGACCUUAAAUACACCAAAACUUUGAUACUCUCUUUUAAUUUCUUAAUUAAACACCGAAUAUUGAUAUUUCAUCUUUCCCCCCCAUUCUAGAUCAAAACAAGCAUUCAAUUCUAUAUCCUAUCCCCAACCUUUUUUUUUUCUUUUCUUUCUUUCUGCAUGCACCGAAUAUAAUCUAUCCUAAUUUAAAUUAGUUUCUCUAAUCAUGUUUAAUUUUGUAUCAAUUACAUCGGGCCAAUGUUAUCGAAUUAAGUACACCAUGUUCAUAAUAAUAAUAAUAAUUUUGUAACACUCCCUCACCUUAUAGACAUGCAACCGAAUAAAGAUUGAAAUCUUUAACAUAAAGUAAAACAGUUUUUAGUUUAUAAUAUAAAAAAGGUGUCCUUUGCCACGAGGAAUAUAUAUAUAUAUAUGGUAUAUAUGUUAUAUAAUAAUAACCCACCACACCAUUAUCUUGGUCUAAAGAUCAAGAUUUACUAUAUAUAAAAAGAUGUUUUUGAGUAUAUAAGAACGGCUACUUUAUAGUGAAACUCCUCCACAUAUGCGCAUGCCACAAGAUAAAGUUAAAGUAGUUAGGGAAACUAGGGGGCUAAACAUUUAUUUAUUAAUUAUUUCUCAUGCAAUAAAACUAAAUUCUUGUUCCUUUUUCUUUUUUGUGUUUGGGGGAAGUGAUUGAUUUAUGUUGGUUUGAAGUGAGACGAAUAUUGAUGACUGAAAUGAAAGUUUUGUAAUUAAAAUGAUGGUGGGAGUCCUCAAGGGCAAGGUACAACAUUUCAUUUCAUUAACCCAUUUCAAUGGUUGUAAUUUAUUCAUUUGGCAUUAUUUUUACUUCUGUUAAGAAAUAGAAUAUGGAAUUUUUGAAAAUAUGUCUAUUUAUGAUUCACAUUGGAACCCAACCCUCACAUAAAUCUCUCUUUCUUUUGAACAAAAAAUGUUCCUUUCUUCCGUUGACAAUUUUAAAAUGGGACUCUUUGCCUAGCUAUAUAUAUAUAUAUGUUGAAACCCUAGAUUUUCAUUAUUGCCUUGGUAUUUUCUCAGCCAUGGAUUUUUGAUGCUUUUCAUUUCAGCCAUUGGAAGAGGUAACUUGUCAAUUUUGAUUGUGAGAAUAUAAUAACUUUAAAGUCUGAAUAUCAAAUUACUUUUAUAAGAUAAUGAUUUAAUUAGUGGGCUCAAAACAAGUAGUUACCUCACACUUAUUUCUAUAAUGUGUUACAUUAUUCUCUCAAUAUACACACGCACACAUAUAUAUGCCUAUAUAUAUAUAUAUAUAUAUUUUCCCACAAUAAUUAAAUUAAAAUGAUCGAUGCACAUACAAGUGACAUAUGAUAAGAUGUAUUCGCUUCUCUCAUUUCUUCAUAAAUGGGAAGAAAAAAACAAAAACAUCAAUCCUUCAUUACUUUAUCUUGCACAUAUUCAUAACUUUAAACAUAAAGGGUUGCAAACAUCCAAAUUGAUUUUAAAAAAAUGAAUAUGACAGAAUAAAAUAAAAUUUGAAUGAGAUAAUAUGUGUUAAUUUAUACCCAAUUGGGAAAAUUACAAAUCUAAUUAAUAGGAAGUAUAUAACACCAACCAACAAUUACAGUCAAAGUCAAAAUAAUUUGUUCCUUUAUUUGCUGCAAUAUAUUCCAGUGGUUGCUUUUAUCUAAAUUUGGACUGUUCAUGAACGUUCUAAAAUUAUGGUGUAGAGUUUAGAAUAGUAAAAAACUGUGGUCAAAUAAUGGAUGCCAUUCCCUUAUCCUUUGAAAUGAGGGUAUUAAAAUAUGAUAUAGUUAUUAAGAAUGGAAAUACUUUUGUAAUAGCUAGCCGGUGAAAGAGACACGGUCUAACCAAAAACUAAUAGCAGAGUCAUGUUCAUGCAUCCACACACAUUGCUCAAAUAUGGCAAAAAGAGACCUCUCCAAAACAGACAGCCUUAAAUAUCCAAAUUACAUGGAAUCUCUUUUCUUUCAACUCACUCAUCUUUUUAAUCCUUUCCUUACCGAAAAAGUCCAUUCAAAUUGGUUUAAUUAUUAUUGGACCACCUACGCUCCAAACGUAUUCUGAUUAUUUAUAAAUGAAAAAAACGUGUUUAUAAAUUCUUAGAAACUCAAUCCAAACGUAUCUUAAAUGUAAGGAUUACUUUAGCUAUCUACUAAAAGUAAAGCCUUCAUUUUAUUGUAAAUAAUUCUUCUAAGAUAUUUAUGAAUUAUUGCAUUAGUUGAUAUAUAUAUAUUGAAUUAUGGAAACAGAAGUCCAAAUUGUUCACCUUUUUCAAGAACAAUUAACUUAAGUCCAAACUGAAGUCCAAAUACAUUCUCGAAUCAACUACAUGAAUUGUGGGAAUUUAUAUAUAUAUAUAUAUAUAGACCAGCGCGGUACCAUGGGAGUUAAUCUUGGUGGAGUCUAUUAGAGAUGGCUCUACGUUGAUGAACAACAUAGUUAAUCUUGGUGGAGUAUUAAAAUUCACGAACAAGCUUGGAUAGUUCGCAGUUGUUGUUACAUAAUUAGUAGUUAUAUAUCCUAUUGGAAGUAAACAAUUGUUUUUAAUUAGUAUUGAGCUAGGAGAAUUCAUACACUUUUUCUUUUUUUUCUUUUUUUUUAAAAAACAAUAAAUAAAAGUUUAGCAUCAAUUAAAUAAGGAGAUGUUCGUGCAUUUAUAAAUGAAGACAGUCAUCUUUAAGGAUAUGAGAACUUUUGGAUGAAACAGAAGCAAAAUAACGAAAGACAUGUAUGCUCAAAGUAGACAAUAUUAUAUUAUCACGGAGAUAUAUGAAGUUCCAUCGUGCUAUUAACAAUUGGUAUUUUAUUAAAAAGAAAAAAUAGUUAAGAAAUUUGUUACAAACCAUGCUAGUAGCUCUAAAAUAAUUCUUACCAUACCUACAUGUACUGUUUAAAAAUUAGUUCAGCAACAAAAACCUAAUGGUUAAAAUUUAGAAAUUUAGUUGUUUGUUUAGGCAACAUAAUGAUUAUUAUCUUUCUAUUGUAAUAAUCGUGAAUGUUGGUAUAAUAAAGUCUCUCAAUACUCAAUCGUCACUAUAACGUGUCCAAAAUAUAUUUGAAUCAUCGUAAUAAGUAGCAAUUUUAUAAAUAAUAACUAAGUAUUUGGUAAAUCUUAGCAAAACUAAUAAAUCAAUAUUUGGAAUAUGCUCGUAAACUUUGAUAUAUUUGUACUAUAUUUAUAUAUAAAUAUUUUUUAUAAAGUUGUUAUAUAGAUAACUAUUUUAAAUCUAAUGGCAUUGUUUGCAAGGGUUCCAAUAUUUUGCUUAUUUGACGUCUAAAUAUGUUUUGGGCUCCAGUCUGUUGGACUUGAUUGAUUUGCUUUUUGUUGGGCCCAAACGAUGGCUAAAGUCCACGAGUUUGACAUUCCGGGCCUACGGAUCUCCAGCCCCAAUUUGAUGGAUGCACCCAAUGGAUCAAAAUUAGUUAUUAAGGUGAAUCAAUAAAUGUUAUAUAUAAUACUCAUCAACUUCAGAUUGAUUUUAAAAGUUUAUGGACAUAAUUGAAAUCGGAAGGAGAGGUCAAGUUGUUAGUGGGGGAAGGUAGCAGAAAUUAAAACUUCUUUUUUUUUUCAUGAAUGAAUAUGGACAUUAAGAUACAAAAUUAAUUUCAAACAGAUGAAAUCAGCCUUUCGUCAAGCUACUAACCUCUUUGUUAUCUGAAAAGUACACCAUUAUUGAACAUGUACAAGCAAAUAUAUAUGAUUUUCAAACUUGAUAAAUAAAUGAAUGAAAUCUUCUCAUGGAUUGAAAAUAUGUCAGACUAUACACUCAUACAUUUCUAUCAAUUGGAUUAUUUAUAGAUUUAUAUCAAUUACUUUAACACUCUAUUAAACUUCUAUUAGUUUUAAUCACUAGUAGAUUUUUUUGGAGUGUAAAGAAAGUAAAAAAAUUGUUAUAAGUUAUAAAGAGUUCGACUAAUUUUUAUAUUUUUAAAGAAUAAUUGAAGAAAAAAAUAUUUGUUUCUCUAACGUAACUUUACAAAAUACUUGCAAAGUUGAGAUAUAUUUAGAAAAAAUUUGAAUUGUAAGGAUGUUUAGAAAGAGAAGAAAUCAUAAUGAGUGAUGAAUGGUAAUUUUGGGUUGGUUUGACCUACCAAGAAGCUUCUUUAUAGAUUUAGAUUAGAUGAGAAGGGAUUCUUUUCUUCUUUUGAAAAAAGAUUAGAUGGAAAUUAGAUGCUUAACUUAGUCCUAAUUUAGCAUUUGAACUAAAUAAAGGCAAUGAAAUCGCAAAUGCCACAUCACUAGGACCUGUAAAGCAAACUAGGAUGCCUCCAAACCCUUUUUCUACCCUUAAACCCACCAUCCAUAUAUGACUUUACUGUCUAUGUUUCACAUUACUUUUAAAAUUCCAAAACCAAGGGGUGACGAAGAAUAUGAUCAAAUUUUAAGAUAUUGUUUUCUUUUCCACACAAAUAUAUAUUGAUCCGAACAAAAAGAAGAAGAAAAAAAAGUGACAAGGAAUGGCCAGGAUUCAGUUUAUUGUCAAGUUUCAACCCGGGGAUUCUCCAAAUAUGAAACGGUGACUUGAGAGAGCCCACUCUUUUUUUCUUUUUAUUACUAAAACAACAAAUGUAUUGUAAGACUUUUUCCUUUUUGUUUGUGACUCAAAAACUUUGUCUUUGGCGUCACCUAAAGAACGGGAAUAUGAUGCUCCUCUACAUCUUCCUUCGCUUCCCUACUUCAUAAUUCCUUGGCCUUACCCACCAAAUCCAAACGGGAUUGGACCCUUAAUUUAAUUUGAAUCCAACUAACACUCUCCAGAACUUUACACAACCAUGAAACAAGAAGAAGAAGAAGAAGAGACUACAAGAGACCAACAUGUGUAUAUUAAAAACACGAAGUGCACAUAAUUACAUUUUUUUUUGACGUCCAAAAUGGCCAUGCAAGAGAAGAAAAAACAACCUGCAGACCAAAAUGGAAUACAACCCAUUAAAGACGAACCACAAAUCUCUUUAAAGAGGAUUCUUUUUUCAUGGACCGACUCCUAAACUUUCAUUUUAACACAAGAACUCUGCAAAUGCCUAAAAUUUCACUGCAGAAUCUUUGUAACAAAGUUGACAACAUUAUCAAAAAGCACAAAUUACAUUGAAAACAUUACUAAUUAACACUCUGAUUCGGCCAGCUGACUCAGGGCUGCCCAAUCAAUCUCGAUAGAAGGAAACUUUUCCAAACAGAAUGCUUCUACUCCUUCACCCCAUUGAGAAUCUGAAAAAUCCAAGAAACUGAUACUUGAAUCAGGGGAAGAUCCGGUGGAAGUGGAAUAAUCUUCAGACCGUGAAGGAGAUGAGGAUGAAGAUGAAGAUGAGGUUUCCACUUCGCUCUUCAAUUCUAGCUCGCAGAAAUUGUUAACUGCUGAGUUUGAUUCGGAUGGAAGUGGAAUGGUCGUUGGUUUUUCAUCCUCAACAGAACAGACCUCUGUUUUCCCCUGUUUCAAGCUCUGACAAAUCGAUUGAAGUUUCGCGUCCACAGAAGGAUGAAGAGGUUUGAAGUCUCCGAAUUGGUGUUUGAGAUGUGGAAAAUUGAGCCUAGCAAAGUCCCCACGGAGCUUAUAAGCAGCUUGAUCAUAGGCCAAAGCAGCCUCCUCGGCCGUAUCGAAGGUCCCAAGCCAGAGUCUAGUUCGGUUCUUGGGGAGUCUAAUUUCAGCCACCCAUUUCCCCCAGUGCCGCUGCCGGACUCCCCUGUAGAGUUUAUUAGGUUUAGGUGGAGAGCCCAUGUGCUUCAUGGGAAAGGAUUUGGGGGUAAGGAAGUUAUGGUAUUGGGAUUGGAAUGAAGAAGAAGAAGAGAAAGAAGACAUAGUUGGUGAGGGCAGUUGAAUUUGGGCUUGAAUUUGGAGAAUUUGAGAAGGGGUGGGAUUGUUUAGCCCGAUUGGACCUGAUUGCUCAAAACCCAUUUGUUCAAUUCCCGAGAACCCUUGAGAAAACAAGCGGGUACUCGACGGGGAGCAAAAAUCAGGGAUUAAUCUAGGCUGAGAAGAAACAGAAGGAUGAGGAGGAGAAGGAGAAGAAGAAGGAGAAAAGGAGGAGGAGGUUGAAAUAGCACUUUUCAUAAAAGGUUGAAGUGCUUUCAUUAAUUCUUCGCUAAAAGGAUCCGAAUAGUAAACCGGCGUUGAGGUUCCACCGUAAACAUCUAUAACUGCUGCCAUGUGAAUUGUGAAAAGAAACUUACAAAACUAGCAAAACAAAGUGUUAAAAGAUCCCAAGAAAACAAAAUUAUAGUUCAAGAGAAGGAGAAGAAAAACAAGUUUGUUUCUACAAUCAACUUGAGGGACUUAAAAAAAAACACCCUCAAAGCCGAUAAAAACAGAAAAUAUUCACCAAAGAAACAGAGAAAUCUGGAUCUCUAUUCAGAAUCACCUGAGUUCAAAGAAGCAGCCUUCUGGGUGUAGAACAACAGAAAAUGCAAAAUUGAAAAAUUACAAAGACAGAGGAUGAUGACAGAAAGGGAACUCAAAGAAACGGGGAAAUCAGAGAAGGGGGGGAAAUGGAAGAAGUUGAAAAGAAGAGAAUAAUUGCAGAGUAAAAAGAAAGAAAAAGAGGAGAGAAAAUAGUAAUCCCUGUUUUGGGUGUAUGAGCGUAGAAUGAAAUCUGGGCUUGAAAAGAGAGGUAGGUUUGAGAGUGUAUAUAUAAGACCAAAAAUGGCCGUCUCUCUCACAAAAGAGCCACCAGUUUUGUGACUCAAAGACCGCAUUUUGCUCCGGGAAGUUAUCUCGUCAACUUCAAGAUAACAUAAUUCGAGGUGGGAUUCCCAAUGAAGUGAUGCCACGUAAGCAACUUAACACGUGGAGGUGGGGGAAUAGCAUUGGCCCACUUCGUGAAAUAUUCAGUUUAAUUGCAUUUUGUACAGACCAUAGUGGUUUGGUUUGGUUUGGUUUGGUUUGGCACGCGCAGCCAUGUCUUUUUCUUUAUUCCUUAUCCUUUCGAAUCAAUUUUGAUCAUCCCACCAUACAUCGCCCCUCCUCUCCUUCCAAUUUCUAUUUUAUAAUCAUAAUAUAUAUCCCAAUUUCUCUACUACACCUAUAACAUUUUUACAAUUUUGAUAUUUAUUGAUUGAAGACAAACUACAGGUGUUGACCUAAAAUCAAGUGACCAAAGGCUUGGUUUUCCAGAAUAAAUAAUGAAGUUUUCAGAUAUAAAACUAAUAAAUCCAAAAUGAUGUUCCACUCUAAUAUAUUUAAUUAAGGAGCAGAUGUGUUUAAAAUAGAAUAUAUUGUAUACGCGUGUGAUUAUUCACUCUGAUUAAAAUAAUAUUCACUUACAAGUUAAACGAUGAAUUCAGAAUCCAAAGCUAUAAAGUAAACACAAAUGGGUCACUAAUAAAUAAAUAGGACCAUUUUACUGCAUUCUUAGCAUGAUCAUAUAUGUCUGUAUAUAUAUAUAUAUAUAUUUGGUAUUUGAUUCUAUAUUAUAUUCCACAAACUAUUCUUGUAAAAUAUCACAUAUAACUAAUCCUUCCAUUUCAAUUUAAUUAUAAAAAGGUUAAAUAUUUUAUUUAUUUUAGGAAUAUCACUUUAGAAUUAUGUCGUAUAAAAGAUUCAAACAUUCAAUAGGAAUACAUUCACUAAACUCUAUUUUUUAAGUCCACUCUUAUAAAAGCAAUAUAUUAAACCAUUAAUAUCUGAGAUGGAAAAUAUUUUCCCCAAAAGUUCAUUUCCUUUUAAUUUUCUUGGAAGAAACUGACGAUAUUACUCACCCUAAACCUAAUAUUGAAAUAUAAUUUAAUUGAGGAAUUGAAUUUGAAAUCUUUGUUAUCGGUAUUAGCAUGUUAGAAUUAUGAAUCAAUCUUAUUUAUUGUUAUUGUCAUUGUUACCAUUAUCCUACAUUAUCGAUAACAAUAACAAUGGAUAAAUAUGAUAGAUUAUAAUUAACAACAAUAACAAUGAUAAUGAUAACAAUAAAUGUGAUAAAUUUACGAUUGAUUUUUCAAAAAAAAUUAUUAGGAUUAUACUACUUUUUCAUUACAUUUUGGUAACACUAUCACGUUACAUACAUAAAUGAAAAUGAGAGAUUCAUAUAAACAUAAGUAACAAAUAGCAUUGGUGGAAUGGUGGGGAUGUGAAUAAAAACAAAGGAGAAAGUGACAGAAUGGUCAAUUGCGGCGCCAUACAUUUCAAAGUAAGAGUUGGGGGAUGAAUGCUUUUUUCUUUUUUCUUCUUUUAUCAUUUUUUUUAUAUUUAUUUUAAAAGAAAGUAAAGCUUCAAAAAAAAUAAAAGAAAAAGAAAAUAGAAUAAUAGAAUAAUAAAAAAAUAAAAAGGGAGGAAUUAUGAUAGUUGAAUGCAAUUAAGAAUUAGUAAAUUGGUGAAUGAAAGAGUGAAUAUUGAAGGGGAAAGGGGUGGGGGGCUCCUACGCAUUCACCAAGAGCCAAGUUGGGAUGUUCACGCAAACCAAUGACCUUUCCCACUUCUUAACCAUGGUUAAAUAUCGUGGGUUUAGAGAGAGAGAGAGAGGAAUCGGAAUCCAAACGCGUGGAGAGCAUGCAGUUACCACGGAGCGUUGCCUUUUGUCUCAACUGUUGGCGUAAAGACGAAGCGAAUGCCAAAACACAAAAACACACAUCACCAUAUGCCAAAUGGCAAGUGGGGCCUCCCAUUCCUACGUGGGAUUUGCCAACUCAAACGCGCUUUCCUUCCCUUCCCUUCCCUUUCCAUUCUCCGAUUCUUUCCUUUUUCUUUUCAUUUUUACAAAUCUAUAUUAACUUAAGCUUCUCAUUAUAUUUGAUUUCAUUUUCACCCAUCAAUUCUUAACUCUAAAUAAUUCCAAUUUGCUUUACAUAUUUUCUUUCCAACAUAUGAUUCCAUUCCAUCUAUACCAUUAUACUCCUACUUCCUAUAUAUAUAUAUAUAUAUAUAUAAAUCUCUCCAUGUUUAUAACUAUUAAAUUCAUAAAACCAAAAUAUAAAUAUGUGAAUAUACACAGUACAUAAGUAUAGGAAUUAAAAUAUCACUCUAUUUUAAGAUUCUUUCUUUUAGUAUUUUAACAUUCAAUUUGUUUUACUUACAAAUUACCUUUUUUUUCUCUCGCUCCUUCUGUUCUAAAUCUCUUUAGGCAUGAUGCAUGCCAUAUAAGAUUAUCAUCCAUCUAUUUUAGCAUUCAUGAGAAAAAAAGGAAUUACAAAGUUUACAUUGUAAAAUUUUGAAGAAAAAAAAAAUACAAAGUAAACUGAAAAAUAACUAACUAUUAAAUCAUAGAACAUAUAUUUAGUGGAGCUCAUUAUGAAAAUAGAGUAUAGUGUUUGAAAAUAGACAUUUAUAGACUAACUAAGAUCCAAUGCUUAGAUUAUAAGUAACAAGUGUUUGAAAAUACAAAUUUAAUAGUUUUUCUUGUCUUUAAAGUUUAAAUUAAACCCUAAACCAAGCAUUAUUGGUAAUAUUUAAUAAUUGGUAUUUGGUAUGCCACAAGAAGAGAGAUGGUUUGACCUUUAUCUCAAAAAAGGAAUACACACAUUGUCAACCUAAAAGAGGGGUCCAACCAUUAUAAACCCACUACCAAUGCCUCUUUUUGCAUGCAACGACUAUCAGCAUUACAAUAUCUAUUUUUAUUGGAAAACAUUAAACAAAAAUUAACUUUUCAAUAUUUUUUUUUUCUUAAUGGAAAAUGGAAAAGGGAAAAAAUGUCCUUGAUGUCUAAGUUCACUAAUAUUAACUUACAUGCAUCAAAACUCCCCCUAUUUUCGUACUUUCUUAUUGUCACAAUGCAAUCCGUGAAAAAGAAAAGAAAAAUAUGAUUAUUGAGUUAACACGAAAUUGAAAUCAAAAUUAAGAAAAUUUAACUGACAUAAAACUUAAAUUAGAUCGUAUUAUAUAUUUUACAUGAGUUGGAGGGUGAAAGGAAACUUCCUCCUCUUUGACAUUAGGACUUUUAUAAUCAAAAUGUACACAACUCAUUCAUAUUGACUUUCUUUAUUAUAUUAUGCACAAAUUUCUUCUCUUCUUUUAUAAAUUUUCCACCAAAACAGUGGGAAACUGGUGAACUAAGUAAUUAAUGGAAUGCACUAAUUAAUUGGAUUUCCCAUAUACAAUAAACAAUAAAUUAUUCCCAACUUUCUUUUCAUUGUGUUAGUAACAACUACAAAGAGGUUAUUAAAAUAAUCAAACUUAAAUCUGUUAAAGAAGCAACAUUAUCGUUAGAAAAACACAAAAUAUAAAUAAACAUUCAUUGCCAAAUUUAAAUAUAAAGAGAGGAGGGUUCAUUACUCCCUCUUUUGUGUUUGUAUCUAUUUAAUUUUUUAAAAGUUUUUAUUUUGUGGUUUUACAAUUUAAGAAGUGUCCAAUAUAUUCAUGAACUUUUAAUUGUGUGUCAAGUAGGUUCUUUAACUUUAAAUACUAACAAAUUAUUGAACAACUUGAUGUUUUGAACAUUCACAAACCCUAUGAAACACAAUUUAAAGUUCAACAAGACAAAUUUCAAUUUCAUAACUAAUAAAUCAAAUUUUAACUUUUAUUAAAUACAAAAUUGAAAGCUCUAACUACUUCAAACAUUUUUAGAGAUUAAGGAUACAAAUCUAAAAGUUGAGGCUAAACUUCUAAUUUAACCUACUACUACUCAAAAUAAUGACACCCACCAAACACAUUAAAUAACUUUAGACUUACUCUAAAAGAUCAAGUAGUGGUUGAAAAUGGUGCACACAAUAUAUUUUAUUUUUUUAAAAAAAAUCAAAACUAAUGACCAAAAUAACUAAAGGAUUUUUUUAGAACUUAGAUGAAUAUAAGAAAAAAGAUUCAAAAGAUUCCAACUGAUUGAUAAUACAUAAAUUGAGGAAAGAAAUUGCUCAAUUUCAAACUUCAAACUAGAAAAUGCAAAAAAGUUUCAAAAGGUCUUGUUAAUAUACAAAAUAGCUGGAUUAAUUGAAUAGAAAAAGGGAUUAGAGAGUACAGGACAAAAAAUGAAGCUAAUAAAAUUGGUGGAUAUUAGGAUUCAGUCAAAUUAAAGAUAUUAAACAAAAGGGAAUGAACAAAACCAAAAGGCAAUUAAAAAUAGAGGUGCACCUGAACAUAUGAAGCACCAACGAAGCACUCGCAAUGAGCGUUAAGGGUAAUUAAAGUAUUAAACAUGAUGAAGGUUUUUGUGCUAAAGAAGUCAUGGAAUUGGAGAAGAGAAUGGAAGAGGAUAACAUAAAGAAUUCCUAAGUUGACAUUGAUUAAAAAAAAGGUCAACCUGAUGUAUUGCAAUAAUAACGAGGCAUCAACCAACCACUAUGUGGUUGAUAAAAAAAAAAAGAAUGUGGAUUGUGGAGCACAUAUAAUUAAGAAGAUGCAAAUGCCGGCUUACUCUGCUUCGCAUCUCUUUCUCAAGGCUUCCACAACCACAACCACAGCCACAACAUUUCAUUAUUUAUUUGAUAAUGUAAAAUAUUUACAUAUAACUUAUAUAUAUAGUUCAAGCAUGGAUUGAAACGAUAAGUUCUUUUUAUGUUUUGAAACGCUUGCAAAAACUACUGUGAAAAAGUUUAAUAAAAAAGAGUUCGAAAGAAAUAACUUUUUUGAACAGACAAUUCAUUUCAGUCAGCCAUGUAACUGUAUUUGACCAUAUAACUUAUCAUGAGAUAAAAUGAAAUAAAAAUAAUUAUAUAUGUCCCUUUUGAACUACAUUCCUUCCAGCAAGUCUUUCUUUCUUUUCUUUUCUUUUUUUUUUUUGUAGAAGAUUUGAAUUUUAGCCAUUAGUAUCCAAAACAGUUGGGAGAUGAUCUUGAAUUUCUUAAUUCUCAAUAAAAAUAAAAAAAAAAGAAAAACAGGAGUGAUUUUACGGAUAAUGUCUAUAGCAAAAAUGAUUUGCUCAAUGUUUGGGUUAUACAUUUUUUAUUUUUAGACAAUCAUAAAUGAAUUAAAUGAUUGAGAGCAUGUUUGUAAAUGGAUUUAGAAUGAGUGUUUUAGGCAUAAAUGAUUUGUUGAUUCUUUUACUAAGAAGUGUACAAUUAAAAAUCCUUUGUCACGAUUAAUGCUUGUUUACAAAAGUGGUUUUGGAAUCAUGAAAUUACAAACAAAAACUAUUGACAGGAAAAGAAAUUAAAAAUAAAAAAGGCAAAAAAAAAAAAGGAAGAAGAAGAAGAAAAAGAAGAAGAAGAGAGAGAGAGGGCAGUUAGGUAAGAAAUUUAAAAGGGAGGGGCAAAGACUUAGAGGGAGACGAUAAAUUUGUAGCACUUGAAAAAAUGAGAUAAGAUUAGAGAGGAACCAAAAAGUUAUUCUAGAGAUAAUGUUAAGUGAGAUUUAUAAAAUAUUUAGACAAAACGUGUGAAAAGGGAAUAUAUGCGAGACUAAAGUUAGAAGUAGAAAUAUAAAAGUUCAAAAAAAAAAAAAACAUUAGUAAAAAAAUGGAAUGAAAAAAAAAAAAGUUUUUCACAUAAUUUAAGAAUAAAUAAAGAGAGGAAUUUUCUUUAUUUAAAGAUUAGUCAUUUUGAAAAGAAAAAAAAAAUUACAACUCUAAACUUUUAAAGUUUUUAAAGUUUAUAUCAAUUUUGAAGAUUAAACUUUUAAACUCUAUAAUAAAACCUCAAAAUAGUUGAAACUGAUAUUUGCCUUUCCAAAUAAAAAAAAAACAAAAUCUCAACCAAUUCAUUGAGAAUCACCUGAGUAAUGACCAACAGCAGUUUAAAAUAAUCCUGUACCCUCUCAAAAUGAUAACUGUAAACAAACAUUACCAUCUAAAAGAAACUAAUUUUGAACCUUACAAAUAAGUUCAACCAUUCUAAAAUAACUCCAAACAUGCUCGUUGUGUAUUAAAUUGAAUUAGGUCAAAUGAUCCUUUUAACCUAUGCCAAUUACACAAACGGCAAGUACGAACAAUCACGAUUAGACCAUGAACAAACAUUAGGCAUAGGUUAAUUAAAUUUGUUAAAUAAUAGUGAAAAGAUUGGUUUCUUGAGCAUCUAUCUAUUUAAACAUUACGACAACUGGAAAUCAAAUUUUAUUUUAUAAACAAUUAUAUUUCGAAGGCUUAAAGAAUUAAUUUCUAAAGAUUGUUACAGUAAACUCUAGACAGAUUGAUUGAUUUCAAGACCUUAUAAACCAAUCUGCUAAGUUCAGCCUGUUCUUCUCACCCAGUCAAAACCUACAAGUCACUUUUUAAACACUCAUGACCCCCCUAAAAUGCAUUUUCUCAAAUCUCAACUAUGGAAUAGCAAUCUUAAAAGAGCAAGUUCAAACAAGUUACCUGUCUUCAUAGCAGAUGUAUCAAAUAUCUCAAUCUAAUUCAAGGCUGUCAUGCAUUCUGUAAAUAAAAUAUAAAUAAACGUUUAUUAACAGAUAUUAGUCCUAGUAAUUCGUAAUUUUUUAAAGAACUUGUCAUUCCUUAUUAGGAGGUGGGAUGAUUUGAUAUUAUGAAAUAUGAUUCUAUUUAAAAGAUGUCAACCCUUGAACAUUUAUCAAAUCACCUAAUCCAACAGAAUUUGAUAAGCCAUUAAAGUCUAACAUCAUUCAAAGACCAAAGUUAAAAAUAUACAGGAAAACCGAGUAGGAAAGAAGGAUGAAGACAUGACAUGGUUAUUAAAAAAUAGAAUGGAUGAUUUUACAUGUAUUCCAAAUCUAUAAUACACCUACCCUAUCCAUAGCAAGAAGUUCAAAAGUACAGAUAUGGACAGCACAAGUGACUAACCACACGGCCCAAAACCAUCAGACUGGGAGGAAAAACAACAGCACGCUAAUGCUUCUCCAUGGGCAUGGCAUUAAACAUUUCCAAAUUCAUCUUGCAAUCCUCUCUCAGAUCUUUCAGGCUAACAAAACUGCUUUGCUGUAGACCAAGUGAAACGAGAAUUACCACUGCUAUGUCUUUCCGAGAUUCAAGUAAAUGAAAGUGAAGUAGAUAUUCAAGAAUGUAAAAGACUGUACUUUCAGGCCUACACUAGUGAAUCCCUCCAUACCAACAAUGGCAUAAAAUUGUUAUUAAUUUCGUUAACUAAACUCUUUCAGAUUUCCAACAAGGUUCCUCCUCCUUAAAUUGAACAUUUCAAGAGAUCUACAAUAACUUCAUUCUUUCGUAGACAGGGUACUUGAAAAGAUCAAAGUUCAAAGGUAGAUGUACAUUUCUGAUGGGAAAUAGUCCAUACAAGUAUAAAAGAUCCGUACUUACAAGUUGGUUUCCUUCAUGAGCAAACGUAUCUUCCAUAUGACGGAACAGAGACAUCCAUUGACCACAAAGAUCAAGUUCUAGCUUUGAGCUGGAAGAAUUUCCUUGACCAUGAUAAGUCUCUUUCUCUUUGCUGCUUUUCUGAGCCAAGAUGCUUGCAUCUUUCUGGCUUUUCUUAAGUGCUAAAAGAAUGAAAAUACCAUGAUAAUCAAUAAGAAGGAAUAACCCAAGAAGCAUGGUAUUAUGACCACACAAGGAAGAACAAUUUUACCUGAAAUACGUCCUUUAAUGUCCUGGUAAUGGAGAUCUGACCAAAUGUAUGAUGCUGAUUACAAAACAGACCAAUUUAGAUUUUCUGAACACAAAUUUUAAAGAACCCCUAGUUACAUACAUAACUAAUGAACUAAAUAAACUUGCAUUCUAAUUACCUUUCAAGCAGAACGAACAAGAACAUGUUUUAAGCAAGUCGUCAUACAUGUCUGCAUUAGCACAGUUACUAGUCUUAAGUCCUGAGCACCUAUCCAAUCCCAGAGACUUGGAACCCUCUGAAAUAGGCAUCCUCGACCAUUCCGAGGAGUCAUGGUUGCUUGAGCCAAUUAUCCCAACGUCAAUAUCCUUUUCGUCAUUACUUAAAACAGGAUCAACUGCUUCCUCGUUAUUAUCAUUGUUUAGCAUAAUUCCAGGACACUCUUUCUUGUUAUCCUCAGAGCAAGUAGGGACUACAGAUGUGGGCAAGCAAGGAACUCCCAAAGCUUCACUAUCUGUAAUUCUGUGUUCACCCUCAUGCACAAGAUGUGGUUCGUCAAUCGGCAAAUUACACUGCACAGAUUGUUUUGGCAUCUCAGAAAAAGCAGUAUCAGCUUCACUCGAAGCCAGUGAGCAAUCAGAUUCCUGCUGCUCCUUGCUAAAUCUAGACAGCGCCAUUGAAUAACAUUGUUCUCCGCUCGAGCGUUUACAGUUCUCCUUGACAUAUUCGUCUUCCCCAUCCACAGUUUUCCCACAUACAUCCCUUGGUUUAGCACCUGAAUGACUCAAAAUGGAGGAAAGCUUUCGUUUGAGCGGACGAUUGGUUAGGUUUCCAAGGGCCAGACGAUUGUGGCCUAACACACCAUCAAUGUUAUCCUCCCGCAUUAUCACACACAGGAAGGGGGGACGCAAAUCUGAUCAACCAAUCUAUCUUCUAGAACUUUAAUCUCUCGGGCAGAAAAAAUCCUAAAUCAUCAGGUUCAAAUCCUAUUCAGUGUGCUGAGCGAAAAACACAAACACACACACACACAUAGAGAAACCCCAAUUUUGCAAGAUUAUGAAUAUAACAAAAGAAAGACAAGCAAGAGCGAAAAAUAAAUGAAUAAAAACAUAAAUAACACAGUAACCCUAGAAAAAUCGAGAUUCAUGGGCAAAAUCGUAAGUAUAGAAUCGGAUGGGUGAGGGGAAAGAAAAGCAUUGUAAUGUAAAAGUGAGAGAGGCAGAGAUUGCGAGAGUAACCUUGAAAAGGAUUGGAGGUAGAUUUGAUUUGAGUGAGGAGAGGGGAAAAUGGGGAAGUAAGAAGAAGGGAAGAGGAGGUCUCGGGGGAAACGGAGGAAAUGAUAAUGCUUUGGGUUUUAAUUUAUUAUUGUUUGUUUUAGAGGAUUAAUUUAUAUAUAGAGAGAGAAAGAAGAAGCGCGAAUGGUGUAAAUGUGGAGGCAGGGCCCGCGCUUCCCAUUCAAAAUGUUGCCGCAUUCUCGGUGGCGCGCUUUCCCGGCAUCUCUUCAUCCCCCCCUCCCGCUCCCUUCAAACAUCUUUUCUUUUCCCUUUCCCUUUCCCUUUCCCUUUGCCUCCUCUAUUUCUCUAUUUUUCUCUUCAAUUCUAAACAAUCAUACCCAUCUUUUUUUAUUUAUUCAUGUAUAUAAAUCCUUACAAUUUUAAAUUUCUUUUCAAUUAUGUCCUACAUUUUAAAAUUUUCUAUUUUUAUAUUCGAUCGUCUAAAUUUUUAAAAACAUUGUUUGAAGAGUUUUUGUUCCAAUAAAAAAUAUUUUGGCAUACCAACUAAUGUGUAAAAAAGGUCAAACAUAUUUGAUCAUAAAUUUGAAGACAUUUGCAAGUCUGUCUUUUUUGUAACUUGAUGUGAAACAAAUAUUAUGCAACAUUUUCACAUAAAACAAAAUGGUACAUUCUAAUAUUAAUGAUUUAUGUAUAUUAAGUGACGUAAUUGCAAUUUUAUGUGAAAAGGGACGCAAAUGUAUAUAAUGCUAUAAGUUUAUUUGAUUAACUUAGGUGUGUAUGUCAAUAUGCAUAGUCAUUACAUUUUAAAAAAAUAUAUAAUAGGUUUGAAUUUCUUUUAAAGAAAAUGUUUAAGCAAGACUACUGUUAGAUUUAUUGAGCCAUAAAGCAAUGUUAUAGUAUUUAAUAAAAUGUAUAUCAUUUGAGAGGGGAAUGAGUCCGUGAUCUAUUGUCAAAUCUACCCAAUAUAUAAUUGUAAAUGAUAUCAUACAUGCCUACUAAAUUUUAAACAUCAAACUAUCACCCUUUAAAAAUGAGGUCGUUCAAGUUUAUUCAAUAGCAAUAAGUAUUGUUGAAGAACAAAUGAGGUCAUUCAAUUUCACUUGGUCAAAAACCUAUAUGUGGUCAUGAACAUUGGAAUCAUCUCAAGUCAUGAGCGAUAACAGAAAUGUAAAAACAAGGGUGUGAGACUAAAAGUUAUAUUUUUAUUUUCCUCAACGUAGGAGGAGAAGUUAGGAUUUUAUAUAGCUCGGUGGUAUGUAUGUAUGUAUAUGAAUAGCGUUAGCCUUUCAUCUAAAAUAAGUAAAAGAAAAGGGAAAUAUACAAAAGAAAAAAAAAAACUAUAGAAUAUGUAUUUAGAGGUCGUAGAAGCUAUGUCUUUUGGGUAUUACACAAUCCUCAAACUGUCCUCUUGGAGCCGCACAUGAGUAGCCUUUUCUGAACUUACUGCUUCUAUUUCUCAACUCAACCGCCACCCUAAACUCUCCACAAACUGGCCUGUGAUCUGAAAGCCUCGAUUCCCUUCGAAUAUAACACAGCUGCUCUAUCCCAUUCCCUCGCCACAAUAUUCUAUCACACCUGAACCAAACACCCACACAAAUAUACUACUUACAAUUUCAAUACACACGCAUAUCACAUAUCACAUAUUACAUGUCAAUCACUUAAUUCUCACUACUUACCAAGCUGGUGUUCGUCGUUUCUUCUUCGAUUUCACCGUCUCCCCCGUGUAUGAAUCUGAAUUAUGAGUGUACUUGUAAGUGGGUGCAAAUUGAAUCCUCCCUUCAUUGAACCCACUGAACACUCUUCCUGCUUCUCUUUCUACAUUCAACUGUAAAUACUCCCGCUUAAGUAAAACAAGAAGCAAAACACACAGAAACACAAAGUCGUCGUAGUACUUAAGUUACGUACCUGAUCCUUCUCUAGCAAUUUAUCCCAAUCACCGUCCUCUAAUAACAUUUUGGUAUCCUCGUAGCUCAAUGACACCCGGUAGUUCAAGUCUCCCAACCAUAUUAUCCGACUGCAUUUUCACAAUCACGAAUUAAAUUAAUCAUCACAAAGUCCAUAGCAAAAACGUUAUUAUUUUGAAAAGUAAUCAUAAUAGUUGUAAUUACUCAUGGUCCAUAAUUCUCUCAGGGGCUCUUUUAUUGGGCUUCUUACAAAUCUUGCUGAACUGUGUGCUUUUGAUAAUCUCAGCAGCAUCAGCAUUUCUUUUGAUUUCAUCUCCUUCUUUCUCACCAGAUGCCAAAUGACUGCAAACAAAGCAGAAACUUGUCUCAUGCACUGACAUGCUAAUUGAUAUGCAUCCCUGAAAAAGAAAACCAAUACCCAAUUAUAAAUUCUUCCCCUGUUUUUUCAUUUUCAUAAACAAAUUACCAUUUUUUAAAAAAAAAAAAAACCAAACAACCUUGUUUCCAAGUCGACCCAUUAUCCCUCUUCCAACUGUUGAAACUCUAAGAUGACCAAUAUGUGGAACCAAUUCCUGUCUUGCCCAAACUGAAAGAAACAAACCCACCAUCUGUUUGCUUGAAAUAAGCUUGAAUUUCAUCAUAUCCCCAUUCUCUGCUUUUGACGAAGCAAGCUCUGAGAUCGAAACGAAUUCCUCCAUCAUCAACCUCCCAUAUUGCUCAUUUGUUGAAAUAAUCAUAUUCUCUAAAUCCGAUGUCGCUCCUUCAUUCAAUUUCCUUAGCCUUCUCUCUCUCGAUCCUAAUUCAAUUGGGCAAUUACAAGCCUUCAGUAGACUACUGUCAAGUGGCCUCAGGUUCCUGCUAAGCAUUUUUAAAGAGGGCUUUUGAAAAAAAGGAAGAGUCUUCGAAUCUUUUGAUGAUCCUUUUGUUGACCCAUGAUCUGACCCACCACCAAACAUGGAGUCGCUGUUGUUCCUGGAUGGUUUGUUUAUAGCUUGGUUUAUCAGUGUUAGCCAUUUUACUGCCGGUUCGUUGUCUUCUAUAACAAGCACGUUCCCAGCAUUUAGUGGAACAAUUUCUUGAAACCUAUAAAUUUUUCCCCCACAUUACCAAAACUAAUCUGUUAAAAAAUUUAACUUUUAUAAUUAAUAAGAGAGAAAAACCAAUUCAUUUUUAAAUAUUUUACGCACCCAAUCACAUAAAUGUCUGCUGAGUCUUCUACCAGUAAGAAAUCUUCGAGGUUGAUGCCAUUGUUAGGAGUUUUUCCUCCUACAUUCCAUGUCGCUGUGAAAAUCCUGAACCCCAAACCCAUCUUUUUAAUUAUAAAUUUUCAAAAGAAAAAAUAAAUGAUUAGAUCAAUUUGAAUACGACUACCAUAGGCUUGCACGUACCGGAAAUUCUUGGUCUCAUUUGGUAGAGUCAUGGGUGGUUCAAAGUUGGAGAGGUUUAAGCUUUGGAUAUCUGAACUUGUGUGUCUUUCUGAAGAUUAAUAAACAAAAGUGGUAAAAGUUUAGCUCUUUAAUACAUACCAUGAAAAUUAUUAAUAGUAAUCAAAUCAAACCCUUUGGUAAUUUGAAGUUAGGUGAAGAUGUAGACUUUCCUUUCUUCAUAACAUUUAAGUACAUUGCAAUACAAAUUUCUUUCACUUAGUUCUCCUAUUCAGAAAAAGACAAAAGUAACAUUUACAUCAAACAUGUUUAAUUAUGAACAAGAGUAACACUCUAGAAAGUUCAAGAGCAGUAGUUAAAAAUGGUAUUCGAUGAGUUUCCAUCUUUCACAAAUGGCACUCUUUUUAGCUAAUUAUAAAGUGUUGUAUCGAUCCAAACAAUACGGAUGAGGACUAAAUUUGGCUUAUGAAAUAUAAAUUUUUAAAAUUUGAUUGUUUCCUUUCCUUCUCAAAUUUAAAACUAGGGAAUAUAAGAUAAGUGAUGAAACGAAUCAAUUAUUUCAGAGAAAAAUUGACCUAAACAUAUACUUCUUUUUCUCUCCGUUGUUACUCAGUCAGAUCCUCAUCUUGGAUGAGAUACCCAAGAAAAUCCAAAAAGUUAGUAGUUCAAUGUGCUGAUAAGAGUUUUUAAUUUUGAUCUUAAUAUCAUAAGAAAUGUUUUUGUUUUUGUUUUGGGUGGUAACAGAUGUUCAUUGUAGGAUGAAUUGGAGAGAAUGUGGCUCACAUUUAUAUAGAGACAAUCGUUCUGCCCUACACACACCACAAAGGAUGUAAAACAUCGUUUUCAAUAAUUAAUUAAAACACUGUCUGAUUGGAAGCAAAAUUCUUCAUACUGAUCAAAAUAAUCAUAUUGUUCGGUAAGCUACCAAAAUAGUAUUAACAUUAAUCUCUCUCAAGUCUUUAACUCAUCGCAACGUGUCUUAAAAACCACAACACACAUUAUUUUCAUAUAUUUCAAAUGGUACCUGAAAAACUUUUCUUGAUUGUGGGAGUUGACUCCAUGAAAGCUUGUCUUCUUGAAGCAAUUCCUUUCCCUUUAAAACAAAAAUGAAACGCAUUUUAAUUACCAAAAGGGAACAAAACAUAACAAAAGAAGAAGAGAUUUAUUAGUAUUAUUAUUAUUAUAUAUACGUACCAAUAUCAAUGGCGCCAUCCCCAUAAUCUAACUUAAACAUUUCCUCCUCCGAAUUUACCCUUUCGCUCUUCUUUGAACUGAAGAUCUUUGGAAUAAUAGACUGAUGGUGCAUAAAUGCAGGGGAAGGGAGAAAGAACAAACAGAACACAUCCAAUCAAUGAAAAAAAAGGUGUAUUUGGUGAGAAAUUUAAAAGAAAAAGAAAUGAAUAAAAAUACCCGUUUUUUCUUUUCGUUCUUGACGGAGUUGUCCGGUGAAAGAGCGGGAGAAAGGGGGCCGGGGUUCUUGGAAGUGGUGGCAUAGUUCGACAUUCAUUCAUAGAACCCGAAAUUCCAAUGCAUUCAACUCGCGAACAGAAUCGCGAAAGAAGGCACCAGAAAAUGGCCGGCGAAGUAACGGACUGGAAUUAACCAGCCGGAAAAUCUUAAUAACUCCAAGAUGGGUUAUUAUUGUUAUCUUUUUUUUAAUCUGUGGCUGUUUAUUCAUAUAUAUAUAUAUAUAAUAUAAAUAAAAAGAGAAUAUAUAUUUUUUCUUUUUGGAGGGUGUGUGUUUGAGAAGUGAUUGUGUGUUUGAGGAAAUUGGUUAUGAGUUUGUGUAUUGUGGGGGUGAGAAAAUGGGGGCAAAGCUUUCGGAGAAUAUAAUUAGGAUUGAAGGGAUGAAAAUGGUUAGAAGUUACAGUUCGUAGCAUAAGUCCUGAUCAUCCGCUAAUCUCAAACUCUCCAUCAAUAUAUUUACACCUAAACAAAAUAUACAAGUCUGUCUUUUUGGAACCACUUUUUUUGAAAUUAGUAUAAUGUCGAAGAAGAUUCAUAAAUUCACUAAUACGAUCCCAUCCUAAUCAACCUUUAAUUCGGUUGCAUUUCUGCAACACUAGUGAAUAAAAUAAAUUUUGGCAUGCCUAGUCUAUAAUAUGCAAAUUAAAGGAGAUUAUUUUGUUUCCUUUUUACCCCCACCUUUUUAGUAUAUUCCUAUUUUACUCUUUUUGAAUUAGACACAAUCACUUCAAAAUGGUAUCUGAUUAUUUGAAUGUAUGUGUUGUUGGUUAGGAUCUAGAUAGUGUCUGAAUGAAAGUGAUCGUGUAUCUAAUUGGUGUAUCUUUUUAGAUGUACUACGACUACCAUCUCUGUUAGAUGAACGAAGAGAAUAAUUAAAUUUGAUAGACCUAUUUUCAACCCCAUUUCCUCAUUCUUUUUACAUCAAUUUUAUUUCUUUUCUUGUCUGGAUAAAUUCUUAAACCCUCAUCCAAAUGUGACAAAAUAAAAUUGACUAGAAAUUCUAAAAAUGUACAAAAUUGAUUAAACAAUCACUCACUUUGGAGAUUUUCAUUCAUGAGGCUGCAACGAAGAAAAUAUGUUAUUCAAAAAAACAAUAAUAAUAAUAUAAUGCAAUAUAUAUGUACAUCAAUAGCUUAUCUAUGUGUCCAAUCACAUGACAAACUUUUCUUUUAAAAAAUAAAUUUUGUUUUUUGUUUUUUUUUUCUUUGUGAUAGAAUAAAAUGCAGGGAGAGAAUAUAUAUAUAUAUAUUUUCCUUUUUUGUUGAAGUAUCAAAUGAUUCAAACCUUCACUUCAAUGAAUAGGCUUUGUUAAGAUUGUCCGGAGCAAAAGAUUUAGACUUGGUUGAUAUUUAAAUCAAUUAGAUUUUGUCAAUUGUGUCAUCGUUAAUAAUAGUUUUGUAGUUUUUAAUUGAACGAAUAUUGGCACUAAUCCUGAUUAGAAUAUCGGGCAGAAACUACGAAUAUAAGAGUCAGAUAUUUUAAUCCACAACAUUAAAUAAUUAGCAAAUUGGGUAGUAACUAUCAUAAUUAUACUUCGGUUUCUCUACAACUAAACAGAUAUGAACAAUUACAAUCAAGUGCACGGCGUUCCAGAUGAAUGAAGAAGAAAUUUUGUAUCUGUGGCUUCUGUGAAAUACCUAUUUUUCCUGUUCAAAUGCACCUAGUCCUUUCAGGAAGUGCUUGAGCCAGCUGCAGAUAACCUCAAUAACACUCCAGAAACAGAGAUCACUUCUCCACAUACGAGCAACAAACACUUUGUAAUUAGUAUCAACCGUAUGGUUUUAGAACAAGAAGAAGAAGCAAGCCCCUGUGAGUCCACUGGUUUCCUAUUUCAUUAGCAACAACAAAUAAGCAGAUAUCUUGUUUAUUUCAAAAAAGCUGGAAAACUAUUACUUGAGUAGUUGUAAUCUAACAAGUCAAACUUUCAUACCUGAAUUUUAGGGAGUUCAGCAAGACAUUUCGUCCAACUCUUGCCUGUAAAGUGCUAGACUCUGCACAAAAUAUACCAAGAGACAGAUGUUUAUCAAUCAAGUGAUGGGAUGGAGCAAAACAGACAGAAAAAUGUAGCAGUUCUCUGCCUUUUUCCUUUUAAUUUACUUGAGUUGACACAUAAGACGUUUGUCUAUGCUUCCUAAAGCACCAAUAUGAAUGUCAGCAUUUGAUUAAGGAUCCCCAGUUAUUCCAUGGACAUUUUCCAUAUCAAUAUAUACCACAACAGCAACUAAUUUGUUCUUUUUUCCACUUUGGUCAAUUUUAAUCAAUGAUUAGCAUAGCAAUAUUUGAAAUGAAUACUGAAGUUUUGCAAGCAAAUAUCAAGACGUCAAUUAUUAAACGACAUGAGGUCAAUGGAGAGGUAGAAGAUUCUUGCCUUUGUUAAUGCAUAUACACCAGCUUCUGAAGGACCUACAGGACUUCCUCGCUUCAUAAACGAUCCCUCCUUGUAUAUGUAAAGUAAUGGUACCCCAGUUGAUAGUUCCAAGUUAAUUACCUGUCUCCCAGCAUAUUAAUCAUUCACCAUCGAAAAACUAUACUAGAAGGUAAUAACUAACCACAUGAACACAAGAAUAACGUAUAGGAAAUGGUUUCUAUACCUCGCAGGUAGUCAAUUUUUCUAGAUACAUGAUAAUACACCUUAGCGAAUUAGCAUGGGCUGCAACCAUAACAUGCUUCCCAGAUUGCAGCCGUGGUUCAAUCUACAAUUCCUUCUUGCUUUGUGAGAAUCAUUAAAAUAAUCAGAGCAAUAAUUUGAAAGUGCUUACAUGUUCCUUAAAAUAUCCGACUGCUCUCUGUGAGCACAUCUCCAAGCUCUCACCCUCAGGCGGAGGAAUAUCAUAGCUCCGACGCCAUUCAUGCACUUGCUCUUCACCGUAUCUUUCGGAAAUCUCCUGUUUAUUUAAUCCCUGUAGCUCACCGUACCUGUAUUAUACAUAUGCGUAUCAAAAUAAUUAAUCUAAUAUUCGGACUUCAGAUAGAAGGAAAGUAUAAAUCCCAAUGAAAAGAGAGAGUACAUUCUUUCAUUCAAUUGCCACGCUCUAAUAACAGGAAAUGAUUGCAUUUUAGCCUCAUCACUGUAAAUUUGACUCCAUGCCUCUGCCUGUUUACUACAAUCAUGCAUAAUGAUAGGCACCUGAAAGCAUAAGUUUGUCUAAAUUUGAAACGUCUUUUCUGAAUAAUAAAACAUAAUAAUAAUCAAAACUUUAAAUGUAGCUAUAGAGGUUAAGUCCCUUGUUAUUGUUCUCCUCAGAAUCAGUACUAGAAAGUAUUCUUCCCCUAAAUGAACUAUGAAUUCUAAAAUGGAAAGUAUUUUCAUACAAUGAUAAAAAUGUCUUUGUGGAAGAAAAGAAAAUUUCAUAAGCUUUCUUUCCUCCUAUAAUUAUAUCUUACGACCGUCUUGGGCAACAAGUAUGAAGUUCUGAAUUCAUGAAAAUCAGGUCUAGGCUAAUAAAAAAUUAUCCACUUUUCAAGAUGUAAAGAACACGACAUAAUAUAGAUACCUUUUUGCAGCGAUGUUGAGUCAAAGCAAGCACAGCUGUCAUUUGCGAGCGAAUUAAAGCAGAAGUAUACACAAAGUCUAGUGGUAUGUUGCAAAUCCUCUUACCAGCUUCAAUUGCUUCGUCUACACCUCUCCUUGUUAAAGGUACAUCAACAGAGCCAGUGAAUAAAUUCUUCUCAUUCCACAUUGACUCACCAUGUCGAAUUAAUAUCAGAGCUGUUUCAACUUUAAAAUGGGACAUUUAAUGGACAGCACAAAGAAAUUCAAUCUCCUAGCUAGGCAACUAACAAAAUAUUAGAUGCCAUUGUUCCUGAUAGGUGACCAGACUUACUUGAAGAAGGGUUCUUAGAAUCAUCGAUAUUCAAACGAGAAAUAGGUGCAAAAUGGUCCUUAAUUGAAGCUUGUGGGGUGGUGGCACAAACAACAGAAAGCUUGUAAUUUCUUACACGACAAAACCCUCUUCUAAAGAAAGGAAUGUCAUUAUCAUUACCCCUCCGGACAAAGGGUGGAGAAAAUGCAUAGAUGUUAUGAGGAUUUGAAUCAUUGGCGUGAUUACAAAGCUGCAGUGAUCCAUUGAAGUCGUGAAAUCCAGGAGAAAUCAUGCUGAUAACACAGCACAUAUCAAUGACAGAAUAUUAUUAGAAAUGACAUGAGAGAAAUUUGAUAGUACAGGAACAGGCAGCACAAUACAAUUGGAAAUCGGUACGUAAGAGAUGAAAAACGAAAAAUAUGCGAAAUUGAUAGAAGGACACCAAGAAUAGGCAUAAGAGCGUAGUAAACAUCCAAAAUCAAAGAGAGGGAAGAGUAGGGUUACGUUGAGCUGGCAGUCCGAUUUAGUGGGAGUAGAGAAGCAAGGAGAUGGAAAAUAGAUUUGAUCCAAAAUGAGAGGGCACCAAGUUUUGCAGAUUCUGAACAGCGUAGAAGGACAUUUUUUUACAUAGUCGGGCAACCGAGAACACCGGAACGGAGGAUGCGCUAUCUUUAUUCUUUUUCCUUCUUUUGGUGUAUUGUCUUCUUCUUCUUCCUCUUCUUAUUUUAAAUAAGAUCAAAAUUAAUCAAACCAUUAUCUCUAAAAUUAUUUUUAGGGCUUUCUUUCUAUGUUACUCACCCAAUUAAAUAGGUUAAAUUUUAAAAUUAAUUUCUUUUUAAAUCUAACCUACUUUCAAAAUAUUUAUAAAAAAAAAAAUCGUUUAAAUAAUGAUACUUGACGCUUACCAAGAUUUUAAGCACACCCUAUUAAUUUAUUAUAUAUAUAUCAUUUUAGUUUUGAUUUUAAAAAUAUGUAUCUAUGACUACAUUCCUUUUAGUUUGAAAAUUUACUAUACCAAAUAAUAAAAACAACUAUGACGAUCAAAUAACUAAAAAAUAAUAAAUAUCUAAUAGUAAAAACUCUAACAACCUAGGAGUUUUUAAAACGAGAGACUGUUAAAGUCUGUGGCACAAUGGGAUUUGAUAAAUACGAUCUAUAUUUGAGAAGCUUCUUUACUUAGAUAAAAAAUAUUAUUGAGAUUAACUUAAGUUUAAAGUUACGUUAACAAGCUAUCACCAUAAGAAUUCAACCUUCAAUCUCGUAGGACGAUAUUCCAUAACGUUUCCUAACAUUUACAUUUAGAACUUCUGCUCUUUAAGAAACCAAGAAAUAAUUAUACCAUAAGAAUAUCUUUUAUCUUCUUCAAAGAAGAACUUUUGACUCCUUAUUUGUAAAUGGUCCUAAAUAUAAGGAAUAUAUAUUUUUUUUAUUUAAAUAAAAAAAAUUCAUAUUUGUCAAAUAAUCUCGAUUAAAAUCUUUUAUAUAGUAUUUACUAUGGCUAAACGUUUCAAACAGUCCCGUAAAUUUAUGAGAUAUAACAAACAUAGUUAUAUGUACUAAGUACUGUAUUUGGUAUAUAAACUUUAAACCAAAUAGAGACACUAUUUAGGGUUUACUGGUUAUAUAAUCAAACAGGUAUUAACUUUAUUUCGUAUAAUUGAACUGUAAAUCAAUAAAAGCAUGUAUACAAACGAAUUAAUCAGAGUUAAGUUAGUACUCAAUCUUGGUUAAAUAUCUUUUCUAUUUAUUUAUUUUUAUCAUUUGCAAUUGCAGGGAGUAGGAAUGACGCUAUAUGUGUGUAUUUUUAUUCUUUCACGUGGGCGAGUUGUGGACUUAUAUAUUUUCUUAUUCUUCAAACUUACUUUCUUUCUUUCUUUCUUUCUUUCUUUUCCUUUUAAUUUGAAACGAUGCUUACCUUAGGUAUCUUUCCUUCUCUCAUUUAAUUAUUUGGGAGUAUCUAAAUAUUCAUUAUUUUGCUAUCUUUUUGUUAUUUUUCCUAAACCCCCUCUUUGGUUCUUUUUUCUUCUUUUAUCACCAUAAACAUAUAUAAAAAUGCUUCUAUAGUCGUAUGAAUCAAUACUUUUUGUGAAAUAUGUUCAAAAUCUGCUAAAUUAGUAUCAAAAAAAUUAUUUGAAUUAGAAAAAGUUCAUAUAACAUUGAUGACAACAUUAUUCUUUAGUAACAACACUACUAAUUAAUAUAUGCACGAAUCUUAUCAUCAAAUAUUUUAAUUCUUCAAUAAUUUUAAGAUGUUUUCUUUCAAAAAUGUUGACUUGUACGUGACAUCAUGAUAGUAAAUUAGCGAUACUAAAUCUACGUGUCUAAUUCCUAAAAGAAAAUAAAAGUUAAAAGGAAAUAUUAGAUUGCACUUGAUUUACCUAAAAAAUAUUUAUUUGUUGUAGGUUUGGUUUUUAAUAAGAAAAAAAAUGUGGGUGUUGAGAUGCACCCAUAAUCUUACGGUAAAAUCGGAUUAGCACUAUUAAAAUAUGGCAUAGUGACAUUCUUUAAUAUGUUUUUUUCUUUUGCUUGUGUAAAGUGUGGGUAAAUAUAAGCUACACUUGUUUAAUAAAUAGCUUACAAAGGAAUACACCCUGAAAAAAUGAAAGAUUUGUGUAAAUUGAUUUUGUUUGCUGAAAAAUGAGAUGACAUAUUAUAUGAAGUAAAUAUUUUGUUUAAUAAAAAGAAAAAGAAAAUGUGUUUGGGAAGAUGGAAAGGUAAGUGGAAAAAAUUAUAAUGAAAAAGUGGAGAGCAAUAAUUAGUGGGUAAAGUCCUUUUUCAGCUCCCCAAUGAGGCAGCAGCUGAGUGCACUGCAGUUCCCCAACUUUCCUUUUUAUUUUUCUUUUCUGUGGCCACAUGCAUGCCUUAACUUAGGAUCUCCCUAACCCCCAAAAACUAGGUUAAUUAACAAUUACUACAACAUAAUUAAUUCAAAUUAUUUUCUCAAACACCGCAUUAUUACGCUGAUCAAUGCUAUAUUAUAUGUUAUAUAAUCCAUUAUGUGAUAGUUCACAACAUAAUAUAUAUAUCCAAAAUAAUUGGUAUGAUGUCACCACUUUUAUAUUAAUUAGACUCCAGUUGUAUAUAUCUUGUACCAAUUUUUAAACUAAUUAUACAUCGAAGAAGAUCAUGUCAAUUAUCAUGUAUGGAGCUAAACUUAUUGAAAUAUUGGAAGAGGAGUUGUUUUGUAUAUUUGGAGUAAAGUAAUUGCAAUAACUUUGGUGGGUGUGCUUUGUUGAAGGGGGAUUAAAAUAAUAGGGUUAGUGAAAACUGAUAUCAUUAGUGAUUGUGAUGUAAUCCUAUAUGAAAAUCUAUGGUCUAAUUAAAAAGGAAAAUCUUACCUUCGGCGGAAUCAACAAUUGCCACGUGGAAUCUUGUUGAUAUUUUAUCAACAAGGCCCAAGGGUGAUGUGUGUCUCAUGGGUCCAAAAUUAAAUUCAUUGAUUCGUCUGUUUAUGUCUUCGUCAUUCCUUUUCUCUCCACUUUUAUGAUUUCCCAUUCCUUAAAAUUAAUAAUAAUAAUUUAAGACUGAUGAUAUAAUUAGUAAUUGGGUGUAAUUAAUGUUAUUAUCCACCGUAUAUAUAUCCAUGAGGUAGCGUAAAUGGAAUUUAGAAGAUGAGUCAUGUAGUUGUCGUUUUAAACCAAAACGACACCUAGUGGUCCUAAUUGCGGAAAAUGGCAUAAUGCACAAAAUUGGAUUUUGUUUUUGAAGAAGAAGGAGCCGUGGGAAAUUACGAACACUUCCGAAUUGGUUAAUUAAACAAACAAAAACAAAAAUAUUAAAGUUUCACAUGGAUUAGAUAAUCAGAUAAUCAACUAUCUCCAUCGACAUGAGAUUUUAUUUUCCUAUAUUGUUAUAUUAUUGGUGAAGGUAUGAGUAGGAGACAUGUAAAUGAAGAAGGGAUGUUUUGAAGUUAGUUUUAGGCAAGAAAAGCAUAGGAAAAUAGUAGACUAAAAAGGUAAGAGGUUGCUGUGUCCUCAUUUCCUUCCAUUCAAAGUGGAGAAAUUAAGAAAUCUUUCGGGUGCGUGUCAUUGUGCAGUAAAAAGGAUUAAAAAUGUGUGUGUGUGUGUGUGUUGGGAAAGUGGGUUUAGUGAGAAAGGGGAGAUGUGAUAGAAGGGGGAAAAAAAGGGGAUGAAUGAAUGAAUGAAUGAAUGAAGGGAAAGGCAAACAAUGGUUAAAAGGGGGACGAAGGAAAAGAUGGGGAUGUGCCAUUGCUGUCCCAUUGUCUCUUUAGUAUUAGUAAGUGGGAAUAUGACGUUUUUGUCCAUCCCUUUUCCUUAAUUUUUCAUUUUUCUAAAUAUAAUUUCACUCAUCUCAUUAUGAUGUUUCCCUCUCAUCGCCUAAUCCUUCUUCCACUACACAUCUCAUUAUUUCCUUUUAAUCUCCUAACACAUACACAAGAUCUCAUUCUUUUUCUUCUUCAUUUAUAGACUUAGAUGCUAUAUCAAAUUUGUAGGUCCGAAACUCAAGUACUUCAAUGUUGUAUGUUAUUUUAUUUUUAUUUAAUGUUGAUUUUUACUCGAUAAAUAUCCCUCGUUAAGUUAAACUAUUAAUUUUACUACAUAAUAUAAUUUUCUUGUUUAUAGUAUUUUUAGCAUUUAAUUAAAAGAAAACAUGUAAGAUAAGUGGGCAAAUGAACGAGAAGAUUAAGAAGAAGAAAGGAUAAUUAAGUAUGUAUACCAUUUUUAGCAUUUAAUUAAAAAGAAAAGGAAAAUAUGUAAGAUAAGGUUUGGAAAUGAAUGAAAAAUGAGAAAUGGAUAACGAUAAAUGGCACAAGAUUUGCACCUGAUUAAUGUUAAUAAGAUUAACAUAAGUAGUGUGUGAUUAAUUAAGCAUGGGGGCUGUGAAAAGAAAAUAGAGUAUAACCCACUUUACAUCCUUUUCCGUAAACGUCAAAUAAUUGAAAUAACAAUUUUAACUUUACAGUUAUUGGAGAAAAAGAAAAACUAAAAAAGCGUGACGUGGGAUCUCUUGGGCUACGUGGUGCCCGCAAGCAACGGCCAAGAUUCCCUCUCACUCAUCAUCAAAAUACUAAUUAAUCAAUCUCAGUCUCUCUUUCUCUCUCUAACUCAAAAACACUCUUCCUAUAUAUUUCUUUAUUUGCCCAAUUGGCGUAGUUUCUCACACUCCUCCAACUUCCCCCACUCUCUCUUCUUCCUCCCGCCUCCACCUUCAUUUUUCCGCUUCUUCUUCUUUUAAUAUGCUGCUUGGCAAACGCCCUCGUCUUCCCAUCAAGAGAACUACCAGUAUGACCGGAAUCAGAGGGGAUAUCCCCGACGUCGAAUUUGAAGAACAACCCUCAUCCGAUCAGAUCAUCAACAACCCCGGCGGCGGCUACGAUCUUCACCACCCCAUCCCCCCGGUUUCACUUCCUCAUAAUACCACCGCCAUUAAUUACUCCGCCUUGGUUUCUCCUCGAAAUUUAAGAGAUCAGUCCCCACCUAACGAUCACUUCCUCCGCACGUGCGGUCUCUGCAAACGCCGCCUCGCUCCGGGCCGUGAUAUCUACAUGUACAGGUACAGUACCCUCCUCUCUCUCGAUUUCUUUUUCUUUCCCAAUAUCUUAAGAAAAUUAGAAUUUGUAAUUUAAUUUGGGAGAUGUGACGCGUAUGUGCAGAGGGGACACCGCGUUUUGCAGUUCGGAGUGUAGAGAGAAGCAAAUAAAAGAAGAUGAGAGAAAAGAGUACGGAGGGAAGAAGAAAGAGGAGCGGCAAGCGGCGGGGAUGGGGGUAAGGGGGUCGAGGAAGAAGGAAGCAGAGGGUGGAGGGAGGUAAUUAAUUAAGUAACGAUCGAUUAGAGUGGAAAUAUAAAAGUAAAAAAAAAAAAAAUAUUAUUGUGGGUAGAAGUAGAGCGGAGGGGUUUAUAUGUAUUUUAUAAUUACAUAAUAUAUGAAUGUAAUUCCAGUACCGACUCCGAUUCCGGCUGGGGCGGUGGUUGGUCACACGCCAGCUGGGUGGGGUGUUGGAGUAUGAGGUUACUAUAUGAUGAUGGGUAUAUUUUGGUAACUUUGUACAAAUGGAAUAUUUGGAAAAUCUUGAAAAAAGUAAAAAGGGAAAAUGAAAACAAAAAAACUAAAGGGAAAGGAAAAAUGCUGUGGGGAGAGGGGGAGGGGGAGGGGAAGUAUUAUUUAUUUGAUGUCGAUUUUGUAUUAGAUAUAUUGUAAUUUUAUGAUCUGGAACACUUCUAAGUUCUAACUACCUAGCUCUACAACACCCAUUAGAAAAUUAUUGUUUUUCUUUUUUAAUUAUUUAAAACAUGAAUUAAAUGUAUUUGGUAUCAAAUUAUGAGAUGAGACAUAUGAAUUUGGUAUCAAAUUAUGAUAUAUGUGAAUUUCAAGGAAUGGUCGUUCGAGAAUUGAAAAUAGAUUCAGUACCUUUUAAAUUCUAACUAGUAAUAGUAGUUUUUAGAUCAAAAAUAUCUUUCAUAUAAAUAUACUCUUUUCAUAUAUUUUUAAAUGUAUCUUUUUAUGAGUUUACAUUUCUUAAACCUCUUUCAAACAAAGUUAAUUAAAACUAAUCAUAUAAAAUUUUAAAGAAAAAUAUAUUAUGCUGAAUAUAAAUCCACUGAAAAUAAUUAAAAUUAUAAGCUUAAUUUAGCUUCAUAUAAUUAAAUAAUAUCGAUUUAAAAAAAUUACAAAUUAAAAUUUACCAAACGUCAAUCUUACUUUUUUCCACCGCUAAUUUUAAUAAAACUUUAAAGUAACUAGUCUAGAAGAUAAAAGUAUCUCAAAUUUAAGCUUUCCAAGUCUGCUAACCACGAUUACUAUCUCUACAAAUGAUACCCAAUAUAGAUAGAGAUACCAUUUAUUUAAGAUGUAACUACAAAUUCUUGAAAGCUGCCACUUCAAACAUUAGCCCGAAUAGGCCCAUUAUCCCACUUGGCUAGAGCUGGCUGAUUUGUACUUACAAAACCCAACUAUCGAAAUUAUUCCUUUUAUUAUGCUGAAACAAUCGAUGCAAUCUGCUUGUAACUUUUAUGAGGUGAAUAUUUAUAUAUAGAACAGUGUUUAUCAAGAGAGUGUCUCCAUAGCCUAUUGAGCUUGAAUGUUAUUUCAGUUUAAUAACAUUAGUUAUUCCACAUCACUUGCUUUUUGGAAAUGUGUGUUUACACCGUAAAAAUUGUGAGCGUAGUAACUUUAAAAGAAAAAUCAUUUGUAGCAAACUACAAGCCCAUUUCAGUAAUUUUAAUUGAUAAAAGUAUUGGAAAUUAUCUCUGUGGUACAUCUAAACAUAUGAAUAACUACAUCAUUGUUUAAUACCAUGAUCCAAUCGAAGCUGAGUAUAACUAGAUGUGUUGGCAAUUAUACAAUAUCCAAAAACAACAACCAGACCUUUCACAUUAGCUUUCAACCUUUCAACUUAGCUUUAAUUUCAAGUGCAUGUCAAUUACUAUGGAAGACUUGGCUCAUUUACGUUAUCAUUUAUAUGUGUUAUACGCCCUUAUAUUUGUUAACUAAAGUAUGAUAAUCAAACUUUAAUUCUAUCACUUUCUAUAAGAUUUUUCAUUUAGUAAAUAGUUGCCAGCAUGAGUAUAAUUCACCCUGGAACCACACCUUUAGAAAAAUAUAUUGAACAAUUAUUUCAUGUGGUGCAAAAUGGUCCAUCACAUUUCAUUAACUUCAACCAUUCAUUAAGAAUUUACCAAACUAAAUGCUAAACAUACGUAAUUUUUUGGUGUUUAGAGAUAACGUAAACAGCAGAGCAACUGGUAUAUAGUGUUUAUCAAAGAUUAUGGCUCAUGUCAAAGUUUACCAAUAUCUUCAACUUAUAACUACAAUAUUGUUUUAGUUGUAUUGAAAUGUCCAGAAAUUCAGAUUGAAAAUAUAUACCAUUAAUUUGCAAACUGAACAGUGGCUUACCCUUAACCCACUGAUUAUCUACUCCCAUUGAGGGAUGCUGUUGAAUCAGUCAACACAACAGCCUUCACAAAAGCUUACUUCUCUAGAAACACCCAUAAGAAAGAAAAAGAAAUGAACAUAGCUGAGAGGUUCUCCAAAGAACAAUUACAUCAAACUCAAACUUGUAAAGCAGAAAAAGGCAGAAUCUCUCAAGAUCAGUCUUCCUCCUUCGAUCACUUGUAUUCCAAUAUCAUAUUAUUCUCAGGAGCAAGCCCAACACAGGCCCUCAGAAUGUUCUCUAACAUUGCCCUUUGCUUUGAUAGUGCAUUCACAACUGGUGUGCCUGGGGGAACCUGUUUUUCCAUUACUCUCAAAUUUGUUAGGAGUUCUUUUUCUUUAAGUUCAAGUUAGAGCUCACAACUUAAAGAAGAUCGAAUUUGUACUUACAAGAGGUGCCUUGGUAAGGUAGCUCAGUAUUGUAGCCACUGGGUGGAAAGAAUGAAACUUCCCCUGCAAAAAGGAACAACCAACUGAUCUUCAAUCUUCAUCUUUUGUAAGUUUGAAAAAGAUGCAAUCAAUUCUUAAAUUUCAACCCACCUCUCCUUCAGCCUUGAGUUGGAUGCGAGUGCUUAGCUCAGCAAGUAGAACCAAAUCAAGGAUAAUGGGAGCAGCCAAGAGGGAGUCCUCGCAUGUGUUGUGCAGUACAAUGGUGCUCUUUCCGCCCAUGAAUAUCUCUGACGUGUACUCAUCCAUGGCUCUCUUGCUAUCUCCAACAUAUGGCACAUACUAAAAGAGCCAAACACUUUCAAAUCAGGGAAAAAACAAACAAAACAAAAACUUCAACAGAGAAGCAAAGCCAAAAGAGAAAGCACCUUGAUCACUACAACAUGGUCUGGAUGCUCCCCUGGUUCGUACAAGAUGCCAUUGCUCGAGACCAUGUCGUCGACCACAUUGCUCUUUGAUAUUUCUUUCGAGCGGAAGGUUUGUGGAGCAGAGAGAUUCAUUCCAUCAUUGUUUCCAAGAUGAUUGUAGCUCACAAUUGAAGUUGGCUGAAAUCAGAGAUAAUGAUUUGAUUUCACUAGUUUCCUGAGUUAGUUGAAUACCAAGCCAUUUUUGUGUCAGAGUUUUACCUUAAUACCAGCACCAACUAGAAAAUCUACUAGGACAGAUUUCAUCUUGGUUUGACCACUCUUAAAGUCAUCUCCUCCUAUCAAACUGUUUCUCCUAAUAGCCAAAUCAAUCAACCCUGAAAUUGGAAGAUUUUAACCCAAAGAACUCAUCAUCAAAAUGUUUGAUGCUUAGGAACAUACAAGCAAGAGAGCUAAAAAUGUUAAGCUUAUAUCAUACCUGGGACGAAGGUGUUUUGUGGGCUUCCAUUGAUAAAAGGAACAUUCUCAAGAACACAGGCUAUGGCAUACAGGGUAGAAGGAGAUAUUUCAGCCUCAUUCUUGUCCAAAGAAGCUAAAAGGCUCUCCAUUGUGUCAUUCAGUCCCACAACUACAUUGCUGUAUCUCUCUGUGUUGGCGGUCCAAAGCACAACAACUUCAUCCACUUUACUCUUCUCCUUAAACUCCCUAAGGAUUCAGAGAAUUAAUUACAAGAAAAAAAAGGGCAUGGGCUUCUAAACAAUUGCAACAAACAAAACAGAACUAGAGUAACAUAUUACUUGAUAUCACUUAUGAUUUGUUGGACUUGUUCUCUCUUGGUUCCUUUAAUCACAUUGUUAGCUCGAGAACCUUGAUUAGCAGCAAUGAAAUCAGGGUCGUAGAUCCCAGGAAGUGGGACCAUGGAUUCCAUGUAGGGUCUCAACUGCUUUUGUAGGUCAAUAUCAAACACCUUGGCCCUUGCCAUGGCAUCUGCCAAGUUCAUGUCACUAAUGUCCCAACCUCCAAACACAAUGUCAUCUGGAUUAACCUGUAGAUUAAACAAUAUAAUGGAGGUUAAAAAAACAGAGAUGUAAUUAACAUAGCCCUCCUCCUCCUUUAAACUAAAAGGUCACUACCAUAGGAAGCAGGCUUUUAAAUGGGGCAUAGAUCUCCUCUCCAUUGUAAGAACCCACCCGGAUGGACGAAGCCUGAGUCAAUGACCCAAAAUAAUUGGCUUGUUGUACUUUAUCCUUAGUUGCCCAGGAAAUCCCUCUGAGAAUAUUUAAAUAAAUCCACGUUAAAAAAAAGUAAAGAAGUUACUUCAGCAGAAACUCAAAUACAAAAGAACAAAAGAUGUUGGUGCCCAAAAGGAACAACACCCAUCUCAAAAUUUGCAACAAAAAUACUUUUCUAAGAAAUCUUACUCUCGAUUGGCAAUAACCCCCCCUGUAAGAGUACAACCAUUAUUCCCACCCCAUCCAACAAGCAUAACCCUGCACAACACAAAGUCAUAAGAAAUUUUCUUCUCAUAAAAGAAAUUGUCAAAAUAAAAAAUUGUAAAACAAUCAUAAACAACAAACCCUAGCUUUGGGACAUGAGUUUGAGUUUUGAAUUGGUAUUUGACAGUCUUGGGCUUCACCGUCCAUUGAUAGCUACCAUUCUUAAGCUCAUGAACAAGUUCUGUUGUUUCAUAGUUGUACACAGAAAGAAUCUCAUUCGCAGUGUACUCCACAUUUGGACUCUCAACCUUAAAGCUCUCAAUGAACAUUUUCCUUUUUCUGUUUUAGAAAUGCAAGAAGAAAAAGUAGUGAGAAUUUUACAAUGAACCAAACAAAGGCUGAAUUUUUUUUGUAGCUCAGGCUGCUGUAAUGUAUGUGAUCCAUUGCCUUCUGCUGAUGGUUUCAUUUAUAGACGAAAAUGCACUCAAAUAGUUAACACGUGGCAUGACAUGCAUGGAUUACCAUAUAUACAUACUACUUUGUAGAUUAGCAGAUUUCGUUCCCUAUUUCAUUCCUUAAUUUUGGUAAUUAGUUUUUUUUCUUUCUUAUUCUUCCGUUUCGUCUACAAUUACCUUCUAUUCACUAUUCUAACCCAAUUAUCAAUAAUAUAUCAAUUGUAUUCUAACCCAUUUAUUCUACAUUGGAAGACAUCAAAUUAUCAAUAAUAUAUAUAUAUAUAUAUACUAUGAGGUAAUUCAGAGGAGAGGGGUGUAUGGCCCACUAAAGCUAUUGGCUUUAUAUAUAGUUGAUGAGAAAUUGAUUUGAUAUAUGGAAAUGUGUGAAUUUGAUGGAAAAGGAGAGAGGGGAGGGCGUAAUAUUCCGACACGUGGUCAAUUAUGGUCUCUGUCCAAAGUUGAUGUGACCAUAAUUUAAAUAAUGCAAGCUAUAUAUAUAUACACAAUCCAUCAUCAUUAUUUUAAGACGAAACAUACUUGCUUCUUCAAACUUACUUUUAUGUCUUUGCAUUUUUAUCAAACUUUUUUCUUAUGUAACUUCCUAUUUUGAUUUAGUUGUUUUUUUUUUUUUAUAGGACAAAUAUGAAUGCAUGCACUAUAUAAUUUCUUUAGAACUACAAAAAAAUAUCAAUACUCUUCUAAGAAAGCAUAAGUAAUAAAAAAUAAAUGAAUAUGAUACUAUAAAUUACAUGGAAGAUGUUCAAUCAAACUCAUCAUCAAGAGUGUACAAUGGGCCCUUAUUAUAUUUGGUGGUUUAGUGGGUGGUUGUGAACAUUCUUCUAAAAUAAUGAGAAAGAAAAAGGAAGAGAGAAGAAUAUGGGGUUGCUGGGGGCAUAGAUCAGAUCACGAUAAAGCAAGAGCAGCCUAUGUGGCGGUGUAGGAAAAGGUGGGUCUUCUAAUGCCAUGCAGAGGGAGGCUCGUGACCUUGUAUCACCUUUGUGGCUCUCAUCACCCAGCAAUACCAUUCCCCCUUCUUCAUUGUUCUUAAUUAAUGCAUACAUCCAUAUAUAUCAAUCAAUCAAUCAAUCCAUUGUUUUUCUUAGCUUAUAAUCCAGAAUAGUUUAAUUGAAAAGACAUUAUUUACCUUCUAACAAAAGAACUUUCAAUUUUUUUGUUUAAUAAUUCGAUGAAAUUAGAUAUGAAAUUGUAAAGGGUAAUCUAGAAUGUUCCCUUGUAUCCAAUAGGUGGCGAUGGAGGUCCCAUCCUCAUCCCCAUCAAUGUGCAGGAAACCCACCCCAUUUAUUCACGUGAUAAUAUAUUAUGUAUGAUUUCUGUUUAUUUUUCUCAAUUCAAUAAAACGGUAGUUUUAAUCGGUUAAAGAAGAAUAAAGUAAAUAAGUAAAUGAAUGGAAGGUGGGUGGGUGCCAUAAAGUCCAAAAUGAAACGAAAGAAAACUAGAGGUGUCACAUGGGUUUGUAUAACUAUAAACAGGAAAUUGUGCAAAAGCUGAAACAGAGGCAUGAAACAGUAGAAUUGUAUCACAAUAUAGAACAGAGUUGGUUGGAAACUUGUCAAUUCAAUUCUUUGUAAAUUCCAACAACUGAUCCCAAACCAAUGCAUUUCUGAAACUUCAUAUACAUCCCCACUACUAUUUUGUUUGGGGUUAAAAAUUGGUGUGGCCCUUUUUCUUUACCAAAAGCUCUGUUUGCUUUUCCUUUUUAUCCAACUUUUCCGAAGAGUCUGGUAGUUGUGAAUGUGAUAAAGAAGAGAUCUCGUGAAAUUUGAUCUACUUUUUUAGCUAAAAAAUUAAAAAAAUUGCUGUUUAUAAGCCAUUGAAGGCCCCUUGUUUGGAGGCCCCUUGUCGUCCAUGUCAUUGUGAUAUUUGAGGGGGUAAGGGUAUGGUAGAUUACUUAUGAGAUAAAUAAAUAAAACAUUACAAAAGGAGUACUUACACGUUAUAGUUUUUUAAGGGUGUGUUCAAUUAUUACAAUAUAUGUAUGAAUAAUGAGGAUGUGAAUUAAUUCAAAAGUGGGGCUCUGAAACAUACACCAUCCCUUUUGGAUUUUUGCUAUCAAACUUUAGUUGGAAUCCAAUUGUAGCUUCCUGAUUUGACGUUUAUUUGUUUCCCUCAAAAUUACAACAUUUUCUAAUCUUAUUUAUAAAUAUAACAUAACAUCACAAUUUAUCAACCAUACCUAACUAUGUCAAAUCCAAUAAAAUAUUUUGUUAAUUUUUAAAUAGAGGAGAUUGUUUGAAGUGCUAAGUUGGUUAGUGAUUAUUAUGGUUUGUCAAUUAUAAUAGCUCGUAGAUUAUAGUAAUUUGUGUCUCGUCACAAAGUAUUUUUGAGGAAGAUGAUUUUUAAAUUAUUAUACUAUAGUUAAUUUAUAGGUUAUAGUUAGUUGAAAACAUUAUAAUUAAAUCUAAAAGGUGUAGUAGGGUUGCCACUCCACCACUUGAAGUUUAGAAUAAAAACUUAAGAAAGAAUUGAAGAAAGAAAACUUGUGGGAGGGAUAAAUACUUACAAAUUGACUAGGAGAGUUACAAAUUUUUUUUCAUAUAUUUACUAAUUAAUUGUAGGAUGAAUGAUCAAAUCUUCCACCUCCAGAUUAUGUUAAUUAAUUAACCUAAUUUCAGUUAGAUUUAAAAGUUGAUUUUUUAUUUUUAUCGAACAAGUUUAAUGGACAAAAUUAUAAAUGUGGUCUGUUCCAAGUUUAAAUUUUCUCUUGGUAACAAAUUGAUUUAAAGAAUUCAUGGCAGAGCCAUGAAACUGAGAUUUAAAGCUUUAUGUGUGUAUUUGUAUAUAUUUAACUGUGCUGUUCAAAAUCCAGAUGGUUGGUGAGAGAUGAUUUCAGCCAUGUGUUGUUUUGAAAGAAAGGUUCCAUUUGAAAGGGAAAAGGGUAUAGGAAAUGGACUUGGUUCAUUUUGCAUAAAAUUUGAAGAUGUACUCAUAACUUAAAAACAAAACAGGAUGAAGUAAUGAAAGAAUAAACCAAUGGAUUUCUGGUUAUAUAUUUUCAUAUAUGUACAUGAAAGAAUCCCUCCCAAGAACAAACAAGAAUCACUCUCCAAAAGCACAAGGUACUUUCAUCAAGAAGAUGACAUACCGCUCUUUUACGUCCACACUUCCUGUCCUUCAUAGAAAAUAUAUUGUUGUCUUCCUUUCCAGCUUAUUACAAAACAAUGACAAUUUGGAGUGCAAAGGACAACCAUGUGGUUUCAAGUCACCGUAAUAGCAGUCGAGAAUGUUUAAGUAAGACGUUGAGAUGCUGUUUUCCCUGAGCCAUGUAGAAUAAAUUCUUUACCUUAGCUGUCAUCUGUUUCAAUUCAGCAUAUUUUCAUAAACUGGUUGGGGAAAACAUUUCAUUGAAAUAUAAAGAAAGACCUAUGACUAAACCUUUCCAAUGCCUAAUCCUUCCCUUGAAUAAGGAACUGAUCUCAGUUGAUAUCCCGGUGAUGAUGGAGGAGAUUUUCGACUACUUUCCUCUCUGCAAUUCAGCUUCCCAUUGGCUCUGCUUCGAGUUGUUUUGGUGGAUGAAGUCUUCCACUUCUCUUGCAAUAUGCUUGGGAGGGUCGAUUCCUGGUGGAGAAAUUGUUUUAGAUAACUCAUUUGUCCAAGAAGAGCGGCAUAUGUGGUAGAAAUUUUUGUAUACAUACCAGAAAUAGAACAGUAGCACAAUGUUUGAGAACCUCCAAGUUCAUACGAACAUCGUCGAGGCUCCUGCACAAAAAUACUUUUGUCAGUUUGUGAACUAAGAUGAUACAAGUUAACACAUACAAAGAAGGGAGUCGAUCAAUUGUAUUGAUACCUGUGCUUUUGCUGUCCCAACUGAAAGUAAGAAGCCAAUGAUGCCAUCUAAAUAUAAAACAGUUCAAAAUAUAUGAGAACUAUUUUGCCAAACGUUGUAUGCUAUAUGUUAUGGUUUUCAAGGUUCAAAAGUUCGUUAUUUCUCACCUUCAUGUUCCCGGCUCUCUUGCCAAAUUUGUUCGUUAAGACUCCUAAAGAAUCAACCAUCCCAACUGGGAUAGGAGCAGGCCUGCCAAUCUCUGCAAAUGCCUCCUUAAUACGAACACAGUCGAAUCUUCGAAUGUUGUGACCUGCCCAUAUCCUUCCAUUCAAAAUGCUGAAUAUCUUGUCAGCCACUUCCUCAAACAAUGGUGCAGUUGCAACAGCUGCUCUAGUUAUUCCGUCAGGUCGGCUAGACCUCAACGCAACAGCAGAUAAAUCCGUUGGCCUAAUGAGAGUAGUAAAGCUCUCGAGCUCUACAAGUUUCAUUGGGCAGACAACAAUAGCACCAAAUUCCAAUACUCGAAACCGUUGCCCAACUCUUUUGGGUACGGUAGUUUCCAAGUCGAAAAAUACAAUCUCAGCUGCACCUUCUUUGAAUGAACUUGAAGCCUCCAUAUCCAUUGGCAUUUAUGUCAAAUAGUUUCAAGAUAAAGUUUUGUUUUCUUAAUGUUCAAUGACAUGGGAGAUUGAAGAGGUUAUAAAUGGGCGAAGAAAAGAGAGGAUUAUUCUUGGUGUUGAGGGUUUGAUUGGUUGUCUUGAAAUUAAAGUCAAGAGCUUGGUCCGUGGAUGAAGAAGUCCUUAGCUUCUGGAGGGUGUCAAUUGCAAAACCAGCUCAAAUUGAACGGUAAAUUGAUCAUCAAGAAACGUUAAGAAUGACUUUUGUUGUCACUUUCCUAUUGCUUUCUGCAAUCAAAUACAGUUCAUGCAGCAUCGUUUUGGAAUAUUGAUGGAACCUUUCAAGCCAGGUCUUCUUAACCAAAAAUUAUUCCGUCUCAUCCCUUGUUUUGCCUUCCAUAUUUUAUUACUCUACUCUUAAUUAAUCAACCAAAACAUAAAAUAAAAGUUUGUUUAUACAGUUGUGUAAGUUAGACGAGAAUUAUUUCCUCAAUCUCUGUUUAAUAGGAAAAACAGACUAAAAUAAAAUUACAUGAAUAUUUUCCCUUUGCUAUAAAACUUGCAAUCAGAGUUAACUUUCUCAAUUUAGCUAAUAUAAACUAUUCGAUUCAAUUGUAUAAUAGGAACAAUACAAACAAUUCAGUUUACAAAUCCGAAACCAAAACAAACUAAGAAAUUUUGAUUUACUUGGUAAUUUUAAAUCAAACUGAACAGACACAGCAGUAAAGUUUGAGUUUUUGAUUUGAUUCACGGAUUGGGUUCGAUUUUGGCAUUGGGUUCGAUUCAAUUGUAUCAUCCCUCUAAUUUUAACUUUGGCCCAGAAGAAAUGUAACAAAAAAUUACACUAGCAGAAAUAAAAACCUUCUGAGUAGAGAGAAUUCAUCAAAAGUUUAAAACUUCCCCAUCCUAGUUGUGGAAUAAAAAUUCAAGAAUGGACCAUAGAUGCAAAUUCAGGAAGGAAAGGAGAAACAUCAAAGGGGUUGAACCAGUUUUUGUUUUUGAUGACCCCACACUUUCCUUUUAUCUAUUUCCUCAAGCAGUUCACCCUGUUCCUGAUCAGUAAGCAUGAAGAUAACAGAUAAAGGAUUUGACCGGUUAUGAUGCAUUUUUACGAAUAGAAUUGGAUAUUAGAUUUUGAUAUACCUAAUAUAACAACUAAGAGCAGGCAAUAAAAUCAUUAGAAGUGCAGACAAGUUCAAUCCCUUAGAAGCUUUAGACAACAAGAAACAUCACCCGCAAUUUGGUUAAAGGGAAUGAUGCCAAUUGCAAAGUUCUGCGUUUAUCCAAUCAAAACAAUUUACCAUUUUCAUGGCACUAACAAUUUACCAGACCAUUCUAAAAGGUAACUCAUAAGCUACAACAACUAAUAUAACACGGUAGAAUAAAGAGGCAUUUGAAUGACCACCAGUAGAAUGAUGAACGUGACACCCAAUAAAGAGGAAUAGAUUUUGAUACAAGGGAUAGAACUCGAAACCCACACCGGUUAAAAAUGUGGGGGCACGGAUGCACAAGGUAUUGUAAUACCAAAAUCAUACACACAAACUUAAAUUCUAGUACUCGAAGAAUCAAAAUCAUCAGGAGCAACACGAGCAAUCCAGUUAUUGAGCGUUCUCUUAAUCUCAGAGUGAUUAACAUAAGCCAAUUCAUACAUACUACACAGAUUCACGAUCACUGUUUCAUUGAGAGCCACAGUCGGAACUCUUUCCAGUGCAUUUUCAAGCACCUUAAUCGAAUCUGCUAAAUCCCGCAAGUACAUCAAGCAAAGAGCCUUAUUGUUAAUAGCCACCAUGUCCGAAUUAUCCCUCUCAAUACACUCCUCAUAUUCCCUCACAGCUGAUAGAUAGUCCUUGCCCACCAAAAACACCAACGCCUUGUUCCUAUUCACAAGGUUCUUCAUCUCUACUUCGCUUAACGACCCACUACUUUUCCCCUCUUUAACCAACUCCUCAAUCCGAUUAAACGAACGUUUAGCUCCUUCAAUAUCUCCAGCGUGCAUUUGUAUAUACCCAAGUUUCGAAAUCAGAGCAGGAUCUGAGAAAUCCUCACUUAACAAAUUAUUAAUCAAGGUUAAACAAACCCCAAACUCCUUGUUACUUAAAUGAUGGCCAAUAAUACAAUUAAUCACAAACACUACCCUUUUCUUCCACAAGUUCACAGAGACAUCGAGCUUUUUCUCCUCUUUAUCCUUCAAUUUUGACUGUACAAAAUCCAGAAGUUCGUAGAACCGGUCCAACCCAUGUUGACGCUCGCCCAUUUUGAUGGGGAUUAGCGCUUGCAGCCACCGAAGUGAAAAGGGGACCAUGGAGCCGGUUCGAUUAGGGUACACGCUAGGGUACGAUUCAUACCUGUAUUGAGAGCUAUUGAGAUCUUCAAGAGAAUCAAGUUCUGCCAGGGCUUCGGCGAAACGUCGGAGUUUGACAAGGGCAAGGACAUUGUAGGAUAGGUAAGUGAGGUGGUCAUGGGGCUUCUGAAGCAGGGUGAGAGCUCGGGCUCGGGCAACCUUAUCUAAAAUUGAACGCCAUGAACCGCGAGUGGCGAGAUCUUGAAGAGAGAAAAGAUCGUGAGCAAGAUCGUUGAGGGAUCCAAACUGAGUGGUUAAAGGGUCCGAGGAAAUUGCCAAAUUUUCGAAUCCAGUUGUUAGGGUUUCGGGAUCGGAAGUGCUGUGAGAGUGAGAGUCAGGUGACGGUGACGGUGACUCAGUUUCCAUCUCGAGCGAUGAUGAGUCGUUGGACCGAGAGGAUCCAGUUUCCUACCUCCUCCUCCUUGGGGUCUUCUUCUUCUUCUUCUUCGACAACAGUUUCCUAUUUUCUUGUUACAUCGAUCAACCGUGCUGUACAUUGGACCGAAAGGAUCCAGGCUCAGGCCCAAAACCAAAUGAGCUUCGUAUUGGGCCUAUUAUACAUCAUGGGCCAUUUCAUGAAUUUACUAUGAAAAUCUUCCUGACAAUUUGAAAAAGAAAAAGAAUAAAAAUAAUUUUCAAAUAUACCCACCACAUGGGGGCUCUUAGGACAUUGGGUUUUAUUAAUACGUUGGGGUUUCUCAAUAUGUAUUUGGGGUUGGGGAUGAAGUUUCUAAAUAAAAGUUGUGCAAAAUGUUAGGAUAAAUACUUUAAAUAUAUACAAUAGAGCAUGAAGAAUAAAUUAUGUAUCAAAUUUCAUCUCCAAUAAUUAAUGAUGGCUAUAAAAUGACUAUUGGCUUUUUCAACUAAAAUCUGAUUUUUAUCUUUAUGGAAUAUCAAUUAUCAUUUUCACUAAAUCAUAAUCAAUAUAGAAACAUAGUCAAGUUAGAGAUCUUUUGACCUUAAUUAAAUAGAUCGUACCUAAUUUAAUAAACUAACCAAAUUUAAUAAAUUAUUAAUUCACGUAUAUAAUUCACUUUAAUUAUAUAAUUAUAUAAUUAUAAACAUACUAUUUAAACACGUCUGACACAGAAUAGAUAAACAAAUUAUAAAGUUUACCAGUCACGUAGGUGUUAUAAAAAUAAUUAUUCUUUCAAAGACUACAAAUUUACCCAAAACAAAAAUUAAUAAAGUAUAGGUUGAAAUAUCAUUUUAUUCAUUGUAAUUUGAACCUUUUUCAAUAUGAGUUAAUUAUACCUUUAAAUGUCUAAUAUUAAUACUUGUACUUACCAUCAAUAUUAUAUUAAAACCUUCGAAAAAUUAUUAAAACCUGUUAAAUAAUAACAAUAACUUUCAUAUAAUAUGUAAUAUGUUUUCAAAUUGUAUAUUAAAAUGCUAAUAGAUACGAACAAGAAUUUGAAAAUCCACGAUCCACCCGAAAACACCAAUUAAGACAAAAUUUAAAAUUGGUUUAAAAUUACAAUAAUUAAAAAUGGACGAUUGAAAUGGUAUAGAUUAUAAUUGAAUAACUUUCCAAUAGUGUUUGAACCUAAAUUAAAAUACAAUUAUUUGGUAAUUUGGGUUGAAAUUAAAAAAAAAUCACACAUUCCAAAUCUGGAAAAUGAGUAUUUUGAGAAGUAUGAAAAAUGAGAUUCAAAUGUAUUUGUAGAAGAGCAAGUUAUAUAUCACUGUUAUAGGACAUCAUCGAUCAAAUCUGGAUUUGUGGACUUUGAUUUUGAAGUUAAUAGAAUAGGAACUACAUCAUCGUCCAAUCUCUUAAAUUUGUCAAAAACUUUGAAAUUAAUGAGUUUAAGUAGAUUCUUACAUCGCAGACUUGUUCCAAAUUUUAAAAAUAAAUUAUUGAGAGAAAGGAAAAAAAGAAAUGUAAAAGAAUCCCCACCUUCAAGACUAAUUUAGUGGGUAUAAAUGAAAAUGGAAUAAAUAGUACAAUGUCCAAUUUGCCAAAAGAGUGAAAAAGGGAAAUGAAUACUUUUACCUUUUUCAUUUGAUACCCGAUGUCCGUUAAGGAAUUGAAAUUAAAGGCUUAGGGAGGUAGAUGAAUAUUAGUAAGAAAAAUUAAAUCUUCAUAAAUGUUCUCUUUCUUUUUUCUUUUUACAUAAAUACCCAACGUCCGAUUGUAAAAGGUAGCUAAAAAGUUUUAUGAUAUAUGCGAUUAAUUAAAAUCUUAAUUAUUUCUUAAAGAUCAAAGUCCUCUCAAAUGGAAAUGGUAAUGGAAAUAAAUCGUAUUUUUCAUUUUAUGAAAUGAAUGUAUUUAUUACGAAUUAAUUUCCAUCUUUACAAUUUACAAAAUUCCCUUUAAAUUGGACAGUCCCCAAUUUCAUUUUCCUCACCAACACAAAAACCUCGGAAUAAAAAAAGAAAAGGAAAAUAGUAAUCUGUAGAACACAAUCACAAUGCCUAUCUUCCCCAAGCUUCUUGCUGCCCUUCUUGUCCUCUCUCUCAUUUCCACAGGUAUAACUAUAUGGCAUUUCAACUCCAUUUUGUCCUUUUCUUUAUUUAUCCUAACCAUUAUUCUCUUCCAAGUCAUUCCACUUUUUUCUUUUUCCUUUCCUAUAAAAGCAGUUUUAUGAUUAGGUGUGAACAUACCUUUUCUAUAUUCUUCUUUUCUUAAAAAUAAUUUCGCUUAUAGUACUCCUAAAUAAUGUUUUAAAAAAAUCAUUUUUCCCCUUAUCAUUGAAAAGAGAAACUCUUUAGUGUCUUUUCUGAAAGAUGGAUCGUUAAACAACAAAAACUUGUAUCAUGUUAAAUCAGCAAUUAACUCAUUAGAGUAUGGUUAAACAUUCAAAUAUAAUUGUGUUUAAGUAACUGAAGAUUGAGAUACUGAGAGCUUAUGAUUGGUUUCAGGAAACUGCCAAUGUUUUUUGAACAACAUAAAAAUCAGCCAAAGCAUGACAGGAUUUCAGAUCCAUGGAAUGACAGAAUGGAAAGUAACAAUAACCAACAACUGCAUAUGUUCUCAAUCUGAUUUGAAACUAGACUGCAAAGGCUUUGCAACUACUCUAAGCAUCGAUCCUUCCAUCUUAGCCAUCUCUGAUAGCGAGUGUUUAGUCAACAAUGGCCAACCUAUUUUCAAUUCCAGACCCAUCACCUUCAAGUAUGCACAAAGCCCCAAAUUCAAUUUCAAGCCUCUCUCCUCCCAGAUAUCUUGUUCUUAAAAAUCUUAUUCAUUUUUUACUCGGUUCAAAAUUAGUGUCUUUAGACACUUUUAUAAUAAUAAAAACUUAUCUUUAUUUAUUUUGUUUUGUUAAGUUAUCCAUUAUUACAAUUGUUUCACGAAUUCCCAAUUUGCGCAUAUGACGUUGCUUGAACCACGUUAGAUUAGACCAUGACUUGCAAAUUAAAAUACCUUUGAAUAUAAUACAGAAGGAAGAAGAAUAAUCUAAAUCCAUAAUUUUUUCCAACUUGUAUUCGUCAAGAUAAUGAAAUAUACGAAAAUUCGGAAGGAUCGUUUCUAAGAAAUUUCGAAGAAAUAAUGAAAAAAGCACAGUGGACUUGAAAGUUUCAUUAACUUUUCAAUUGACUAUUAUUAUUAUUAUUAUAUUAACUUCGAUAUUAUCUAAAAUGGUUUUACGCGUAUGGGACGAAAAAGGGUUUAUCACGAUGAAAUGGACACUCCCUUUUUUUCAAAAUGGGAUAUAAGAAUUUCUUAAUCCAAAACGGGAAUAAUUUUCCAUUACUUUUUAAUUAUCAUUUGAUUUGGUUAAUUGUACCUAAAUUAGAAUUAUAUCAGAUUUUGUGUACCCAUGAGGUUGUAGAAGAAGUUGAAUGUCCACCCUACAUGAAAAAAUGUUUUGACUUAUCAUCUCAUUUAAUAAUCAUUUACACACAACGUGUUAAUACCAUGUUUCUAAGAAAAAAAUUUGUUCUUAUUAUUAUUAUUUUUUUCUAAAUGCAUUGUAUUACAAGCCAAUUAAUUAGUUUGGCUGAUGUUGACUAUUAUUAAUUGUUAUAACUUGAUGAUGAAAAUAAAAUUUUAUAUAUGACUAUAAUAACAUACUUGGAACUCCUAAUAUUGUUAUUGUAUGUUUAAACAUGUGGUAAAAAUGUUAAUUUAUUGUUGAAAGAGCUCUACCUAACGUCUUUUAUCAAGCCAUCGUCAUAUUUGCUGGAUUCAACGUAAGAACACCUUUUUCUUUCUUUGAAAAAAAAGAUACAUAUGCUAAUUUGUUCAAUACAAUAAAAUAAUGCUACACUUCUCGAUUAAGUUAACAAAGUUUUUUUUUUUUUUUUUUUUUUUUUUUUUGUAUGGCGGAUUGAAUUUUCUUUAAUGAACAAUUAAUAUUAUUUAGUAGAUUAAUCGAGAAUGAGCCAUUAUUUUAUAGUUUAUAUAUAUCAGUUAUGUUUGUUUUUGGCACUAUCGAGGUAAGUAGAAAAUGUAAAAAAGUUCAAAUGAAAAUGUCGCAGCCGCUGCCUUGGACCAAGAUUUGAUUGGGUCAAAGUCAUGCAGGAUAUUUAUAUAGAACCAAUGCUUUCCCCAAAGCAUCAACCUCAAUGAUUUUUAAGCCUUUUGGGUUUUAGAAGAAGCACUCAAACGAUUCUAACAAUGGCUUCGCCGUUACAAAGUACACGAUACCUCUUAAUUCUUCUCUCCUUUGUCUUCUUCUUACUACAAUCUCAAACUGCAGAAUCAAGAACUCUGAACUAUAAAUGGGAAGUGAAAUCUGAAUUGAAGUCCCCCGAUUGCUUUAAAAAAGUUACCUUGACCAUUAAUGGCCGAUCUCCAGGUCCCACUAUCUACGCCCACCAAGGUGACACCGUCAUCGUUGAGCUCAAGAACAGCCUCUUUACCGAAAACGUGGCUAUCCACUGGCAUGGAAUUCGACAGGUACCCCUAAAUUUUCAUUUCUCUCCAUAUUUUUCUUCGUUAGUUUUAUAGUUCUUCUUUCUGACGUGCUCGUACAUUUGAAGAUCGGAACACCAUGGAGCGAUGGAACAGAAGGUGUCACUCAAUGCCCUAUUUUGCCUGGUGAAACCUUCAGAUAUCAGUUUGUUGUAGACAGAGUAAGAGAUACUUGACUUACUCGUUUUGUUUUGUGUCUCUCAAAAACUCCAUGCUUUAAUUUGAGUUUGACCUUUGUGAAAUUUGAAAUCUGCAGCCAGGAACUUAUCUAUACCAUGCCCAUUAUGGUAUGCAGAGAGAAGAUGGUCUCUAUGGAUCCAUUGUGGUUUGGGUUCCAGAAGGACAAACAGAGCCUUUUUCCUAUGAUCUUGAUCGUAACCUCAUCCUCACAGAUUGGUAUCAUAAAAGCAGCCACGAACACGCCACUGGAUUGGCUACCCCUGGCUCUGGAUUCAACUGGGUGGGAGAGCCUGAUUCACUGUUGAUUCAAGGAAGAGGGAGAUUCAACUGCUCUAUUCUGGGAUCUUCCAGUGGUACCUGCAAUUCAUCGAGCACAGAAUGUGUUCUUCAUCCAUUAACAGUCGUACCGGGAAAAACUUACCGAUUAAGGGUCUCCAGUCUCACUUCUCUUUCAGCUCUCAGUUUCCAAAUUGAGGUAAUUACAAGUUCAUCUACUUGAUUUCAUGUACUCUCCUUGAAAUUCUUCUUAAAUGGCUUAAACUGAUAAACUCUCUGUUUUGGAAACAGGGUCACACCAUGACUGUGGUUGAAGCUGAUGGGCAUUACGUUGAGCCAUUUCAAGUAAACAAUUUGUUCAUUUACUCAGGAGAAACAUAUUCCGUUUUGAUAAAAGCCGAUCAAGACCCUUCUAGAAACUACUGGAUCACAACCAAUGUGGUGAGCCGAUCAAGAACCACCCCCCCUGGAUUAGCCAUUUUCAAUUACUACCCAAAUCACCAGAGUAGACUCCCUCCGACAACUCCUCCAGCACCACCUGCUUGGAACGAUGUUACUCCCCGAUUGGCUCAAAGUCAAGCCAUCAAAGCCCGGCAAGGUUUUAUCCACACGCCGCCCAAAGCCGCCGAUAAAGUGAUCGUGCUUCUCAACACCCAAAACACCGUGAAUGGCCGUCGCCGGUGGUCGUUAAAUAACGUUUCCUUCAAUAUGCCUCAUACCCCAUAUCUUAUUGCUCUAAAGCACAAUCUUCUCCAUACAUUCAGCCAGGAAAAACCACCCACUGGAUACGAUUUCAAGAACUACGACAUUUUUAAUCCGGCGCCCAACCCUGAAGCGACGGUAAGCGACGCCAUAUACCGGUUGGACUUCAAUUCAACUGUGGACAUCAUACUACAGAACGCCAAUAUGAUGAGCCCAAACAACAGCGAAACACAUCCUUGGCAUUUGCACGGACACGAUUUCUGGGUUUUGGGGUACGGAGAAGGGAAAUUCGAUCUUUAUAAGGAUCCAAGCAAGUACAAUUUGGAGAACCCGAUCAUGAAGAACACGGUGCCGUUGCAUCCAUAUGGAUGGACCGCUUUGAGAUUUGUGGCGGAUAAUCCUGGUGUCUGGGCUUUCCACUGUCACAUCGACGCGCAUUUCUUUAUGGGAAUGGGUGUAGUUUUUGAAGAAGGGAUCGAGAGGGUUGGAAAAUUGCCUACUUCCAUUAUGGGAUGCGGGGAGAGCAAGAGGUUCUUGAGACCUUAACUCAUUUCCAUUCCGAUUACUAUUCUUUAGAAAAACACAAAGAAUAUUCUUUUAUGUUUAGCCAAAUUUUUUGUGCUGAUUGAGAGUCACUAUGAGUGUAUAGGUAAAUGUUAUUGCUACUUAAUAAGAAGAAAUCGUAAUAGUUUCUUAAAUGAUUUAAAUAACAAUACCAUUGUUAUGUUGUUUAUUUGGACUACUAUUGGGAUGUUGUGUGUGUGUGACUUUUGUUGAUAUCAACUGCUCCUUUUAUAUAAAAUUUCAGUUAUUCAUUCAAUUAUGACAAUAAAGUUUAUCAUUUUAGAGGUUUAGAUAUCACAUCUCAUUCCACUAAAGAAAAAGUUUUACAAUUCACCUUUGAUUUGUGAACAAUGAUUUAUCAAUUUAGUUCAUUAUUUUGUUCUUUUUACUAAAUAUAUUAUUAAAUGUUAAUAGAACUUUUGACCUGUAGUUAUAGUUAACAAGUGCAUUGAAAACCAAAUUUUUGUUUUUAUAAACUAUAAAGACUACACAUUCAUACGUUUAAGAUUUCACUUAAUUUUGAAAAGAAAUUUUUAUGUAUUUAAUGCCAUAAUUAAAAUUUGAGCCUAAAAAGCGUUAAGGCUUAAACUUCACAUACUAAAUUAUGAGUUCAAUGUUGGAAGCCUUUUUUAAAAUAAAAAAGUUGACCAAAAGAAUAUGACUAAUUUAAAAGAAGUAGAAGAAAACAAUUGGAUGUUUAAUUUAUAUGUAUUUUCAUAUUGAAGUGCAAUUUGCAAAACGUAACUUAAACAGGUUUUUUGCUUCUAAAAGAUGGAAAGUAGUAGGUUUUAAGGAGGGUGACAAUCACAGCCCACAGGAAUGACCAAAUGUUUAAUAUUUAUAAACUAGAGAUGAAAGGCAACAGUAGUGACCAAAUGUUUUAUUUAUUGUUUAUUUCAACUUUAUCCUUUACAGUAAGGGACACUCUUUUCCUAUUUUUUUAUCCUCAAGUUUUUGUAGUAUUAGAUCACUAAUAUUCAUCCCUUUUCAGUAUAUCAUUUGGUCCAAAGUGUAGUAACUCUACCAAUUAAUUGAUAUAUCUAAAUAUCAACCUUUAAUAUUCCACUCUCACAAUUCUCUCUUUUAUUUUUCUUAAUUAUGAUUUUUCUCUUCUUCUAAUUUUAUUUCCACUUCAAUUUCUUUCAUUUUCGCCACAAAUUUGUUAUUUUAUUUUUUCAUUUUCUUUUUAUCUUCUCACAUUUACAUAUUUUCGAUUAUGGAUAUUUCAAUAAUGUUAGUCUUGCUAAACAAUCUUUAAGUAUGUUAGUCGUAUAUCCAUAGUGUAUUAUCAAUUUAAUCCUAAACCAUUAUUUGUUUUUUUUUCCUUCUUAUAUUUUUAACUUAGUCUAACAUCUAACAUGACCAUCUAUAAAUUCAAUUUUGAGGUUGAUUUAAAUAAAGAAAACCCUUUUCUUUCUUCUUCCUCCUCUCUUUUUUCUUCUUGUUGAUUGUGGUUGCAAGCAUACGACGAAGAAUAGGGCAAAGCUUCUAGUAUCGGGUAUGAGAUGAAGCUUUCAACGUUAUUUUUUUAUUGGUCAUUCAUCCAGUUGACAACAUAAGUUUUAGAUGAGAUAAAGAUUGAGAGAGUUCUAGAUAUAAAACCAAUGAAUAAAUGUACAUAUGUAUAAUCGUUUAUUUUAUAUAAACGAUAAUGGUUAUUGUCGUUAACAUUUGCGUAUAUUUUUAAAUAAACAAUAAAAUAUUUUAUAGUCAACUUAAGAAAUGAAAAAUAUAUAUUUAUUUAAAUAUUUUUAAAUAAACAAUCAAACAUUUUAGAGUCAACAUAAAAAAUGAAAUGGAAAAUAAAAUCAUGUUAAAUGUCAUCUUAUCUCUUCAAAUGAAAAUAGAAAAAAAAUUAUAUUAAAUGCCUUUUCACUCAAAAUAAGAAAAUAUUAUACUAAAUACAUUUACUCUCUUUUUAAUAAACCCUUAUAAAUGUAAUUUGUGUCUCAUCACUAAAUAAACAUUGAAAAUAGGAAAACAUAUAUUAAUAAAGUUAUUGUGAAACUAUAAAAUCCUUCCUCGAAGAUUUUGAAACUUAAAAUGAGAUUUUUGGAUUUUUAGGUAAAAUAUCUGAUUAAUUAAUUUAUAUUAUAGAGAAUAAGUAUGAGUCUGUUGGCCCAAAAGCCCAAAAGCCCAAAAGCCCAAAAGCCCAAAAUCUCAAAGGCAAUCUUCUCAAUAGGUGGAGGCUCUUAUCCAAAUCCAAUGGCCCAUAUUUUGCACUUGUGGGGCCCUACAGUUCGCCAUAUCUAUCCUAAGUGCGCAUUCAUUCAAACCACUGCCUCAAACAAACAUCACACUGUUACAACUUACCAUUGCCACCUUCACUUUAUUCAAGCUUCACAUACACCUCAAUCUGAUCAUACUAAAAUGGCACUUUCCCCAUUAACCUUCACAACCCCAAGACCUCAAGCUUCCCAAAUUUUCUCCCCCAAGUUAUCUUCCACUGUUAAACCCACAUCUACUUCUUCUUCUUCUUCUUCUUCUUCUUCUUCAGUUUCUGCUACUAAGAAGGCAAUAUCUAACAUGGGCAUUGGCCUUCUUGCUGCUUCGGUUUUGGCUCUUUCGCCCUUGGAUGCAAACGCUACCAGAAUUGAAUACUAUGCCACUGUUGGAGAACCCCUUUGCGAGUUCAACUAUGUGCCUUCCGGGCUUGGCUAUUGCGACAUCGCCGUCGGAUCCGGUGAGGAAGUUCCUUAUGGUGAGCUUAUCAAUGUCAGUUCCGAUCUUCAAUCAUCCACUUCUUGUUUCUCAUUUUACUUUUCUUCGCAUCAUCAAAUUCUACCCUGCUUUUAUAUGACUGCUUGUUUCCGUCCAACUUCUCCUGCAUUGCUUCGUUGCAGUGGAAUGUGCAAUUCCCGCCAAUAGUAUAUCAAUCUAAUAUGUGUCUCUCGUUUUUUGCUGAGUUUGCAUGUGGGUUAUUUUUCUUAAUAUGUAUAUGUUGUGUCACGUGUUGCAAUGAACUGCAAUUCACUACGUUUAAUUUCCCCAUUCCACGCAUAAGGGAUUUUAUGAUAUGUUUUUGCGUUAUUUUACCGUUCAAAUGCAGGUUCACUACACUGCAAGGUUUGCUGAUGGGAUAGUGUUUGACAGUAGCUACAAGCGUGGUAGAUAUCUCACCAUGCGUAUUGGUGUUGGCAAGGUAUUGAUCAAGUGUUUUGUACAGCUUCUUAAGGUGCAUAUGGGCUUGAAAAGUUUGGCCAAUUUGUUUAAGUGCGAGCGGCUACAGGCUUUGAGAGUAAUGAUACUGUUUAAGAGAAAAGUGAUGAAAAUAUAUGUAUUUUAGGUCAUUGGUAACUUAGUCCAUUUCUGCACUUUCCAGAUCAUGUCGUUUCUUUAGGAAAACGUAGUUGAGCAGAAUUCAAUUGUACUUAUAACUAUGAGAAAAAAAAAAAGCAAAUUUAAUUAGAGUAAAACGGUCAGCAGAAUAGCUUUUCUAGGAUUGAGGAACAUCUCUCUUUGUCCCAUCUUAAUAAAAUACGCACCUUGCUGCAUCAACUUGGUUGACAAUCACCUCCCUAUAUGCAACUAUCUUCUAAGAGACCUUGUGUGGAGUUAGUUCUCCUACAAAUCCCAAUUGUUUGUUGACGAGGAUGUAGAAAGAAAGUGGUGGGUUUCUUUAACGAUUUGACAAGGAAAGAGCUGGAUGAGAGUGGAGGCAAGUCUGUUACCAACAUGGGAGGAUCAGGGUACUGAGAAUUUUCCUUCUCAUGCCUAGAUUAGGAGCAAGAUACUAUUUGUAAAACAAACUUUUAAUUUACUUGCAACCAAUCAAUAGCCAUUAUAUGGAUAAAUAAUUCAUUACCUUAGCCACUAACUAUAACUACAUUCAUUUCACCUUGUGGUGAGUGUGGGACCGUGGGUAACUGGGUGGGUGUAGUUACUUACCACAUUGACUCAUCGGAAAGGGACUAAAGUUGAUAAGAUUGUUGCCAGGUAAUAAGAGGAUUGGAUCAGGGAAUAUUAGGGGGUGAAGGAGUACCACCAAUGCUAGUAGGUAUGUCUACUGACGCAAUGAGUAGAAUUUUGUGGUUUUCUUUUUUUGCUGGUUUGCUUCUAAGAAAUUAUUGCCCCUCUGAUUUUGCCUAGGUGGCAAACGUAAGCUUCAGAUUCCUCCACAUUUAGCGUAUGGACCAGAACCAGCAGGCUGUUUUUCAGGUUGAAUUCUUUGAACUGAACUGCUUUGUUUUGCGUGUUGGCUAUCUAAAUUUUCGUGACAAUGUUGCAAGCUGUCUGUAGUUGCUUCUGUUGGCAAGUUAACGGUAGUUUAUUUUGUGCAAAUGCAUUAUAUGUUAGUGUGUAGUUGCUUUGCUCCAGAUAUCUCUUUUUGAUACUGGUGAAACCCAAGUACCAAUUAACUAAUGGACUCUGUUAAUGCCAUUUGUGUUGCCUUUACAGGUGAUUGCAAUAUACCUGGAAAUGCAACUCUUGUGUAUGAUAUAAAUUUCGUUGGAGUCUACUCAGGAAAUAGGAAGUGAUGGAAACAAUACCCAAUUUCCUACAAAAUUCUUGUAGAUAGACAACACAGAGUAAGUGAUUUUCUGACUUUUCUAAAUGUUCAAUCAUAUCAACCUAUCCUUUGUUUGGUUUCUCUUUUAAGUUGUGUUCACAGCUCAGCUAUCUUAACACACCCAUUUGUUUUUUGGUCCAUCUCAUACAGUAGAAUCACAACAAUUAUCUCAGUAGUGUCUCAGAUUCCAUUUCAUGCUUCCUGCUUCAUCUAUUGUUCAUCAUACACUUUUUCCCUCUUGGUUUCCCAGAACUUAAGUUGAAGCUAAACCACGAGCCAAAAGAAGUGCAUUUCUCUCUGGAUUUUCCAAGUAUGUGGAACUCAAGCUUGACUCUUAAGGCAGAAUACUUGGUUUUCUCCAACUAACCACCAGCAGGACUGGCAAUCCUUUUUAGGUGAAAAUCCAGCUAGGCAUGGUUGAAAUUGCUCAAUUCAAACGUAAUUGACCAAAACUAUGUAUUUGGUUGUUUUACAAGAUUAUGACUGUAUUUCUAUGCACGGAUACUAUUAUACUUUGUAAAAGCACGUCUUGUUUCUGAGUACUUCAGUAACUUUAUGCAAAUGGAAUCUAAUGACCGCAUUUUCUUUGAACACAUUCUUUUUUAAUAUGAUCGAAUUGUCAAUGAACACAAAAUUAUUAAACAUAGAUCACCCUAAUUUUUUCUCACCGCGAUUUUUCUUUAUGCUACCUUUGGAUAUGAGAAAAAGGUUAACGGAAAAAAAAUGUUCCGAAAGCCAAAAGCAAAGAAAGCAGGAUUCUUUCCUCACGUUUGGUGAAGAGAGAGAACCGGAAAGGAAGCCUUGGCUUGGCCUUUUUCUUCGUUUGCUGGGACCAAAUGCCGUUUGAAAUAAUUUGAAUUUUGUGUUCAAAUUUUUAGGCUCUUUUCCAAACCGAAAGUAAGUGCAAAUGUAUAGCCAUACUGCUCCUUCACAAUUCAUUAACUUAAUAAUUUCCAGUCCUUUAAAAUAAAGCGACUUUGGUUUUCUUCUUUUUUCCUUUCCUCUAACAGUUAAUAACCAGGUUGGAAUCUUGUUUUCUUUAGGUGAAAGAACAGCUGUGGGGAAGCCAAAGUCGUCUCACAAACAGAAAAUUACAACAUCAUGAAAUAAAGUAAUCUCUUACAUCAGCUAGUAACAACUAACAACCCCAAAUAUUCUAAUUACUCAUCCAUCUAGUUGACCAUUUCUUCUUCACAAAUGAUUGAACACACAGUAAUAUAUAUCAUUACCAUAAUUAUUGAGGUGUUUGACAAAAAUUUAGCAGAAGAGAGAUAUAUAGAGAGAGGUACAAAACAGGAGACUUGUUUUAGCUGCAAAGAAUUACAUGACAGAGCAAGCAUUUGGGUUGUCAUCACUGAACAUGUUGAUGUAAGGAUCUUCAUAUUUGGUAACAGAAGCAGUAGUGGCAGUUUGCUCCACAUUUCUUACAUACCCCGGUGGUGCCUUCUUAUCAUAAGCCUGAGCAAUGUAAGGCUGUGACACUAAGCUGUAGGGAACAUAUGGCCAUAUCUCAGCCUUUUUCCCUGUAGACUUCGCCUUCUUCAGUAUCUUGCUUGCUUCAACAUACCCCGUAACUGUCACUUUCUGCUGCUUCCUGUUUAUCUCCACAGAUUUUACCCCUUCCAAAGUUCAAAAGCAACUGCAUUUUGUUAGAUAGAGAGAAAAGGAAGAAGUAAAAACACAAAAGGGUUGAGUUUCUUUAGACAUAACAUACCACUGAGUGAAGAGAGGGCAUUCUUGACCUUAAGUUCACAGCCAUCACAGUCCAUUCUGACUUUCAACUCCACGGUUUGAAGCUGUUUCUUCUUCUUGUGUUUAUGGGUGUUACCCACCAAAUCUGACAAGUACUCCAAAGUCCCACCAACACCCAUUUUUCACUCUUUAAUCGAUGUAGUUGAAAAGGGAAAGGGACAACAGAAGCUCACAGAAGCAAAAACCAGAGUUGUAGAAAGAAAUGGAAACGUAAGUUUGGGUAGAAUGAUGGAUCUUUCUCUUUAGUCUUUACCUUCUCUUCAAGCAAACAAGCAAAGAAAAGGGCAUUAGAAACAAAGGCUGCUUUCUCUGGUUUUGAGAUGGUUAUAUGAAAGGAAACAGAGCUCGUUAUAUAGCCAUCUGGGUUACAUUUUAAAACUAAAGGAAAAAGGGUUGUGUUUUGGUUGUGGCCCCCCAAUCACCAAAAAUAAUUUGGCUUAGGAAGCUUGGUUCUUUUUUGUUGCUGUGGACGUUGCAUUUUUACUUUAAAAUGGCAAUUCUUUUAAGAUUAUGAAUAUAUUAAAACAAAUCUAUAUGCUUUUCUUAAUGAAGAGGUACUUUUGGCUCUAUCCUUUGGAAGAUUGAUCGCCUUUAUUCCAGUAAUAAAAUUAAGUUUAAUUUACAAAUACCAAAACAAAAAUAUAGAAAACAAAUUUGCAAUUUAACCUAAAACUAAAACCAAUUGGGCUGUCAUUUAUGGAGUGAAGCUGAAUUCAACAAGUUUUAAAAACCAACGCUAUACCAAAAAUGUCACCGCCAUCUUUACCUUAAUGCAUGAGGAGUCUUCUUAAUUUAGUGGUUUGCAUAAUUUUAAUUUAAUCUCAAUUUUUUCACGUAACUUUUUAAAACUAUUUCAUCUUAAACUCCAUUAUAAGAAGCUUGAAGGUGCAUGGUGGUCGGUAGGUGAUUAGAUCAAUUUCAAUUUUAACCUUAGUUUUUAAUUAAAUGGGUUUGGCUGGCUUAAACAACAAGUAGUAACAACAGACAGAUAUGUUGUUAGGAAGAGAAGUAUGUUAUGUUAUAAUAGUUGAAAAGAAAAAGUAGUGGUCAUGUCGUUUUCUGAACAACAUAACACUAAACAUAUAUAUAAAAAAAUAAAGACUUGGGAUUAUUUUAGUUUUCAUAAACAAUAAUUUUAGUGUUUGUUUGAAAAGUGUUGUGUUGGGGACUUGGGGGUGGAGAGAACCCGAAGGAAGGAAAGUGGGCAGCAGCCUCCUUCCUUGUAUGCAAUUGCAAAACUUAAGUCUUUUUCAAUUGUAUUCUUCUAAAAGUUUUAUAAUAAUCUUUCCCUUUUCAUUUCUGUUUUUAUUGUGUAUAUUUAUUGGUUUUUCACAUGGACAGGUUAAUUGGCUUUGAUUAAAUCUUUAAUACUACUACUAAUCACUGAUUGGAGCCACAAAUGUUGAUUACUUGAGUGAUUUAGAUGAUCAAGAUUUUUCAAAAAUUAAGUCAAAUUAAUUUUGACUUAAUUUGUGAAUCCAGAAAUGUGGUUUGGGAUGUGUGUAAAAAGAUCAUGAUGCUGAUUCUUUAUUCUAAUAGAGGAAGGAAGUAAAAUGGGUGUGGCUAAUCUUACCAUUUCUUCCUCUAUUCCUUUUCCUCCACUUUCUAUUUUGUCUUCAAACUUCUCCCCUAAUAAGCACACAUUUAAUAAAGUCACUCUAUCACACUAUGUACUUUUUUUGGCCACGAAUAUUUUUCAUUUCAUCAUGCAACCUCUUUUUUUAUAUAUAGUAAUUAUAGCUACAUUAAUAACUUUGACGGGACCCCCAACUUAUAAUUAAUUAAUUAGCUUUCUAUCAAAUUAAAAAUAAAAACGGUAUUAGAUUAUAUCUAUCCAUGAAAAAAGAUAAGAAAAUUGUCAUGAUCUUUAAAACAUAAACCGACACUAGAGAUCUAACUUUACAUCUCAUAAAAUCUAAUAAAACUAAAAAUGAUGGUAAUUAUAAUUUGGUGUUUAAUUAACUUAGAAUAAUAAUUUGUCCAAAAAGGUAGACAUGAGAUGGGAUAGGACAAAGGCCUGUGCAAAGGAAAAACUGUUCCAACUCUUACACAAAACUGGGACCUUCAAUGUGAAGAUAAGAAUAUUAUUUCUCAUUAAACUAACCACCAUUCUUAUUCUUCAAAAUAUUUAGUAACCAAAGACAGAGAUUUAAAUUAUUGGUUACAAGUUAUUAUUAAUGCAUAUGUUUAAUAAAGAAAAAAAGAAAGAGGAAAAAGGGGAUUCACAAACAAUCCAUCUUCUUGUAGCUUUUUUAUUUUGGAGGUUUGGUUUUGUUAGACAAAGAGCAUUGUCUUUUUUAUUUAUUCUUUUCAAUGGAACAACAACUUUUUAGAAUUGGGAAAAUAAAGGUGACUUUCUUCUUCACCACCACCACCACCUCUACCUCCCAAACACAAUUAUUGCUAUACAUUUUAGCUCUCAUUCCUAUUCCUAUCUAUACUAUGAUUAAUUAUUCAACCUUCUCACUUUCCUUUUUCUUUUGUAAUAUUUGAAUUUACACAAAUUUGACGAUCUCACAAUCUCAUUCGAUAGUUUUUUCAUUUUUCGUUCUGGUGUACUUUUUUCACUUAAAACGCGUAAAAGAUAAUGAAAAUGGAGGGUUAAAUUUGUAAAAGAAAUUAAAUAUAAAGGAAAAACCCUUUAGUGUAUGAGGUAAGUAUCACAUUGUACUAGUCUUUUCUAAUGAUUUCUUUUUAAGAUGACGACAUAAUUUAAAUGUAUCUAUUCUUAUGAAGCUUAAAUUAGUAACAAAAUCAUUCCAUGGCCUUGUUUUUUUUCUUUGGAAUUGUUCAUUUGUACUUUAGAAUAAUUAUAGAACCGAAUUUAUGUAGUCUAAAUUGAUUUGUGAGAUUAUAUUAUAAAAAUUUAUAUAGUUUAAAGGUCUAAAUUGAUUUGUGAGAUUAUAUUAUAAAAAUUUAUAUAGUUUAAAGGAGAUUUUAUAAUUAUGAUUUUACAACAUAACAUGGCAUAGCUAGAAUUAUAUUAACUUUUAGCAAUGGCUUAAACACAAUAACCAAAGUUGGCUUUGGACAUUAUUUCAUGAAAAAAGAAAGUUUUGUUUCUAAUGUUUGUUUUGACCUCAUGAAUAAGAACAGCACACGACUCCUUUUUAUAACGUUUUGGUUAUAACUUUUUUGUACUUUAAGGGAUUGGGCUUUUUUUCUGCCCUUGAUUUCUUGAUUUAUGUUUUUACUUUUUCAAAAAAAGAUUAGAAUUUAUAUUUGAUGCAGAAAGUCAAAAUUUAAAAAGAAAUUGAAAGCUAUUGUUUUGCUAGAUUGUCUUUUUCUUAAAAAAAAAGAAAAGAAAAGAAGAAGAUUAAGUGAAUUAAUAAACAAAUAUAUUUGAUAUUGAAAAAGAAGAUAGCUGUAUAACACAUGCAAUCAAUUAUUGUAUGGUGAACAGUUUGGGUAUUCAUCUAAAAUGCUUAAUUGUUCUUACUUGAUUUAAAUUAAUAUAUAAAGAAAUUGUAAAAAAAAUAAUUAAGUUAGAAGAUAACAAAAAGGGGAUUAGUAAUAUGGAUGUAGAAAUGAAUUAAAAAGUGGUGUGUUGGGGAAAUGAAUAGAGAAGGAAUUGUUGUGUGAAUGAAAUAAUUAGAAGUACUUUGGUGUACGCGGUGUCAGGUAAUGAAGUUCACUCAUUGAUAUAUAUAAUAAUAAGAUGAGUCCUCUUCCCUACAAUUUCAAACAAUAAUUGAAAUUUGGAAACGAUGUGGCCUUCACGCACACGAAGGAACCAUAAUCUAUAUAUAUAUAUUAAAAUGAAAUAUUGGUUAGUUCUAAAAUUAGUUUGUAUUAUUGGGUUCCUCAACUUUAAAAAUUUAUAAUAAGUCUUUAACAUUGAAAAUCUAAAAUAUCUAUUUGAUUUUUUAGGCAUUGUUAUCUACCUUUAUUAAAAAAAUUAGGCCCCUAUGAUAACUAUACUCAAACUUUAUUACUUUCUUAUCUACAUUUUAUCUAUGGAUUAAAAAUCAAACCAAAAUUUGAAAAUUAAAAAGAAAAAAUAACUGACAAAAAAAAUGUUUUCUGUUCUUCAAAUUUGACUAAGAAUUUUAAUCUUUGUAUUUGAGAAAGAAUGCAAAUUAUUGUAAGAUAGGAAAAGGAAAUAGGUAUAAUUAUAUAUAUAUAAAGCAAAGCCGAAAGAAGAAAUGGUUACGAAGUGAAAUUAAAAUAAAUAACAAAUAAUAAGGUUAGGAGAAAUAAAGAGUAAAGAUUAAGAAGGUAGUAAACUAACGGUAAUAUAUAUCAGAAGAGGAAAACAUAUAGAUAGAAGAAUGUAUAGCUACAUAACCAAAAAUGCAACGACUAUCAUCGACCCCCAUUGGAUGGCUCAUAUAAUGCCCCAAAAAAAAAAAAAAACUAAGAAAAAAGAAAGAAAAGAAGGAAAAUGCCAUUGAUGGAACUUGCAAGGACACAAGAUCUACAUGUCGUCCUUGCUGGGGGGAAGAUAGAUGUAAAGAGACUACCUCCAUUUACAUGUAAAACUUACUUAGAUAAAGCUCAGAAUCUACAUCACACGCAAGAAGAAACAAGGCAGAGUGCUAGAAGAAGCAGGUGCGGCAAUCUGAUUGAAUAAAAUCUGGAUGGGAUGAAGCAUGGGGUAGCAGCUGAUGGUUUAGAAGGGGCCCUUCCAGCUACGGCAGGAGCCACCGCGUGCCCCCCUGAAGCGCUCUGCUGUUCAUCGGCUGGUAAUGGGUUUGGCGGUGUCUCUUUUGCAGGAGUAAGAGGCAUUUUCUUUUCGUUACUGAGAUCUUGACCUUCGACAUGAACAUGGUAGAAAUAUGAAUGGAAGUUCAUGAAACGAGUUUAUAAAACAAUGGAAAAGCCAUACUUUCAUUUAACAAACGAAAAUAAUAUACAAUGAACAAUACAAAAAACCAACCCAUAUGAAACGAAGCAAGAAAAAAAAUGAUGGUUAAGACAGUUCAAACAUUUUCUUUCGGUUUUAUCAUGCACAAGAUGUGGGCAUCAGUUAAGAAGCUGCAAAAUCAUGACAAGUAACUACUAGGAGAUGGAAAUCUUACAAUUUGCGUGUGACCAACCCAACUUCAAAUUAUCCCUAUCAAAUACCAUCCGGUAUCCAGUCAUGUAAUUUUCUGCACAAGACAGCAAUACAAAAUUACCAUUUUCAUUAGACGUACGAUUUACUGCACAUAUCGCAUAUAUCAUAUUAGCAAUCUAAAUUUGAGGAGACAUUGUGAGCUUACGUCCCAAUAUUCCGAUAUCUCCAUCAGCAGGUAGUAUAGCAAAACAAAAUCCAGCUAACCCCUGUAUGCAUAGUACUGUUUAGUAUUAACACAGGCAUUAUUUUCUUGUAUUAGAAGUGAUGCAUAGCAUGUGACUUCUUCAGGAUACUUAAAACAAUUAUAUCAUCUAUUGGAUAGUUAGAACUAGAGACUAACUGCUAGGCUGUAUCAAAGAAGAGGGCCCUACCUCAGCUUGAUAGUUUAAGCACACCUUAUUUUUUUUCUUUUAUUGUUUUAGUUCUUAUUCUUCGUUUCCUUGUAGUCUCUAGUUUCUGGAGUAUCUAAAGCUAUCAACUUCACUACUAUGUUUCACAGUUCGAUUUUUAAGUACUUUUAUGCCCACUAAAAGUCAAAGCUAUUCCAUUAAUGGCUAAUUAUGACAAAUUUCAAAGAUCAAGUCCACAUCUUCACCCAUAUUCACCAAAUCAAAUCAUGCACACUUAAACAUUCUUAGAAGGAAACUUCCAUCUACCUGAUCGCCAUAGAUAGGGAAUACAGGAUCAUGAACCACAAAACUAUUGUUUAGUGGAAACAACAAUGUCACAGAUGGAACCUUUGGCAUUGCGUCUGCACUGUUGGAAAAAACGAUAACAUUAAAGUUAGACAUGCACAAGGGUGGGGUUUAUGAAGGGAAAAGGAUUUUACUGGUUAUCCAUCUCAUCGAUAUCACCUGAUCUUAUAGCAAUACUUCCAUGGAUAUCCUUUAAAGGAGACGGCGCUUGUAGUGUUUAACCUUUUAUCAAACUAUGAAAAGGGGAACUGGUUAAAGGACAAACGAACGAUAAAUUAAGUACAAAGCUGAACUACAAAAUGAAUGUACCUCAAUCACAAUAUUUUCAUAAGCUUCCUCUGGAAGAUAUGUAAACGAUGUCCCACUAUCUAUCAAUGCUUUAAAACUUGUCUGCUUGAGGCACGAAUUCUCAAUACAACAUGCUUCCACCCCAACAAUGUAGGUUUCACUGAAAGAUUCAGGUAUCACAAGGACUUCAGUCGGCAUAUAUAACAAAACAUGAUCAUCAUAAACAUGGAGAUAAUUCAUUAUGGUAAUUACUAUUUCCCGUCUAAUGGCACAAAUGAAGUUGUUUGCUGACUUGCAGGUCCCUCGUCCCCAAAAAAGAUUCUUCCAGAUCCAUCCUCAUUAAAACACAGCGAGAAGGAAUUCUGCACCAAUUCUUCUUUCGCAAGGGAACUAAGAACAGAAAUUUCUCCUAACCCUAAUCCAAAAAGACCAUCUGGAGCGACUCCACUUAGAUAACCGCCGCUUUGUUUCAUACCACACCUGUAUUAGAGAGCAAAAAUGGGUAAUAUAAAUACAGUAUCCUUCCUUAUUGCUGCAGUUUACACACAGCAAACAAUUGGAGGAACAAAAUGUAGGAACAAUGGAUCAUACCCUAAAAUGACAGGAGCCUGAAUCGUACAAUUAGAUGAAUUCUCACAACCGGAUGAAAGAUGCAACACAUCCUGAAUUAGUAGUCCUGAACUUGAAGUAUUUUCAGUAAUGUAGUCAAUAACAUAAGGACAUGACUGCUUCGGACUUUGGCAGCUUUGGCCUGAGUCGCACAAAUUAUGGCUGCAAGAUAUAUGCUUGCUCGUGCUUGAACUGGAUGGACGGUAUUCAUUGAGAUCUUUAUCCUGCAUUAUAAAUAAUGCCCCAAACAUGAGGGAGCAGGAGCACCUGCCAAUCAAUCAUCGGAAAUAAGUGCUAAACUUGCUGUCUUAUUAAAAAGACUUCAUAAUCCACUAAUACAUUCGCGCCAAAAAUGAGUUAGCCAAUCUUUCAUCUCCGUCUCCCCUCGGGCAUUUUUUAUUUCCCAUUGGAACUGGCCAUGCCUUUCUUUUCCGCCAAAAAUCACUACAAGACUUCGAAUUCCAGAACACAAUUUGUCCAAGCAUAACCCUUGAUCUAACGGAAAUAAAAAGGCAAUAUGCUUGGGUAUAAAGCAUAAGUCGUGGAUUAGAAGUAAUUAAUGUUUAUGUGGAAAGAACAGAUUCUGAAAAGCAGGCCUACCAGACUGCCAUAGUAACUUGCAGACAAGGGAGCACAUUGUAUGCAAUUACAAGGAACCCAAAGUAGAUCACUCCCAGCAUCCAAUGCAACCAGAAAAGAAACACUCGGUGUCCCGAUAUCAAUCCAGGUGUAAUGCAACCUAUAAUACGUAAACAACAAGAUGAUUUACAAGUGCAUAAGAUAACAUUUUAUAACACAAAAUUUUCUCAUAAAGGUGCCACUAUGCAAAAAGCUAUUAGAAGAUGGUUUUUUUUCCUUUUUUGGUGUGUGGGGGAGAGAGAUUACUAAAAAAAAAAAAAAAAAAAAAAACAAACAAACAAACAGAAAAGUAAUGCAAAACGGAAGAACAAAAAAUAGCAAGAACAAAAAGGAGAAGGAAGGAAGAGUAACGGUGACCAGCCAAAAUCAUUUCCGAGCGCAAUGGUUUUACUGCCUUCAGACGGGAAAAGCAACUGAAACCGAGAACCAAGCUUCAUCUUCUGCCUCCGAAAGUCACCACUAACAAGCUCCUGAUAAUACUCCAUACUCCCCUUCUCAGGCCAUGAUACUCGUACACUCGUAUUCGUACUCCCUGAAGCCCUAAGGGCCUUCAUCUCCUCAGAGAACCUGUGAAGUAUCCUUGAUGUGAACGUAAUAGACACCACCUGGUGAACAAAAAUCACCAUCAGCAGCAACAAAAGCAGAUUCCGAAGCGACAUUGCAACUCAGUCCUUGAAAGGACGAAGGAAGUAGCUCGAAGACGAGAUCUGGAGGUUCAGAAGAAACCCACGAACAAUUCGGAGCUUUAGUUACCCGCCGGUGAACCAAAAUGAAAAACAGAAACAGAAAGAAUCUGAGGGGUAUGAAGAAACCCAAGUUACGGGACAGAGAUCGGAGAAGAAGGCGAACGAGUUACGACGGAAGUAGGAAAGAAGAAAUGAAGUGAAGUGUAAAGAAGAAGCGAAGUGAAGUGAAGUGAAGUGAAGUGUAAAGAAGAAGCAGAGGGAGGGAGGGGGAGAGAGAGAGAGAGAGAGAGAGAGAUAGAAGAGGGCAAAAGAAGAAAAGGAAGGGGAGGAGGAGGACAGAAGGGAUUUGUAAUACACGGGGAAAAUAGCGCGUGUUAUAAAAUAAUUCCUUUUCAGUGUGUGCGCGCCCGUAAGAGAGGUUGUCGUUUUCUUAAUCACCGUUGGAUACAUUUCUUCUGCCUCUUUACUUUUCUUAUUUUUUCGUUUUCGUAUUUUAUUUUUCAAAAUAUAUCGAUGCUUUUGUAAAUUUUUUAUUUAAAUAAAGAUUAAAUGUGAGCUACUACUUUUAGUUUCGGAUAUUUGGACUUUUCAAAUGAAAUAAAUUAAAAUUCAAAAUAAAGGAUAAAUAAACGAAAUAAAUUAUUUGGAGAUUUUAUAAAAAAAAUAAGUUCAGAUUUAUUUGAUUUCUGUGUUCGAAUUAACCCUUUCCAAUAUAAUAAAAAUUACAAACAUAACAUAAUUUAGAUUUAAUUUUUAAAAUUUAUUAAUACAUUAUUAGAAAGUUAAUAGAUAAUAACAACAUAAUCUAGUGAUUAAAGUAUUUGUUAUUUUUAAGAGUAAAAAAAAAAAAAAAGUUGAAUUUUCUACAUUUACAUUUAUUGGUAAGAAAAGUUUCCUAAAGCAAACAUUCAGAUAGAAAAUGUAUGCCUCAAUUAUUGACAAAAUCAAGAAAAUAAAAAAGGUAUCCCAAUAAAUCCCUUUCAUGAUUAUUGGUGGUCUUGCAUAAGAAAUGUAGUUGGGGAUAAAGUUCUAUUGAAGAUAGGACUCUUAGGUAGAGAGACCAAGACUUACUAAAAUUGUAUUUGGUCAAAAUGUAAACUUUUGGUAGGUACAAAAUCUCCACUCUUCUUAAUUCAAUUGGUCCAAAUUAAAAUGUUUACCCAAAUAUGCAUUGCUCCUACUCCUAACUAGCUAAAAUGUUCAGCUUAAGUGACUGGCACUUAACAUCUAUUUUUGUAGGUGUGAGUAAGGUUAGCCACAUACUCAUGUUCAUUUAGUAUUUAUAUUCCACCUUGGUUCGAACAUUUUACCCUAUAUGUAAAUAGUUUCAAAACUUUUGACAUUAAAAAAUAUAUAUAUUUUUAUAAGAAAAGAAAUGAUAUGUGAAUUAAAAGUGAGGAGACCUAAUUGAAGGGAAACAAAGAAAUUGAAAGAUGAACUUUGUGGAGGCACCACACCAAGAAGGUGGUCCAAGAAUUACUUACGUGUCGAUUAAAACUAAAAAAGCGCAUUCAUUCUCAUUGGGCGGCGGCCCUUCACUUGCGAAUUUAAAUGAUAAAAUUCUUUUAAAUAAUUCAUCGCAUUACGUUUCAAAUUUCAAACCUAUCCUCUAAAUACUACCAACUGCUGGCAGUGGCAACCCACUCAUUGUCAUUCACCUGCAGCACUUUUCACUUCUGAUUUCUGAAUAUGAAAACUCCAAACCAAACCAAACCAUUACUAGAAAGAAAAAUUAUUUAUUUCAGGGUAUCCUAAUAUAUAAUUCACAAGUUCUGAAACGAGAGAAAAACUAAGAAAACAGAGAGAACGUCCAGAACAUGUGUUUAUAAGAGGUUCCUAUGCAUACAUUCUUUUUAUAAUAAUAAAUUCACACAAUGAGAAGUUACAUAAUUACAUUAUACAUUACUUUUCCUCAAAAUUGACAAGCAAUUGAAAUCAAUGAAAUACAAACAAGACCAAACCCAGAAAAACUAGUGAAAGGAAAUUUCCAAUUUUCUAUUUAUAAACUAAAAAAAAAAAAAAAAAAAAAAGAGAAAUCUGGAAAGUAUAUUAUAUACACUAUCAUGAUAAAUGCUCAAAAUUGAAAAAAUAAUUCCGCAAGGGGAAGGGGAUGGUCUCCUACUAAUGCAAUGGUGUAGCUUACUUGUUAGACCACUGAAAUUCUAUUUCCAAAUUCCGAGGACCGCUUUUGCUUUCAGGCAACAGGGUGUACUCGCCGGCAACCGCUCCCAACAUUACAACUUUGUCAAUUUGAAUUGUUACUUUCCCGAAAGAGCUCUGUUUUUGUUUUAGAGUACAUGAAAAGAAAAUUAGUUGUGAAGCUUUCAUAUGGAAACAAAUGAAGAGAAACAAAGGAAACUUAAAUGAAACUCGCCUUCCCCAUUUUGCUUUUGUUCUUGCAAGAAAUAUGAAGCUUCUGGCCUUUCGGUGGACUCUCAAAGGACCAUGCAAAAUUCUCAUCCCAUUCUGGAUUUGGACCGGUUGAUACAACCUGACCAAAAUUUAAAGAGAAGUUACAGUUUAGAAAUCUGAGACAAAUUGGGAAAAGGAUCAAAGAACAAAAGAAGCGAUGAUAAUAUUGGUUAUGAUGGAAUAAAAUAGGACCACAAAUUUUCUCCUAAAACCGUUCUGCCAGUAAAAUUUUAAUAAGAUACGGGGGCAUUUCGUCCAUGAACUGUACAAAAGAAUUAUUCAAACAUGGUGCAUAUGCAGAUGAAAAAUGAUAUAUGGAGAUGGACCACACAUGCGACAAGAGAAAGGAACCACACUACUCCAGCACACAACAGACUAUAGUUCCGAUAAUUAGUUAAACAUAGCCACUAUAAUUGACUAAUAUAUAAAUUAUCUUCCAUGGAAUAUUUACAAGUGUAAAAACUAUGAAUAAAAGGAAGAUGCAGAGAUGGAGUACAUUACCUUUGUUUGCCUCGGUGGAGUAUUGCCAAGGGUGAGCUUACAAAACACGCUGGGGUUUCCUACUGACUGCUUCAUGUUGUUGCCACGUUUGAUUAUAACUAAUAAUGUUCCUGGCAAGCACUGUAACAAAAAUUCAGCCUUCUCCUGGAAACGAGGAGGACCUGACUGAAUUAGAUACUGAAGCAAAGGAAUGGCAUCUGCAGCAGCAACAGACUGAGCUCUUGAAACCUCCGCUGGACAAGCUGACCAAGCUUGCCUCAAAAGAAACAGGGAAUCUAACGCAGCUUCUUGAGUUGCCUCAGUACCAGUCUUUAAGGAUGUUACUAGAUGAGGAAUGCUGAGUGUAGCAGGCUCAGUAGCUCUCAAUCGUGGGAAGUUGCUGAAAAGAGAAUUUAGGGCUUUCAGGUAUUCCUCAUUCACGGUUCCAGUGGCCCACAAGUCCUUUUCAAUGGCAGCUGCAAGACCAAAUUGUUAUGACACUAUAUCUUCCGAGGCAGGUAAGUAAAGUUUAUUAGGCAAGCGUCUAAGAAAUUGUUGUAAAAGCAGAUGAUUAAUUCUAGAAUGCAGUCUCCCAAGGGGAAAAAAUAAAGGAAAACAUUCAAAAAUAUAUUCAAUCGUGUAGCAGAUGUGCGGAGAUGAUUGAAAAGGAAAACCCAAUUCUAUCAAUGUUAUUAUGCAUGUGGAGGGUUUAGGGAAAUUACCAGUGAUGGCCCUAACUGUCUCACUGGAUGCGUAUUCCUGAAUGGUAUGAUUUGAGAAAAGGAGUUUAAUAAACAUUGCAGCCUGCACAGAUGUAUCUGGAUCACUGGAUCCAAUUAGGUCCAAUACCACCUGAACACCACCAGCCUCUGCAACUGCUCUUUUGUUUGAUCGACUGUACAUAACAAGAUUUUGCAAGGCACAUAUUGCUACCACUUUCAUUUCUUCUGUUGGUUGGUCCUCAAGCACAUUGACCAGAGCACGGCAAGCUGAAACAGCAUCCGUGCUUCUAGCAAGAGCUUCAUUCUGGAACAAAUCACCAAGUGCCAAAGUUGCCAGCAACCUUGGCUGUUGAGCUUGAGUUUGAGGAUCCAAGAGAUACUGGGAUAAUGGUACAAUUGCAGAUUUAGUAACCUUGGUUUCUCUGAUCUUCACAUUAUUAAGAAGUACUUCCAGUAGUCUAGCUGCAGUUUCCUCACAUUGAUGGCUUCUCAGAAGUUCCAACAGUGCCUCAAUUGCUCCACUUUCCGCCAUUGCUUCAGCACUCGUUGCAUCAUCACUUUCAAGUACAAGUAAAGCAUUCAGUGCACCAACCACUGUGCUUUCCAAUCCAGAACGAAGCAACCUGACCAACACCGCAACUGGGACUUCCAGAUAAAAUUCAGAACUGAACUGUAGAAUACUCGCUAAUACAGUGGCAGCAGAUUCCCACAAUGAAUGAGGAAGUGAAGGAUCAGCUUGCAGAAUGACUUUGGAUAACUCACUGACACCACCUUCUUUUGCUAUUUCAUUUGGCCACGUUAGUGCAAUACUAACAAGAGCCUUGACAGCUCUCUGCUGCAAGAUUUGAAUACCAGAACCAAGUACUCGUAUUAGAGGACCAAUCACUUGCUGCGUAACUGAGUCCUUUUGCAAAUGUUCUUCCACAAGUAGGUGUGAUAGGAGCUCAGCUGCCAAUUGUUGCACAGCUGGAGCAGGGGAAUCAAGUAAAGGAAUGAGGGGUUCAAUUGCUUGGUGACAGGUCAAUGUAUAGUCAGCACGACACUGAGGAUGCUCUAAUAUAUUAACAAGAACCUGCAGUGCACUAUGCUGUCCAUCAGGUCCAAAUUCUGGUCUUGUCAACAAUAGGAAAAGAGGUUCAACCACUUUUGCAGCAGAUGAUCCCUUAGCAAUGUUAGCAUUAUUAGUCAGUAUACGUAGCAAUUCUGCAAAGGCUGAACAAAGAAAAUCAGGUGCUUCAAGGAGGAUAUCCAAAAUGCUUUCAAUUACUCCAGCUUUUACCAUUUCCAUCUUACAAGCAGGUCUAUCUUUUCCUAACUUUACAAGUGCUCUAGACACUGCUUCGUGAAGCAUGAAAUUUCUACCAUAGAGGAGGCCUACAAGAGGGAUAACAGCUCCAUGUGCAGCAACUAGUUCUGCUAGUUGUUCAUCAUCAACUAGUUUAUCCAAUGCACGGACAACUGAUUGUUGAGCAGGACUAAAUUCAGUCACAAGAAGCGAUACCAAAGGCUCGACACAUCUCGCAGCAGCCAUUGUAGAUCUGAUUCUUGUAUUUCCAAAAAGUACACAGCACAACUCAGCAGCAUCUCCCUUCAAGUCCAUUGUACAAUUUGUUGACAGAAUUUUGCAAAGGACAUCAACUGCAUUCAUUUCAACAUCUGCAACUGCAAGGGCUCUUGAUGGGUUUUCACUUAAUAAACGAACUAAAGCAGCAAUGGCAGCAUGUUGCUCCCUCUCUGAGCCAGUACUGAGAAUCUCAACUAAGGGUUGCACAGCUUGUCUGGACGAUUCAGCAUUCCUAAUAUGGUCAGCAGAAAAGAGGCUCUCCAAUGCUUUAGCAGCACUAUACCUUGCACCCCUUCCACCCAAACGCAGAACUGCUACAAGCUGACUGACAGCACCAAAUGCGGAUUCAUGCCUACGUAUCUCAGAACUGCUGAAAAGAAUUCCUAACAAAUCAGUAGCAGCUUCUUCAGUUGCAUCUUGUGGUCCAAGUGAAAGAUAUUUGGUCAAUGCUUCCAAAGCCCCUGAUUCUACCAUAACAAUCUUAUUUGAUGGGCAGUCUUUCGCUAGCUGGGUCAAAAUUCCAAGAGCUAGAAAAGGUGCUCCUGGGCGAUCAGGAAUUGGUUUUAAUAAAUCAACAAGAGCUGGAAUUGCUUUCCGAGAAGUAGCACCAGUCCUUAUGUCAUCUACCCGAAACAAUCUCUCCAAAGCAACUUGCUCAGGGUAGCGAACCAGCAUGAAUUCUUCUGACAGUUCAAGAAGAUCAUAUAUGUCAGCAUCUGCACACCCAAGUAAAGAUAUUAAUCCCCCUGCUGCACCAGAGUUUGCAACUGACAGCAGGGUACCCCUGCUACCAUUACAAACUAAACUUGCAAUGGCCUGGGCUGCAAAAUAUCUAUUUGCUGGCUCCUCUGCUUUCAGUAAAUUUGCAAUCACUGGUAUAGAUUUCAUGGUUGCAUGUGCUCGUAUUAUAUCCCUGUCUUGAAAUAGAAUUGCAAGCAAUAGAGAAGAUAUCCAUAUGCUGCUGUCUUCUUUAAAAUCAAUCUGUGUAAAAAUUGAAUAAGCAAAAGAAAAUUAAAUGCAAUUAGUUAUGAAACCACAAUGAGUAAAAUAUCAAACAAAGGACCAUAAAUCAUGGAAAAACUAAAGGAAGGUAAGAAGUUGAGCACCUGAGCAUACUGUGAGGAAUAAUUGGAUAUUCCCUCUGUGAGAACUUCAACUGCUCCAGCCUCCAUGAUCACAGUCUUACUUCUUCCGUCGUGGCAGGCAAGAAGACAGAGUAGCCAUAUUGCGAGGUUGACACCAUAAACAACAGCAGUAGCUUUAUUGCAUUCUGUACCACAGCUGCCUUCUUUGGGAAGUCUAUAUAUGCUGAUAAAUUCCUUAUCAGUAUCACUCUGAUUAUCCAGUACAGAACUCUGCGAAGAGCUUAACAUUGCAACAAGAGAUUGAAUCAGUAGACUACAUGAACUUGAUGCGUGAAGAUCUUCCAACAGCCUGUGGUGAUUAACAUUAGCGGCACAUACGAGAAGGGCAGUUCCACCAAUUUUGACCUUAAUGUUUGUGGAAUUGAUCACCCUCGUAGAAACAGAAGCUAUGCAUCCAGAUGCAGUAACUACUUCUUCUCCUAUAACACCAGGUUGAUCCCGGCAAAGUCGUGCUAAUACCUCAAUAGCCUUGUCCUGUAGUAUAGGAGUUGCGUCAGUAAUGGAUGCAACUAUUGGGGAAAUGCUUUGGGGGAAUUCAGCUAAGACUGCCCAUGCAGGCUUCAUGGUCCCGCUAACCCCUUCAGAUCUAGAUAAAAUAGCAAGAGCAUCUAGUGCUUCAGAUGUGGAAACAGUUCUGGUGUCUGCAGAUCCUAGAAAUGAGACUAAUGCGAGAACAGUUCCUGCACUAUUCACACAAUCAGUGAUGCUAUGGUCAAUUUUCCGAGAGCGAAGCAAGCGAGCAAUUCCUGCUGCUGCAUGUGUCUUUCCAGACAUUGUGCCUUCACGCAAAACCCUAGUGGCAGGCAAAAUAAUUUCUUCAGUAACAGCCUUCUCUUGGACUUCACUAUCAAGUAGAAGAUUUGCCAGAGCACAGGUUGACAGUUCUGUAACUUCCAGAACUGCAGACUUUGCAAGCACAACUAAGGGAGAUAAUACAUCUCUAGCAGCAGCAGCCACGUCCCUGUUCUCCUUGAUUGACAGAAAUAUGGCAGCAAGGCACCGGGAAGCCUCUGCCAGAAUACUGUCGGAUUCAACUUUAAGUAGUUUUAUGACUGAUAAGAGAGUCUGAAUAGCAAUGCUACUUUCACGCAAGUCUUUGCGGAUUUCAAAUAUUCCAGCUAAAGCUGAUGCAGAUUUGGCUUGGGUCUCUUCUCUAGUAGAAUUCAAUAUUUUAAUCAUGGUCUCAAUUGCAUCAUUAGCAGCAGUACCUUCACGCACAAUAUCAUUGAGGGGGACCACAGAAAGCAUACUUCUAAGAGCAUCCAAAACAUAGACUUUGGAUUCUGGUAAAUCACUGGUUAAUAAUGCAGUAAGUUGGCUGAUGGUUGCUGUAUCAGAUUUAUGAAUCAAAUGAUUCAAAGUCUUUGCUGCAAUUUCUUUUCCAUUAGAGCUUCCAUUCUUAAGCAACCACAGCAGUGCAGGGACAGCAUCAGCGCUUUCAACACAUGCACGUAUGUCUUCACUGUGAUUGCAUAAGUUUCUAAGAAUUGUUGCAGAAUCUUCUUUUGCCUUUGCAGAACCAGUCUCUAGAAUUUGAACUAGUGGAGGUAUGCCACCAGCAGCCGUUAUAGCCCAUUUACUCUCAUCAUUUUCGUUCGAUAAAAGACAAAGCAAUGCAACCGCACAUUCCUGUUGCUGCUCUGAUGAGAGUCCAAGAAGUGAAAUCAACAGCUGAACCCCCUCACGACCUUGCAGGGCACGCCAUAGACUACCUUCAUUGUUGCAAAGGGUAAGAAGGGCUCUUACAAGCUCUUCCUGAACUUCAUUGGUUGCCAUUGUGAUCAAACCAACUAGUAAACGUUUUGCAUCAGAAUUUGCAAGUUUGACAGCAAGUAUGGGAUUACCAUACAAACUAGCUAAUGCUUCUAUAGUUCGUUCCUGCACAAGAAAGGUUACACGGGAUCCAAACUGCUUUACUAAAGUCUGUUCAAUAAUUAUAGGAUCUGAUGCUCUGGUGGCUUCUUCUUUGCUAUCAUAUAUCAUAAGAGCUGAUGCUAAAGCCCCUAAUGUGUCGGCAGUUUGAGCAGCUGAUGAGCAUGCCUCAAGGCUUUGUCCAAGGCUUGAGAUAACAUAAGACAAACCACCUGAAAUGUUUGCUAAAGCACACAUAGCAUUCUCCUGCAAUGCCUGAGCAUACUCACCUUGCAUGAACUCUUUCGAGGGAGCUAUUGUUGCAUUUAUCAAGGCAGGGAUACCAUUUGAACUUGCUACCUCACGCCGUGCUUCUUUGCACUGAGCAGAAAGAGAUUUAAGAGCACCUGCAGCUUCUGCUCUAACAGAGGCUUCAUUUCCAGGUCCUAUUAAUUUGAGGAGCUUUUUCGUAGCCUCUGCAGCCAAAACCUUGGAGCAAAAAGAUGCAUCUUCCAUCAUCACAUGUGCCAGGAGAAAGCACACAUUUGCUUGUGUAUUUGGCUCUCCUGUUGCCAAUAAAUUCACAAGUAUGUCUACACCGCCUGCAUUUAUAGUUGCAGACCAAAAUCCCUCAGUGCUGCUUGAGAGGUUUCUUAAAGCUCCAGUCAGUAAGCCAACAACAUUUCCAGAUUUGAGCCCAUUGUGUAGCUGCUCCCAAAGUACCGGAACAACUCCCUCAGUAGAAAAUAUUUUGGAUCCAACGUGAUCCCUAGCACCACCUUGGGAAACAGCAUAAAUGGUCUUUGCAGCAGCAAUUUGACCCUCUGACGAACUUGAUUUGAGGAGACCAAGCAAUGGGGGGAUGCAUCCUCCAAGUAGAACCUUUACCCUUAAUUCAUUUUCCUUGCACAAGGAACCUAAAACAGUAGCAGCUUGUAUUUUCACCCCAAGGGAACCUGAACGGAGAAGAGAAACUAGUACUGGAACUGCUUGAGAGUGAGAUCCAACAGCACUGAAUGCACUCUCACGUGUAUCAAUAAGUUCCAGCAAUUGCCUCAAAGAAAAUUCUUUCUCCUGCACAGAGGAGGAACUCUGCCGCAGCUGCUCAAUGCAUUGAGCAACACUUGCGAGUGUCCCAUCUGGAUCUUCCAUGCUAUUGCGAUCUCUGCAAGACAUAUGAUCAAAGUAAGUCAUCUGAUCUGGGUAUUAUUGUUCAGCGAUACACAAAUUGAACAAUAACACUUGUAUUUUACUACUUGGAUCGACUCACACAAAACAAGACUGAAUUAUAUGCUAUCCUCAUUUACUAUUGGACUCAUUCAUCAUAUGCUGUCCUUUAAGGAGGCUUGGGCUCUGGAAAGAUGGGGAAAAUGAAGUUCAAACUGAAGGAGAAGUGGACAGCCAACUAAAAUUUAUUAGGUCCAUUCACAUCCGUGUUCUUAAAACAAGACAACACACACACAUACCUAUGUCAAAAAUUAAAUGAAAAAAAUGUGGAUAUGGUAAAACCUCUAAAAUAAAAUAAUGCAUGCAAGUGAAGUGUAUACAUAAAAGCAUAUUGGUUAUCAAACAAAAAUGAGUCUUUCAUAAAUGCCAUGAAAUGACAAAAGGAACAAAAAUUAUACAUACAAGGACAGCCAAUAAAUAAAACCAUAUGGAUUAUCCUUAGAAGUCAGAAUACACAUCUUCCAAAUAUAACAUGAACUUGUUAAAAAAAAUGAAAUAAAUAAACAUUCAACUUUGAUUUUACCUGGAGCCCAUCUUCAUAAUAGAAUGCGGAGUAGGAGGCUCUGAAUCUUGAAUUUUUCCAUCCAUGUUUUUCUCCUACAACAAUUGAACACAGAAAUGAUUAGUACAUAACUAACAUAACAUGUACCACAAAAUCGAGAAAGUAGAAUACUUUAAAGAAAGCAUAGAACUAUCUUAAGCAGCUUAUUUUGUUUUUCCCAAUACAUAAACACUAAACAGGGUACAUACUAAACCACUCGUAUCAAAUUGAAGAUGACAUCCCAAAGAAAACUGCAUUGACUAAGAUUAUCUUUGAAAUUCAGUUAACCAGUCCAUCCGUCUGUCCCCUCUUAAACCUCAAACAAUAUUGAGCUUAGACAACCAAAUAAUUAAAAUAAGCAUACUCAUGAGUCCAUAACCCAAUUUUCUUGAUAUGCAUCAGAAUCACACUCACACAUGCUCACAUUUAAAACAACUAUUGUUUUCAUAAGCACUCCAUGCAAGAAUUGGUAAAGGGAAAAUUAAUUUACAAAUCUAAUGACAACAUUUAAAUAGAGGCCACAAAAUACCAGAUCAUUAGUAGGAUGACUGCUACCGUUGCUGGCAGCUAGUCUCCAAGUUAGUGUCGCCGCCAGUUUCUCUUCCUUUUAAGUUACAAUGAAGAUGAAACAGAACGUCAGAAUUCUACAGAUCUAUGAAAGAAAGGCAAUUAAUAGCAUAGCAUUCUCCUGCAAAACAAUCAUGAAAAAACCAGAUCAGAGACAAUGAUUAAAAUGCCGCGAAUCCAAAUAUUUUAUAACACUUGAACCGUUUCCAUACAACUAACAAAUAAAUAACAAAACCAGAAAAACAGCGAUGCUGCUGAAGUAGCGGUUCUAAGACUAAUUGAGCCAAUUAAAGUUCUUCAGGACUAAUGUGAAAUUAAUUUCACAUCACGCAAGGACACAUAUAAACUGUCUAUACUCCCGACACCGCCUCUCUCCAGUAAAUCAAAUUCCAUCAACAAUUAAAGACGGAAAUGAAAUCAAACCAAGCAACGAAAAUCCACAGAUUUACAUAAACACCGACCAACUAAAAUAAAAAUGACGCAGAUCCAGCAACAAAGAAUCAAAGUACAACUGAUUUAGUGAUCAGUCAAACAAGUCUAUAAAUGCACAACACAAAUAAAGUAAAUUAUAAUAGCAUUUGGCUAAGGCAAAAUCGACAAAUCGAAAACAGGAAUUUCAGUGAAUUUUUUACAUCGUGGCCAAUGCAAGCAGCUCAAAUCCAUUUCAUGCAUCAGAAAGAAAAUGAUAGAGAGAAAAAACCAACCUAAGAAGAGACUGGAAUGAAGAGCAAGUUUCUUACAAGAGAAGCGAGCAUAAAGAGAGAGUGAGAGAGCUUAGCCUCUGAUUUUCCUUUUUUUCUUUCUGGUGCUGUUGCUCUCUCUCUCUCCUCUUUUUUCCUCUUUCUCUCUCUAAAAAAUGGGAAUUACGUCUCCGAAUAUACAGAGAUUGGAACGGAACCAAGCAGGAGACAGCGAUGAAGCUUUAUGAGCUUUUUCCACAUCCACACUCUCACUAAUACACCACCGACAAGCUAAGCCGCCGCUUUCCCGGCUAACCUCGGCUCGGCUCACAUAUUCCUCCAUUUUUUUCUUCAUUUAUUUUACAAAUUAUAAUUGUCAACCAUUAAUUAAUUUUUCUAACUCUCUCUCGUCUUAAAAAUAAUAUAUAAUAAUACUAAUUAUUAAUUAUUAUUAUUAUUAUAUAACUCUCUUUCUCUGUCUACAAUUUAUCUCGUGGUGACUUUACAAUUAAUUGAGUUGAGAAUUUCUUCUUUAAAAAAAAAUUUGGCUUGAAUUAUUAAAAAGUAGAAAAAGAAAAUUAAAAUCAAGAGGAUGAAUUGAAAUGAAAUGAUACCUUAUCUCUCUCUAGAAAUGUUUUAUUAUUAUUUUAUCAUAUAAUAGACAGGUAUUGUGGACAGUGAGAUACACCUAAUAAAGCUAAAAUAGAUUAUAUAAGAUUUGUCUAAUAGUCCCUCUCACUUAACUGAAUUUGAUUUUCACUCCCUAAUCAAAAUGCAUUACGCAUCCCAAAAUUGAACCCAGAAAAUAUAUAUAUAUAUAGAAUUCCCCUUUUGUAAUUAAAGGUUAUACGUCUGAAAUAUUUUACCCUCGAUGAUAAGUCAAUUUUUAGUUUUACAUAUUGGUGAAGCACAUGAGUUUAAUGAAAUUGUGAGUAAGAUUAUUGGGGAAGAAUGAGAAAUUUGGGAGGCAGAUAAGAAAUAGAAAAGACUUGAGGGAGGAGAGUUUGUUGGUAAUUGUGAUGAGAAUGAAAUGAUUGGGACUGUGUAGCAGCCGGUAUGAUGUUAUGAACAAUAUUCUCUGGUGAUUUAUAGCGACAUUAUUUGUAGUUUUGUAUUUAGCUGUGCUGUCACCUCCCACGUUCUUUCUCUUCAUUCAGCUAAAACUAAAACUCUCUCUCCCUCUCCAUAGCCAUGCCCCAUGUUCCGUCAUCUAAUCUCUUCUAUGUCUAAUCUCUCUCUUUAUAUAAUACAUUAUAUAGCUGUUGAUUUGGCAACAAUUGUGAUUAGGGAUAUAAGACCUCCAUUAUGUGAUAACAGUUGAUUAAGACUGUAAUUUGGAGCCAACUAAAGCAAUUACACGAUGAUUUGGUUCGCUGUCACUUUUUAUAUUAUUAUAUCCAAAGAAAUGUGCACUCUUUUUGCACAUCAACGGGCAAUCUUAUUUGAAAAGUAAUAGUAAUAAUAAAAACAAAAACAACACAAUCCAAGGACUGCCUAAAGCUGAUGACGGUAAUUUCAUGAUUAAUUACAAACCACGAUGGGAGAAAAAAGAUAUUUAUUAAUUCUUAAUCCAUCAAACUUGGAUUUGAAGAAUCCGAAAGGACACUUUAUUAAUUGGUCAUCUUCUAUUGGUGCAAAUAUGGAUGAAAUUGCCAGCUAAAGGGGCCGGCUUUGGUUGGUAUGUUUAGAAUUUUUUGCAGUACUUUUAAAGCAAUAUCGAAUUUUAGAAAAUCACAACUUCAACUUCACCUUACCCUUUUAAAAAGAGAGAAAAAAAGAACAGAAAAAAGAAAAAACUUGGUCUUGCCCAAUCCCAUCAUUUCCACCAUACAAAUUAGAUUGGGCCAAAAUGGAGAGAUUACACACCUACUAGUAUUAGUACUAAUUAGAUAUCAAAUAAAAAUUAUGAGUAAUUAACUAACAAACUUAAUCAUCCUAGCACAAUUUUGUCACAUUUCAUUUUUAUAUAUAAAGUAGGUUGUUAUAGCACUCUCAGAAGGUUAUCUUGGAUGAGGAUUUUUAGGUAAGGGUGGAUUUGACUAAAGAUGUUGAACAGAAGCAACAUGGAUUUAUGAAGUCCGAAUUUAUUGGAAAUAUCCAUAGGUUUCCUACCACAUCAAAAUUACUGUUAACAAGCUCCAAAGUGUUAUUAUAACUGAGGUUUUCUAGAUUCACUAUUUAAACCCCACAACAUACUAGACUUGAUGCCAAACUCAUGCCUCAAAGGGCCCCUCAAAUAGUAUCCUAUAUUAAGAAUAUUUUCCUCCCCCUAAUUUUGAAAAAAAGGGUCCGACAAGAAUCAUCUAUUUCUAAGUAAGACGAUUUCUUCAACGAUUUCUUCAACAAUUUCUAAUAGCAGAUCUCCGACAUGAGAAAUGUAUAUCCUUUGAGAAUAACUAUUCAUAAACGUAAGUGCUGAAAGCAAAAUACUACCGCCAAGGUCCCUUCAACCAGAUCUGGGAUAACCACCAAACAUGCUUAUAAUCAAACAUGUUAAUGAAAAGCAAUGCCUUUCGAAGCAAAGUAAUAAAAGUGCCUCUCAAGUGAAAACAAGAACCAGGUAUUUGCAACUAACCCACUUUGACAAAAGGUUGCAAUAUGAGUUUGGCAUUGGCCUGAGAAGUGCCCGAAUGGCUGCAGUUGCUGUUCUUGGCGCUGCAGCAGAAGUAAAAUCCGUUACAAAAUUUUUUAUCAAGGUCAAUACAGAAAGAAUGGUGCUAUCCAAGAAUCGUGCGUUCCUCUUGCCUGAAAACUUGUGAUCUUUCUGUUCCCUGGGUAAACAUAGAAUUUUAGAUGCUCUGUAGAUAGAACCCUCAACUAAGAGGUGCGACAUGAAGCUAAUAAAUAUGUACUACAAAAAAAAGCACACAACCAGUGCCUGUAUACCGGAGACAGAGAUGGCAAAUUACUUUGAGGUGUUAGGUAAGGCUUAUUGAUGAGGCAUAUAGUUGAAGCAGGGUCAGGGCUUGCUCCGUAAUGGCUCGAUUUCUUGCUUGCCUUACCCAAUCAUGAACUACCUCUUCUGCUUUUGUGCCUUUAACACCUUCUUCAAGAGAAUGUGCUGCUUCAGCCAAGUUUCCUUCAGCCAGGCAGGACUCCACUCGGUUGAUGAUAGAUUCGAUCCCAGUACCAGAUUGGUCAGCCUCCUUCACCUAAAGAAGGUCAAGGAAAUUUCAGAAACUACAGCAAUAGGGGAGAGUAAAUGGGAGAUUUAAAGUUCUCUCUAAUUUACCUUAAUCCAGGAUGCUACACGAGCUAAAGAAUGUGCCAAAAUGCCACCACCGCCUGGUGGGAUAAAGCUCAAGUGCCGUAACGGUGCUUUUAAUGCAUCAAACUGCAUGCAAGGAGAUGAAUAAGUUAUAAGCCAGAUACUUUCACCAUCAAAGAUGAACUAGACUACCAAACAGUCAAUAUUGUACAACAAUAUUCCAGAACGAGUCAGAUUUGAUAAAAUCAAAGAAUUACGACGGUUUGAUAACAUUCAAUACAUUUUUGGGGGAAAGAACAAAGGUAAAAGAUAAUAUCUGAUUUCCUCCCCAUAAAGUAAUUCAUGUUGACAGAUAUGGUUGAAAGUAGUAAGAAUUUCUUCGAAAUCAACAACAUUGCUAUUCAAGAACUUUUUUUUUUCUUUAGUUGCCUUUUCUCGUACUUCCAAAUUCCAUCUGACCUACACCAAACUUAAACAGCUAUUCAAUCACGUUUUCACUAAACUUUUGUUUUAAAAAAACAAAUAAUAACUCUUACCAAUGCCAAACAGCCCCACGGUUUUUCAGUAAAGGAAAUGACACUGAUUAUAAUUAGGUAACCUUUUGAGAGAGAAGUAUGCUACAAUUUAUCUUCAAACCAGGGAGAACUUAAUGUACCUUUUGUGUCAUCUGUAACAACGUAUCUGAGCCAUGAUUCAAUAUUUCUUUAGGAAUGGAUGAAAGGAUCAGCUCUAAGUUAGAAUCUUUGUCAAUGCCUUGAAGAUUAACACGUAAUGCUUUUAUUUCAGCCUGGAUCGGUAACCCUCUGGAAAGAGCAUCUUCAAGUGCCAGUGCCCCCUAUAAGAUCGAUGACUUAUAGUUGAUUAAACACUUUGAGAUAAAUUGGAUUGGCUAUGCGCUAGCAAAAUAUAAAAAGGAAAAAAUAUGAUUUACAACCAUGAAAGUUCCUGAGACACCUUGUACUUGAGCACAAUGCUCGUUGAUGGAUUUAUACAUAUAUAAACUUUCUUGACAAAUGAAAUACAAAAGCAAGGGUUUAAAAAUCCUUAGAAAAUGCCAAGUUUAUAAAAAAUACUCUACUGCAGAUUCAAGGGAAGUUUUGGAGAAUUUCCUCACUCUUAAGUACAAUUCUCUCACAAGAUAACUGAGCAAAAACGUACUUCCCUGGCACUUUCUUACUUACAGACUAUAUAUUGCUCAAACCAAAGCUCAUUCUCACUAUAUUCUCAGGGGCCCAUCCCUCUAACUAACUAAUAACAAUUUAAUAUUCCUCAACUGCCUACACUUAUACACAUGCUUAAUGGGGGGGUCUAUCAUAGACUCAUAGUCAGCACAAAUAACCAAAAGAGGCUAAUUACAGAAACCUCGACUAAGGAAUCUCCAAUUGAAUCUUACAGGCUAGAACAUCCACCCUUGACAAAAGAAGAGAAUGAGAUUAUUCAAGCAAGAAUACUAUGACAAGCAAUUUUACAAUGUCAAAACCUGUCUUCAUUCUAAGAACAACCUCGGAUCUUAUUUUCAAAAGAAGCCUCACAAAACGUAACUAAAAAAAAAAAAACAAAUACCGUUUCCAAAUUUCAGCGUACACCCUAAUUUUAUGUUUUUUAUGGAAACAUACUGGUUUCAAACUUUCUAAAAUGCCUACAAAUAUGUAUGUUGUUGCGGAGAGACCUAGAACUAUUUUAACCUGGAAGAUUUUAAACGUAGUUUAAUCCCAAUGUUCAUCAGUUUCCCUGUUCACAUGCAAAUGAUGUAAAUCUGAUAGAAGAAUGAUCACCUUCAAUAGUACCCAAACUACUAAUAUUAGAUGCACAAACGUGCACCAGUAUGUAGGAAGACAAAUCUUUCUCCAAAAGUAAGUUUAACUUCAGUUUCUUCUAUACUACAAGUAAGAAAUGAAAACAUCAAUAAGUAGAAGUGCGAACUUACCAAUGCAAGUUUCUGAGCAGAGUGACUUUGACGAGCUUCUUCAGACCUUGCAUAGAAUGCCAUGCAAAGGGCAUUAAUCUGCAAAAAGAAGUUUCACACAUAAACAGAUUAUUGGUGGUAGAUUGAUUGCCUGGAUUCAGGCCAAAGGACAUGGAGCUAUAUUGGAACAUGCACAUCAUUGACAAGAAAAUAAACUAUUAUAGCAACAAAAGAAUUGCCAAAUUGAUGUACAGUUGACGUGUUUCUUCAUUAUAGUGUAAAAUUUUCAUCAAGCAAUGUCCAUAAAAAUCGGUGAGCAUCUUUCAUCCUAUGAAGGAAAAACUUCCCCCCGAAUGGUGAUAUCGUAAAUGAAGAACUAAACAUUUUUUUUCAACUUUUUUUUUCUUGUUAUGAAUGUCAUUUUUUAAGGAGGCAUGUUAGGUCCUAAUAUUAUCUAUAACUUCCACUUUGAAUAUGCAUGAUGUUUUUAGCUCAGGUAAAUCAAUAGCUUGUGCUAUAUUGCUUACAUGAAGAUUUGCUUCAGCCAUUUUUUCUAUCUGGGCAGCCUUCUCACUUGCAAUUGCUGCAGCUAACUCUGCUUUUGCCAGAUCUUGAAGUUUUCUCAACUUUGAUUCUAACUCAUUUUCCUGCAAUGAAAUCAUUUUUAAAAGUAUUGGUAAAGGGUCAGCAACUUGAGCUUGUUUGUCAUUUAAGAAACACUCCUACCUUCUGUUCAAGUUCCUUCUGAAAUUUAUCUUCCAAAUUCUCUUGUAGUGACAUCAGAGCAGCAGCUGCUUUUGUUUUCUCUCGUUUUAACUCCUGAAAAUAGUUAAAAUCCCAAGAAGCCAAUUAUAAGAAUGAGAGAAACACAACAACAGUGUACAGAUGUACGCUCUCUGUUCAGAUGAUACAUCUAUAAGAGACUCCACGUGCGUAAUUCAAAAAUUGAGAAUUCAACCUUGUCCAACAUAGCAGCCUUUUCUGCAUGCAUAAAUUCCCUAACCCGAGCAUCCCUCAAUGCUUCGUCCAUCUUGUUCUGUACAGAACAGAAACAUAAAUCACAGUCAAUAAUAGUCGCAUUUCAUAAAAAUUACAAUCGUUUCACGUACGAUAUAAAAAAUAUCUAUCGAUCCAUACCCACAGUGCUGUCUUUUCAUCAGCAAAACGACGAUAAUCCAGCUCAGCUUGCCGCUUUUCAGCAGCAUGAAUAGCUUCUAAGAAAUCAAUGACCAAUUUCCCAUCCUUGGAUAUGAAGCCAUCAUUCAACUCCUCAAUUUCAGCAAUUAAAGCCUGGCAUCUUGGAAACAAAACUUUAGAUCUUGUCUAAGACUCCUUUACUCAAUUCCAGAAAAAUGGACAUCCAUCAAGAAGAAGGAAAAAGUAAAUGACCUCUGUUCCUUUGUAAAACUUGUCAGUUCCAUCUUUGCUACCACCACCCAAGGAAGUCAUGCCAGCCUCACCCUUCAAAUGGUAGGCCUCGAGAAGAGAACUUGGCUCCCCUGUAUCUUCACUUGUAUCAUUCAACUCCUGGAUAGAAUACGAGCAGAGACAGAUUCACUUUAAGUUACACAUCUUUACUAGAAAUGAAUAUAUUUGGAUAAGAGAUUAAUAUAUUUAAGAAACAAAAGUUCAGAGAUGAUAUCCUGUGAAUCUAGAAUGUCUAAUUCUAAUGAACCAAUCAUCCUCAUCAAACUUCAUUUCUGGCCCGAAUACUAUUAGGCAAGGGAUUCUAGGUACCUGGUAUUUUUUCUAACUUGCCUCCUGUAAUAAACGUUUCAGUAAUCCCUUUCUGACACUGGAGUGGACGAAUAAUAAGUUGGAAUAGACCAAAUAGGUUCGUCUGCUGUAUGAUGAGAGGCUAGUCAUCUUCUUCAACACCCUAUGCAAUAUUUACAAAUUUUAACCUUCUUAUUAAUCCAUAAGGAUUAUAGACCUAUAAUCUGGUCUCUCCUUCUGCAAAGUCCUCAUCAUAUUUGAGAAGAUUUUUAUCAUGAGAGAUGAUGACUUGGUUUUGCCACUAUCUUGCUAACACGUGUUUCAGUUUCACCCACGUAUCAAAGAUAAGGGGGUUUGGACAUUUGAUUGUUCCAAGUCUUUCUCUUGUGAGCUGGUUUCUGGAAGGUUACACUCAUGAAGAAAACUAAAUUUUGCACGCUUGAUGCCUGGUGAUUUAUAGGAGGAUUAAUCCCAAAUCUCCACAGGUGUUCCUAUUUUACCAGUUAAUUGAAGAUUAAGAGGAUCUACACAUUUUUUUACUUUUCCCUUUUCCCAUAAUGAUUUGGUUUAGGUUUUGCAAUUGUUUGGCAUUAUUUUGGCCCCAUUUUGUAAUUUUCAUUCUAUGAUUGAAGAAGUUCUAGUAGAUCCUUCAGUUCAGGAAAGAGAAAUAGACAAUUGUGGUGGCAGGUUUUUAAUCAACAUAAGAUAUAUUUGGUAGAGAGAAACGUGAGGAUGUUUCAAUUAAGGGUCCUCAGAUAAAGUGUAGCCAGACUCAAAAUUAAGUUCCUCAUAGAGGAUUUUUUGUUGAAACAUUUUUAGUGAUUUUACUCUCAUUUCAAUUACCAAUAAUUAUACCAAUUUUUUCUAACUGUUUUCCUUCUCAUAACCCUUUUAUCUUGGCGUGGGCUUUUUUAUAUACAGCCUCUGUUUACUUUCUUCCCUGCCUCUUAAUAUAAGCUGGUUCACUAUUAAAAAGAAUUUGCAUUGAGCACGUGCAUUGUAUUGUAUGACUUAAACCUUCAAGCUACCAUUACAUCAACAUUUGAUCUGAAUGGAUAAAUUGAAGUUACCUUCAGUUUCUCUUCUGCAACUGUAUCUUCUUGUGGUGGUAUUCUGAUAUCAAUCUGUGCGGGUUCUGCAUCUGUCUUGCUAGAUAUUGGUGAAGUUUGAACUUCAUCGUGAGGCCAAUCCCUAGUACAAGACUCUGCGCUUUGCAUGUUCAAGUUUUCAUCUGUGGAUAUUUUAGAUCCAAGAUUCUCAUCCUCUACUUGACUGCCACUUUGAGUAAAUUCUGGCAAGUUUUCCUCCUCGAUCUUUUCAUGUGGCAGUGUCCUGGAACUGUCUUCAAACUGACCAUCAUCUUUCUCUUUUCCCCAAUCUUCAAGAUGAGGAAGGUGGGUAUCUGUCUCAACUUUCUGCUCAGUAGACUCCACAAUGGGAUUUGAGCUCUCGGUUUCUUCUCUAACACUAUUCGAUUUUUCGGUUUCCUCACUACUCGGUAAAUCAAAUUUCUGCACCACCAAAGGUUGGACAUUGUCUGAAUCACUUUUCUGAACUGUUUUAGUUGACUCUACAGAAGAAUUCUGCUCUAUAUCAACAGUUCGUUGGUCUAGAUAGCCGGCUUGGUAAGCUGCAAAAACAGCAGCACCAAUAACAACACUGCCAAAGACAACUUUUGGGAUGGAAUUUCCAGAAUUAGGUGGCACAUUUGUAGGUUGUGGUUUCAGAUUUUGUUUGGGCGCAGAUGAAAAUUCCCUUAUCUUAGAAAUACAUUGGGGUGUAUGCCAACAUUGCACCUGCAACAAAAACCUGUCAAAGAAUCAGAAAAUAUUUGAAAAAGUACACCAUUAAACCACAAAAAAUAUCAGGAUUGCAUAGUUUGGUCCCUAUAUUUUAUUAUAGACUAGUUUUGCAACACACUCUGUUCGUCCUCCCAUUUCAUUUGUCUCACAGCUUUUGGGCACAGUAAAAUUAAACAUAAGAAUAGAAACAUGUCAAUGGGUUUAACAUUUCUUAACACUGUCAAUUAAUUACAACAGCAGAAGAAAGAAUGGUAUAAAUAGAAAGUUCGUGUAUGUUAUAUGAGAAGGCUUCAAGUAGUCAGUUAAUAAAGACAGCACAACUGCAUCACAAGCACGUAGCAGGCAGAUGAAAAACUAUAUGCAUGUCUUUGCUCCCAAGUCAAAAAUAAAUUUCCAAGCAUUUAUUUUGCAGAUGCUCGUACUACCAAGAAAGAAUAGCAUAAAUAGCAAUUUAGUGUAUGUUAAAAGAUCCCAAUGUUGUACAUUUCCACCCAACUGCAUCUACGAUAACAUAUGUGAAGAACCAAGCAUGUGGAUUUAUAUGCUUAUAAGUCGAAUACACACUUCUCCAAAUAUCUGUUUGUAAAUUAUCUCAGCGUUUGGAUUGUACAAAACGAAUUCUGAUCGCAAAAAUGGGAAAGUCUUAUUUACGAAAUUCUACUUGCCUGGGGUGAACUCUGCCUCGGAGUCCUUCCACCAGAUUGACGAGAUGAUAAUUUCAGAAUUGACCUGCAGACAACAAUGCGAUAAAAAUACUAUCUAUAAGCAUCACCCGCUGUAACCGAACCCAGCGAGAUCCAAAUUCAUACAUAACAUGGCCAUUGACAUUGAGAUUUAUUAUCAUUUAUUAGUAGAAAAUUCCUAUUGCUGAGAAUGCCAAAUUAACCCUCGGGAGAUUAAAGAAUAAGAAUCUGGCAAUUUUCAACCAUUCAAGAAAACACUGCACUCGAAGGACAAUCGAAAUGACUAAUUAACGAAGAACAUCAACAUCACGAGCAAAAUAAAACAUAGUUGAAACAUAGUUCAAGAACAUUUCCGUACCUCCGCCACAUAGCGUAUACCUAUUCAGUGAAAACGGCGAGCGACGAAGAUAUUUGAGCGAAUAACCAAGUAAGCGAUUAAAUGCAAGUUGGGCAGUGGGUGAUGGAAAGUCCGGCCUGGUAGGAGGGUGGAACAACGGGUUCGAAAACUCAAAUUAACAAUCGGUUUACCGGAGGAAGAUCGCCGGAGACGAAGGAAAACAUCCGAUGACACCGGAAUUUUACCGCCUAAUUAGAUGUGUCCGACCAUCCGCAAGGAAUUAUUCCGCGAGUUGCAAUAGAUUCUACAAGGCCCAUUUAUAAAGUUGGGCCUUGAGCCCAAUAGAUUUGUAGGAGGUUGAUGAGCUGGGCUGAACGAAUCUGACAAGACUGCCCUUAUUCGGGUCCAUUGUGAUUCUAAAGGUAUGACUCGAUCAAUACUUUGUAGAUGUAAAUUUGAUAGACGAGCUAGUUUUUUUUGCAACAACAAAUACAGCCUUCUUUUUAAAUCUCAAUUGAAGCAAGGUAAUCUUUUAUGAUAUAACAUACGUGUAGACUUGAUUAAAGAAACAAACAAAAAAUUAGGGGAAAAAACUAAAGAGAUUGUAUUUUCUUCAACUCAAAGUUUCCCCAACUAAUAAUACUGUUGUUGCUAGUUAGGUUUCUCCCACCACAAGAACUGAUAAUGAAUUUAAUAACUGUAAAAAAAUAAAAUUUGGGAUAAUUCUUCUGUAAUAGUAUUUCAAGUGACCGAUACCGUUUUAGGCUAUUUUUAAACAUAGCAUAAUGAAUAAACAUAUAUAUUACACCAACACAAAUUACUAUUUUGUAUUUAUCAUGAUAGCAGUUUAUCUUGGUAUAUCACAUGUAAACAGUUAUAUUUUUUUAUAUUCAUAAAUAUUAUAAAAAAAACGUGCAUUAAAAACACUUUAUCCUUUUUCAAAAGUAACAAUAAUAAAUAUUUUUCUCUAAUAAUAUUCGAAAUUAUUUCACAACCUUUAAAGAUUGUGUGGAUUGCCCAUGUGUUCAAGCAUCUUUAUGUCUAAAAUAGAUUCGACUUAGUUAAACUAUAAUUGACCAAUCAUUUCUCUCUAACAGUCAAUGAUUUGAUUUUUCAUUCUAUGAAUGUUGAAAACAUAUACAAGGGUGUAAAAAUUUGUUUAAAUGAUAAAACGAUUGAAAUAUUUACAAACAUAACAAAAUUUAAUAGUUUAUAAAUUUAUCCGCAUCCAUUUGACAUUUAUUAGAUAAAUGAUAAUAAUCUAUCAACAUUUAUUAUUGAUAUUUUACUAUAUUUAUAAUUUUUUUUUGGUUCAUAUCACUUUAUAGGAAGUGGUUAUAUAUAUAUAUACAUACACUUAAAAGCAUCAAAGUGGAGUGGUAGGGGCCAUGUCACAUGGGAAGAACAAAGAGGCAUCCCAAAUUCAAAGAGUGAACCAUGCAUGUCAUGUCACAUAAAGCAUUAAUUUUCUUUUAUAAUAUUUUGUUUCCUGUUUUUAGUUAAAAAGAGAUAUUUGAGAUAAAAUCCCACAAAAGUGAUAUCUAAUGAAUUUCACUAUCAUAUCCAAAAACUCAAUUAUUAGUUUUCAAAACGCACACACACACAAUUAUCAAAAUGUUUCUAAACAUAUAGAAAAAAUCUACUCACGUUUUUAUACUAAAAUUUCUUUUGAACAUUACUGAGGUUGUCUGUCUCUAAUGGGUGAAUUUCUUUGACAUACUUAUUUCAUUCUUUCAGCAAUCCUUCAAUUUAGAAAUCUAAACACUUUCUCAGAGCUAGAGAUGCAUCAAUCAAAGACUAAUCUUGACAUUUUUCUAAUUCUUUAUUACAAAUUACCAUAUUUUUCACCAAAUAUAGAAUCUAUAACCCAACUAUUUUUUGCUAUUCAAAAAUCGUUUAGAGAGAAAUUGCACAAUUAAGUCCUUGAGGAAAAUCGGCAAAUGGUACAUAACAGCCAUGAGGGUGGAAUAGCUUCCAUAUGAGAACCAAGGCGAUGGCUUCGUUUUAAGAACAGCGGCGACUGUCUUCUCGGCAAACUCGGCAGUAGGGGUGGCGUUAGAGCCCUGCGAGGCAUUGGCCCUGGCUAACAUUGCAGCUUCAAAGGGCUUGAAUAGCUUCAACUCAGGCAUCUGAUUAAAGUUGGCAAUGGCAGAGUUUCCAAUGUUUGAUUUAAUGGCUCCAGGGACAACGUUGAUAACGUCGAUUCCAAAGGGCUUCAGCUCCAUCCUUCAAUGAUGAAAAUAUCGAUCAAGUCAACCAACAUCACAGUGUGAAAUAAAUGCGAAAAUCAAAUGAAAUAUGUCAGCAAAUUGAAUUGGAUAUUCAUUGCGUUUAUUCAAGUUUCUAUCAUGGGCCGUGGCCCCCUAAAAAGCAAAAAGAAAAAAGAAAGUUUUAGAUUUUGAACUUUAAUGUCUUGGAAUAACUUUUCUAAGCAUUGAAAAAAAGAAAGUUUUUUUGGAGGGGUAUUUUUUUGCACAAGAGUUGAGAGUAACAACAUAGAAACAGAAGUAGAAGUGUGGAAUGGUAAACUUCCCCUCUUUAUUUAAACUAAAAAAUUUGUAGGCUUUCACAACUAAAAAACAUCAAUAACCCGUACAUUUUACUCCCAUCAGUUUACAAGUUUCUAGUUUUCAUAACUCACAACUUCACUCUUUGCCUCAAAGAUCGUCUUAUAAAACAAUGUUCUAUAAAGUCAUUUCAAACCGACUUUCAUGAAGAAAUAAGUUGUCUUGAAUCAACAAUAAGUAACCCAUAAAAAUAAACCCAGCAGAAAAAGAAAUAUUUGCUUACCCAUCAGACUUUUGUGGGUUGUUUCUGUUUCUACAGUUCUACUUCAGUGCAUUGUAACUUAAUAUAUUCUAUACAUAUCUUUGAGAUCUUUGAGCUGCUAAAAAGAUACACUAGAAAUUCAAUAGGACCCCGGCACUUAUUUUUCUCAUAUGAAUACUCAAUUUAAACUUUAAGCAUAAAGGUCUCGAACCCACUACAUAAUCAAACAAGCAAAAACAUCAAAAUUUCAAAUCCAACUAAAAAUUAUUCAAAGAUAGAUAAACAAAGUGGAAUGAUGCUCAUCCACUCACAAGAAUGGCUACAAGAAUCGGAACUCAAAUCCAUAGAAAUAUUAAUUUAAUCCCUUGAUUUAAGGUAAGAAUUGCGGUUGAAAGUUAAACUCCACCAACGAGCUUUAUUUGAAUUUUGGUUCUUUAUUUUUAAAAAUUAAUAUUUAUAAACCCUAUUUUCACCUCUAAUUUUCUUCCUAACUCGUUUCUAAAAAAUCUAAACCACUCAAAAACCAAAAAAAUAGUUUUAAAGUAUGUCUGAAAACUUUUUAGUUCUUUUGUUUUUGGUCCUCGAACAAUGGAUUUGUUCUUUUAACAACUUCCCUGUCAUACUAUUUAUCAAGAAAGACCAAAUUUUCUUAGUAAAUUUUCAAAUUGCAAAAACUAUCUUUCUUUACUUUUCAAAAUUUAGUCUUGGUUUUUAGAAUUGCAAAUUGCAAAAACUUUCUCUACCUUUCAAAACUUAGUAUUGGAUUUUAGAAUUAAUGAUAAAAGGUGGAUAACUAAAUAAAAAAACCAAUAGAUGAAAAGUAGAGAGUUUGUAAACUUAAUUUUUAAAAAGCAAAUUGCUAUCAAAUAGCUUUAGUAGUCAACUUUCAUCCCAGAAAAAGACUAGUGAGGUUCAAAUUAACUUAAUAAACUAUCACUAGCGAGGGUCUGGAAGAUCGAGAUAAUUAACUAAGGCAAGGCAAAACAUUUCGUGCAUGAUCAGGAACACAAAACAAUUGUUAAUUAUACCAUUAGAUGAGAAUCAGAGAGGUAUAUACGAACCUCAGACAGUCAGAAAUGGAAUGAAUAGCAGCUUUGGAUGCAGUAUAAGCACCAGCCCAUGGAAGAGGCGCCAAUACGGUGACACUUCCCAAAUUCACAAUCUUCCCCUUUCUUCGUGAUGCCAUGUGAGGAACCACGGUUUGAAUCAAUCUCAUAGUCCCUGCAAAUGCAAUUCUCCAAUUCAUAAAUACUAAUUUAACAUAAUACAAUAAUCCACUCCUUUCCAUAUUGGAGUGUUCAUGUUCAAAUUUUCCCCACCUCUAACUCUGCUUUCUACAUUUCACAUACCAAACAAACAGCUUUGUUUCUAACCAGUGGCGAAUCAGAAAUUUUAUUGACUAAGGCUUUAUAGACUAUUAAAAAUAAUUUGGAAGAAAAUAUAACUAAUAGGACUUGAACCUGAGUAUAGAGGGACUAAAUAAUUUCAUUGUUCACCAACUUCUUAAAUUGGUACUAUUUCAGUUUUCUAUAUAUAUAUAUUGUAAUAUAAAGAUCUUAAGUUGAUGGAAGAAAAUAUAACUAAUAGGACUUGAACUUGAGUAUAGAGGGACUAAAUAAUUUCAUUGUUCACUAACUUCUUAAAUUGGUACUAUUUCAGUUUUCUAUAUAUAUAUAUUGUAAUAUAAAGAUCUUAAGUUGAUGGGACUCGAGCUCCUGUACCUAUGCUAAAUCCACCCGUGUUUGCCAGGAAUACAAUUAUAUACAGUAGCAGAAGCUGACGAACACAGUAGAGCAGAAGAUAGGAUGAUAAAGUCUUCAGCGUUUAUUUCUAACCGACCACUGGAUCAAAUGUUAAUCACAAAACAAUAUCAAACUCAAAUCAAUUCGAAAUCUAAAUAAGCGGCUCAGUCAAUUCACAGUUUCUAAUCCCUAGAUUCGAUAUCAUUCAAUUCUGAAGGAAGAAAAAUGAAAUGGCGAAUCUGAAUAUUGAAAUACAAUUAAUUUCGCUGAUGGAUAAUUUGUUAGAGACCGAAGCUCACCGAAAACAUUGGUAUUGAAGGCGUUCUGCAUAGCGGAAAGUUGAACCUCGGCAAUAGGUCCAAUACAUUGAACGCCAGCGUUGUUCACCAAAAUAUCGAUUCGACCGAAUUUUUCGAUGACAAGAGACGUUAAUCGCUCGACGCUUUGGUCGGACAGGACAUCGAGUUCUUGUAAGAAAAAUCUGGGAUCGUGCUCCAGGUCCGCCAUUGAGGAGCGGGACCUGCUGGUUGCGACUACCAAACAGCCCUGGUCGGCGAAGGCUCGGGCGAGAGAGUGGCCUAUGCCUCCGUCGGAACAGCCGGAGAUGACAACUACUUCUUUUCCGGCAAAUUCCAUAUCCUUUUUAUCUUCUUGAAAAGUGAACGAACCCCGCCCUCCUCCAAAUUAAACCGAUUGAUAAAUCGGAGAUUGAAGUGUUGGGUAGCUCCAAGUACAUCAAUAAGAGCAAUUGCUCACUCGUCUGCACCUAGGCCCUGAAGACUUCCACAUGGCCGGUCUUUGUGGUGCCACUUGGCAACCCCACAUGGACGCUUUCCCUUUUUUCCCUCCUUCAUUUACGGUUAUUGUAUUUCUUGGGUGAUUUUAAAAAAAAAUUGGGAUUUUGGUUUUAAAUUUAUACAUAUAUAUAUGCUCAAUCUCUUCUCUCAUUUAUACAACACUCUUUAUUUUUAAUUAAUCAAUUAAAAAGUAAUAUUUUUAAAAAAUUGAAAUUAUUCUUACCAUGUUUUUUUAUUUAUGUUGCUAAUUCAUUUUCGUUAACUUGUGUUAAAUUGUUUAUGAAUUGUUGAUAUAAGUGGUUGAAGUUUCUACGAGUUACGUGCUGGUUUAUAGGAGUUGAAUGAGUGAGCAUAUGUGAGUUUUGAUUUGAAAGUAUCUGUUGAUAUAUAAAAUCCUAAUAAAUUUUAAACCUUUACUAAAAGUAAAAAUUAGAUUCCUUUGUUGAAGUCCAUCGAUAAUAGACUAUUUUAGUGAGGAGUAUCUAUAAGUAGUAGAUAUGGUAGAAGUCUUUUGGUAACAAAGUUUAACACUUGAUUUUAUUUAAAUUGCAAUUUUGGUUUCUUAAAUUCAAACCAUAGUUGGCAUUGGCUCACCGUUGGAAGGACGAGUAAAUGUUUAACUACAACAUUUAUUGCAUCCUUUUAUUUUAUUUUUCAGUAUCCAUUGUUUGUUUUAUUUGUAAAUUGUGAAUAAAACUAUGGCAAGAGGUAAUUGAAAUGAAACCAUAGCAAAUUUUAUAGAAUUAAAAGCCGUGGCACAAUGCAUGCAUUCAUUUAUCUAAAUAAUUCAAUUACAUGAGUACAAAAAAUAAUACAUUUUUUAAACGUAAAUGUUGAUAGAUUUUCAUUAGUGGAUAGAUUCUCAUGUCACAUCAUACUCUAUAUCGUUCAUAUCAAUAAUAUAAAUUUUUCGUUGAUAGAUUUUGUUAUAUUUUCUAUUUUUUAAAAAUAUUAUUAUACAAUUGUAUACCAUCUCUAAUAUUAUUAUGCCCUCGAUCAUAUCAAUCACUUUUAUAGAUUAAAUAAGUAUACAUCAUUAUAAUAGAAAUAAAAGUUCACUUUGUAUAAAAUUGUUUUAAAUUUCAUAAUACUAUGCAUAGUUUAUAUAUAGUUUAGAGAAUGUGUUCAUGAUACAUUCACAAAUAUUUAAUUGAAAAGAAUGUUAUUAAAAAAUAUAUAAUAUUUGACAAACACUCAAAAUUAGUCUUAAAACAACAUAAUCCAAACAUAACCUAAAUGGUUUUACUAAUUGAUAAUUUGUUUGCAUUUACUUGCUCAAGAAGGCCAUAAGUUUAGAAAUCAUCCCUAGGAACAAAAAAACGAAAAGUUAGAAAUUAUCCAAAGAACUAUUUUCCAUAUUGUUUGUUGGUUCUCAAAAAAAUAUUGAUUAGGUUAUUACAUUUUGGGACAGCAUACAUCUAAACUGACAAACUAAAUUUAGUAGUUUAUUAGUCAAUAAUUGAGUAAUAUAUCAUUAUUGACCACAACAAAUAAUGGCCUACCUCUUCAAAACAAUACUUCAAAUACAAAGUUUCCCCGACAAACAAUUACAUCGAAAAUUACAUCGAACAAAUCCAUAUUUAAUCUCCAUUUUUUUCAAGACUUUAGGAAAUGACAAUGCUAUUCCCCCCAUAAAUUGACCUAUAUAGAUAUAGAUAGAUAGUAUUUAAUUCUAAACCCUCUUAUUUCUAUCUAAACACUGGUACCAACAAGAAGAUGCUGUCUCCUUAUUUCGAGAAAAAAAAAAAGAUAUUGUCGAUAUUGUCUAAAGUCUUCCCUAAACGUGAAUUGAAGAUAAAAAGACGAAAUUUAUCACUAUAAUUGAAGGGAAAUUAAUUUAGUUUCUAUUGUUUCAUAAGUUUAGAUUUAGUCUCUUUUAAGUGCAGAAAGUCUAAGAGAAAUCCUUAUAAUUGAAUGAAGCUAUCACAAAUAAUCCUUGUUAUUGAGACUAAAUUAUAGUUUUCUUAAGUUAAAGUGACCAGUUUUACAAUUUAGAAUAGGAUUAGAAUGUUGGAUCUCAUUACACCAUGGUUGUACUAAAAAAUUACAACUUUGUUUUCAAGAUAUAGGGACAAAUUCUACAAUUGAAUGCAUAAUUACUACGAAUUAAUUAACCAGUUCUCCCAUGUUCAGAAGUAUCAGAAUCAUUUUUUGACUUGUUAACGUGUUUUAAUGAACUAGAACUAUAUUUCAACAACGCUCCAAAAUUCACACCAAAAAUGGAGACGAAGAGAGAAAGAAGAAGAUAUAACCCAUAAUUUGUACCUUCCUUAGUUUGAUUUCUAGCCAGAUCACAUCACCGAAGGAAGUUCAAAAAUUUACACAAGACGUAGAAAAAGAAAAGAAAAGAAAAAAAGCACUAAAAGCUUCGACUCUGGCAUGAAAUUUCUAUUGAGAAAGUAAAAGCCAGAGGAGGCCUGUUUUCAGGAAUUAGAGGUGGCCUGAAGCCCAAAUAGGGUACCCGGAUGGACUUUUUUACUGGAUUUUCCGGCAAUUCCGCCGGCGGCGUGAUGGGAAGUUUUUGGAGGUUUGACGGAAUCUUCUCUCCUGCCAGAUCUCUCCUGCUCCAUCCUCUGCAGUUUUUCCUCUGCUUUCUUUUUCAUUACAUAAACCCUAGCGCAGCUAGCUCCCAUGGAGGACAUGGUUUAUACAGAAGAAAAGGAAAUGAAAUGAAGAAAUUUCUACAAAUGUUUCAGUGGGCUUUUAAUUUGUUCAAUCGGUGGGUAUUGAAUGGCUUAAACCCUUGUUGUAUUUAUAGUGGAAAACGUGUUUGGUGGCCUUGGUGUUUCGUUGGCCCCUAGCGUAGGGGUCAGAUAACCAUAACCCCCAUUUUCUGUACCUUAUUUGGAUUGGACAAUUUCUUUUUAUUUCAAUCAAAUUUAAAUUAAAUUAAAUUUGCAUUUUUGUUAUUUAUACAAUUUUGCGUUUAACUUAAUCAAUGUAUUGUUCAAAAGUUGAGAUCUGCAAAUUCAUUGUUUCUUCCAUUCUAAUUUACAAAGGAUAAGUUUUGUUUUUAAUUUGAUCUGAUUUUUAGUUUAAUUUUAUAGUUUUUAUUUAAUUUUCUACAAUUUAAGCUUCUUUCAAAAUGCUAGCGUAGUUUUAAUUUGAUAUGGUUUGUUUCUUUAUUAAACUUAUAUCACUUCAUUACUUAAAUAGAUAUGUCAUGUUGCAAUCAUGUGCAUAGUUUGUGAAGUAAAAGUCAUGUGAACUUGGUUAAAUUUGUUAUGAACUCAACUUAAAAUUAAACUUUUUUAUUUAUUUGUUUUGACUCCAAUAAUACACUUGCAUAGUUGAGAUGUGUUUAGAUGUGUUUUACUGUUCAACUGUAGUUAGAAGUUUGUAUCUAAAUUUAUACUACAAGACAAAAGAUUAAUAAAGCAAUUGAGAACACAAAUGGAUAAGCAGUUGACUUAAUACAACUCUAAUUAACCAUUACAAGAUCUAAAUUCUCCUAAUUUAAAUGAUACAAGCAUAACAUUGUAUAAAUUUAAAUCUACAACUAAUUUGAAUCUUUCCAUUUACAUUAUGAAAAACACACUAUAUAAAAACUACAAUCUUUCCAUUUACAUUAUGAAAAACACACUAUAUAAAAACUACAACAGUAUAAUUAAUGUUUGAAUUCAUAAACGAAUCGGUUUAUAAUUUUAAUUAGAGUUUCCUUUUAGAAUCGUCAAUAUCUACUUUAAUCAUCUUCAAACUAAUGGAUCGAUGAUUUUCAAAUGUAAUCAUACAUAGAUCAAUUAUCUUUUUAAAAAAAUCUACAAAGUUUGAUACAGUAAUAAAAAAGUUAAUUAUUAGUUUAUGAUUUCACUAAAUUCAAUGUUCAAUUUUGUUUAGUAUGAUACUUGAUAAAAGAUUAUUGUCUUUAUGGAAAAAGAUCACAUGAAUUAUGAUUAAUUAAAUGAAGCUGAAUUUCAAAUUAACCAAUUAAUUAAUCACAACAAUACAAAUGAAUUUACACUAAAUUUUAAAGAGGUAUUUAAAAAUGGGAAGAAAAAAGAGAGAGAGAGAGAGAAAAGAAUUGAGUAAUAGACGCUCAAUAAUGGAAUAUUUAAUUGGAAUCACCAAGAUGGAGAAAACGGUUGAAAGACAACUAACACCGUUUACCGGGAUGGUUUUUAAAAACACAAAGUACACAGAAACGAAUAAAACGGUGGGAAACCCCAAGCUCUGAGGAAAAUAAAAAAAGAAACAAUGGCUUGUAUUAGAUGCGGCACUCACACCACUCCAACUGUGAGGUCGCCCCACGUCAGCUAAAGAUAUUAUAGAUGGAGGCGGCCAAAGGUUCUGCUUACGUGUCUGUUGAUUAUUCGCCCGAAAUUUCCAACAUAACAAAAAAGUGCUCUUCUUUUUUCUUAAUAUAUAUUUUUUUAAAAUUAUGGAAAUUAAAUGUUGGAGAGAUAAGAGUUUGAUUGAGGUCACAAUCUGAGUCGUGGACCGUGAAGGCACCUUUUUUCUUUCUUUUUCUCUCUUUCUUUAUUUACUUUGAAUUAUUUCAUUUGUCAUUAUUACCUUGCACUUACAAAAGUACCUAAGUCUAUUUCUUCAUUAUGCACCCACUCAAAUGCGUUGUGCCGACGGGCUAAUUAACAUCACCAUUCUAGAUAUAUCAUCAAAGAUUUUCUUUAUUAUUCAAAUUCAACAUUAUCCAAGUACUGAACUUUUUCCCCCAUUUGACGUUAGAUACUGUGGGUACAAUUUGAUGUUAAAUCCCACUAUAAUAUUUCAAUUCACCAUUUGUUCAAGUGCUGAUUUUUAUAGGAGUUAGAAGGUUAUAUGGUUGAGUUAUGAAUGGAAGGAGGAGAAAGAUUAUAAUAUGAUAAUGAUUCACAAUUAUAAAGGGGAAAGUCAAAUUAAAGUAAAGAUUGAAUGGUAAUGACGAAAAUAAUAUAAUUUAAUAAUUGAAAAAAAGAAUUAAUUUAAGAAUGAAAAGGAAUUGGCAUUAUGUGAAGAUACUGAAUGAAAUGGAAGGGAUGGAUGAUGAAGGGUACGGUGGUUACGGAGUACGGAAAUUCCAUUAAGGUGAGAAGAAUCGGAGAUUGAGAUUAGGUUGUCUGCCUUUUUCUACUGUUUCGUAUCGUUUUUUGCUUUGAUGUUUGUCCUCACUUUUUAAUUCCUUUUUCUUUUUUAAUUCUUUUUUGGAAGAAAAUUCCUAAAGGUUAGGUUUAAAAAAGGUUAUCUCUUACGUCCCACUAAAACCGUCUUCGGCCGAAAGGCCCAUUGGUUUUUGUCUUUCUCGCUUGGGCCGCACCCAUUUUUCCACUUCUGACACCAAACUCUCUAAACAAAUACAGAACAAUUUUGGUGAUAAAAGUGUUUAACAUAAAUAUAAUAUGUUCGACAAAUUUUGUUAUAUUUUUAUUUUUAAAAAUGUUUUUAUAUAUGUUAAUGCUUUAACAAAAUUUGUAAAAUAAUAAUAAAAAUAUUUUCUCGAGAAAAUAAUAAAUAACAUUUUUUUAAAAGAUAAAUCAACAAAAACAAUAAGAGUAAUUUAGAUGCAUUGAAAGUGCACAAACAAUUUUGUGUAUGUCAUUAACUAAUUACUUCCUUUUGGUAGAAGAAGGACAUUUCUGUAUGUAGUUUUGGAUGCUUGGUACGCACAGGCAUACAUUUCGUUCUUCAACUCCAAAUGAUUUCGUAUAUGAAUCGUGUCUUUUAAACUAAGAGUAUAUGUGUUGUUUAUCUAAAUAGUUGAAGGUUGCUAAUGACAUUCUUCUUCCCUUCCUCAAGCAUGUAUCCUACUAAUUAAGACUUGCCAUACAUAUGUUCAUGCCUUUACAUUAGUAAAGGUCUAGGUUCCUUUCCCUGGUGAAAGACUUGAGGAAUUUUUUUUGAAAUGAUUGAUUCUCAGGUAAAGUGACAUCUAUUUUAUCUAUGUAUAUUAUCGAUUUGAAAAAUUACAAUGAUGGCCUUUCAACAAUACAAGUUAAAAUUACACACCUAAAACUUUAAACUUAAUUCAUCAUCCUCUCAAACUUACAAAGGUUAGUUGUUCGUGAUAACUAUUAAAAACAAAAAUGGGCCAUGCGUGUGUUAAUAAAAUGUUAGGCAUGAUAGUUGAUUUCAUAACAACAUAUAGUUAGUAAUGAAUGAACAAUGAAAAAAAUUGUUGUGUGUGACAGAAAACAAUUGUGAUUUUCGUAGUCUUAUUUCUUCAAUACUUUAUCAAGAAAAUGCCAAGACACGCGUGGUAACAGUUGCCAUUAAUUACCAACAUAAUAUCAAAUUGAAUUCCACCAAAGUUGUUCAAAAGUCAAAAAUUCCACAUUUUGAUUAAAUCCAUUGUUUCCGUACCCAUUUCUAAUAAUUUCGAAAGUUUAAUACGAAAGAAAUAAAUUAAUAUCAUAUUCUAUUAUCUUUUUCAAAUCUUCAAACAUUGACAUCAACAAUUUAAACCGUUCAUCCGAUUAGACAAAAAGAAGGAAUAUAAAGUGAAAUUUUGCGAUGGAGAGAUUUUGUUCGUUUGGGCGGGAGGGUUUGGAGUUAUUAUUGAUGGAAAGGGUAAUUUGAGUAAAAUUGUAAAGUUGUGGCGGGACGGAAAGAGAUGGGCUGACGUGUUGGUUGUGGACUUCGGAAUGGGUCCAAUGGAUCCAGUCUCCUUCAACUUUGUCGGCCCACAAUACUCUUAACAAUAAUAAUAAUAAUAAUAAUUUAUAUUAUUUGAUUAGAGCAGCCGUACGUCCACAGUAAAAUUAGGGUUGUUUUGUUGCUGUUUAUUAAUUCCAUCCAAUUUUACGUCUCUUUCUAAAACUUCAAUUAACACUCACUAAUUAUGUCAAUUUUAUAAUUGAUUUACUAAAACAUGAGAGAUUUCAAUGUUGAAUCAAUUAAGACUAAUUGUACUGAGAUUUGAAAGGUGACAUUAAUUAUCUAUCUGUUCUUUCCAUCUUGUAAAUGGUAAAUAUGAAAAUAAAGAAUUUAGUGGAAACAAACUUCUAUUUCACACACAUAUAUAUUUGGUAACAAAUUAAAAAAUCGAAUUAUAAUAUAAACAAGAUGUAUCGUAAAAAAUAACAAAGCGACCAAAUUGUACAAAAUCAAGUGUAGUAAGUUUUUGUCGUUUCCUUGUGCUAUGGAUUGUGAAUAGUUUAUUUAUUUUGUAAUCAUUUAAAUAAUGGUGUUUAGAUGCAUUUAUACUAUAUUUAUAAAUAAAUAAAUAAGUUAUAAUUGUGAGAAUUGUCAAAAAUAGCAAAUUUGACAAAAUAUUUACAACAUAUAACAAAAUUUCAAAUUCUACUAAUAAUAAACAUUAAUAGACACUGAUAUGAUUCUAUUAGUGAUAUUGAUAAACAAUUAUAUAAAUUUUUAUCUUGGAUAUAAUCCAAAAUUUUGCUAUAUCUUAUUAAUAUUUUGAUAUUUAAAAAAGUGACUGUCAUAGUUACUCAAUAAAUAUUGAUAUUUAUAAAUAAUAAUGUAUUAUUAAUUUAUUUACCAGCCACGUUAAGUAAUUUUUGUAAUAUCAUAUAAUUUAUAAUACAUGGUAUUUAUAUUUUAAUUGAAAAGAAUAUAUAUUGAGUUUAUAAAGUUCAAAAUUUAAAAUCAUGAUAGAACAAAAUUAUUAUUUGUAGAAACAAAUAUCAACAAAAUGUCAAUAAUUUAAAGAUUAAUGGGGGGUGGUGGUGGUGGUCUGGUUUUGGUAUAUUGUUUAGAAAAAGCCAUUUAUGGGGAAAAUUAAUUGUUAGAAAACAUGGGCUUAUUAGGAAAUAUUUCAACUCUCUUUCUUCCUUCUCAUUUCCCUUAUAUGUAGAGAUGCUUUUUUAUUACACCAACUUUGUGUAUUUGGAUAUAUUUGUUAAUGUAUUAAUUAUUCCAAUCAUUAACAGACAAGUUAAUAGAUAUAUAAAACCAUUCUUGUAUAUAAUAAAAAUGGCUAUAGAGUUUGAAGCAGCCUGAAAAACAUCUCAAGUUUGUAGAAAUUAAAAAAAAGAAAGAAGAAUAAAAACGAUAUUCAUAAUUUCAUAUUAAGAAAAGAUAAUUAAGUAUGGAUGGUCUAUGAGUUGGCCAAUCCAACAAGAGAUAAAUAAAUAAACAAAGGAGAGGCAAAGGGAUUGAUUUUCUUGGAAAUUGGGUAAGUUCAAAACCAACUCAUUCUUUUCCCCAAUCAAUUAUUAUUUAACGUCCCAAUUUCCAAGUUGAUCCAAACUCAAAACACAAAACCAUUAUCAUAUUUAUUAUUUUUGUUCUAAAGUUUAGAGUGUGUGUGUGUGUGACAGUAUAUGAACUGUAUAUUCAUAUCUUCAAAUUUGUAUUCAUAUAUGUUUUAUUUGUGCAGUUUUUUGCUUUCUUUAAUUUGUCAAUUUCACGACACCUUUAGGUUAAGAAAUCAAUGCGUCACACAAACCAAACUAAAAGAAAAGAAAAGAAAAAACUUAUCUUUGAAACAGUCAAAAUAGAAGAUUGAAAUUAUAACAAUAUAGUUUGAUUUAAUUGUCCACUUGAAUGAGAUUAAUUAAGACAUCAUAUUGCAUCCUCAUCUACGUCAACCAAUUAAAGCCCACGUCUUAAAUCGACUAAGAACAUUAAUGAAUUUAAACCAUGAUUAUUGUUUGGAAGAAAACUUCUUAGAAAUUUUUGUAUUGAUAUCUUUUGGAAAGUUAAACACAUAUUGGAAUCUUGUUUUAAUUAUUGUAUAGGAUGAUGUUCAACUUAGGUAUGAACUUUAUCUAAUGUAGUUUAAAGAAUAUGAAAUCCAUAUUUUAAUCAAAUGUGUGUGUGAUCUUAUCCAUAUUUAUAUAAAUAAAAUAAAUGGUCAACUAUAUUGAUCAUUUUUUUUUAAAUUACACAAAUUAAUAAAUAGUUGCAAACAUUGAAACACAUAUCGAAACGUUUUGUAAAUUUAAGAUAUUCUUUAGUAUAAAUCAUACCAUAUAAUGAGAUCGACGUUAUUUAUAAUUUCUUUCAGAUAUAUAUCUAAGAUUACUGUUACAUGUACUUCCAAAAGGAAAAAAAUAAACAACCGUAUUAAUAUUUUGAUAAACUAUUAUAUUGUCUUAACUAGUAGAAAACCAAAAAAAUUUAAUGAGUAUGUAAAAGUAAGAGGUCUAUUGAUCGUAGCAUAUAUGGUUUAUCGUUAAGUUUUAAUUACAAAGUUUGAUAUAAUUUCUUAUAUUAGUUUUUCUACCAAAAAAGAUAGAGAAUUGAUGAACUCAAAGGCUUUGCAGAGUAAUUGGAACGAAAUUAGAGGUUGGAAUUUAAGUAUGACAUCAAAAUGAAUACAUUAAAACCCAUUUUGAGCUUAUAAUCAAUUAAUCUAUGUUCAUAUAUAUAUAUAUACAGAGAGAGAGAGAGAGAGAGAGGAGAGGAGAGAAAGAGUAUGAUAUUUUGGUAUAUAUGAAAGUAACACAUAAUCAAUAAUUGAAUGUAAAAUAAAAUAAUAAAAGUAUGAUUAGGGAAAGAAAAUAAUAAUAUAAACGUUGGGUGGGGGUGGGGUAUCCUAAAACGGGGUUUGAGGAAUUCCACGUGUACCGAAGUGAGGUUGGUUGUAUAGAAAUUCUAUAAAUCCCGGAGUUUGAACAUUUUUGUAACUAAAGAAAAGGAAAAGGAAAAUGAAAGAAUUGAAAGGAAAAGAGAGAAUAUAGUGUAGGAUGAAAUUUUCACAAAGCUUAUAAAAUUAAAAAGAAUUGAAUUAUUGGGUAUCUAUCUCUGCCUCCUCCUUCUCCUUCUCCUUCCCCUUCCCCUUCCCCUUCCCCCCAUCUCUAUCCGGACGAAGCUAUGGGAGCUCUCUCCGAGUUCUUCUCCCACCUCCACACAAUGACCGCAGUCUUCUUCACCCUCUUACUUCUCGAAUUCGUUAUUCUCAUUCGUACCAUCUUCGGCUUAAGACCUAACUCCGACAAGCGCGUAAUCACGACCGCUCAGUUUUUCAAACUCAUCGAAGACAAGAAUCCCACCAUCCGUUUCUCAAAUAAGGUCACCCCAAGUAUCGCCGAUCAGUGUGCCGUUUGCCUCUCUGAAUUCGAGGAAGGAGAGAAGGUACGGAAAUUGCAAUGCAACCACACUUUUCACAAGGAUUGUCUCGAUAAUUGGUUGAAACUCUGUUUCGCUACCUGUCCGCUUUGCCGGAGUAAGGUUUUGCCGGACGAUAUCGUCGCCGGCUACCAUAGGCUUCGAGACCGUGUAGAGUACGACGGCAGUGACGAGGAGCUCAUCUUUUUGUUAUCGGCAUUACAUGGUAACAGUAUAUAUAGAUUUUUCUAGGGCGAAACACCAAUUUUAUUUUGUUUUUAAUCACAGAAUAGAAUUAAACAACAUAGAAUGUUGAUUUUCUGUAGAUUAACUAGGGAAAUAUUGUUUUUCUCCCCUUCAUUGACGAGCAAUAACGUUAAGGGAACAGCUCGUUUCUGGUUCGAUCGAUCUCUCUAGCUAGAUCGAGAUAAAUCUAAAUCGUGUAUGUUUCUCUUUACUUGCAAUUACGCAACCCAACUGUUAGAUGUGUUGUUUGCAUGAUUGCUUCCUACUCUUCUUGGUCAUUCGUCAACGAAUCAUUAAUUUUGGAGACACCCAAUUUACAUCUUGACGGAGACCCUUUUUUUUUUUUUAACCCAAUAACGCACUGAAAUCCUCACUAAAAUCAUCCAAAUCACAACAACUUUUUUCCAUCAGGUUAAACUAAUCCAAAUGAUCUAUUGAGAUCUUUAAGAUAUUGGAUGAUCGUCUAUUAGUCUCUCUUGAUGUGGGCUUGUUGUCUCCGUAGGACCAGGAGUUAUGGUGCGAACUUAAUUCUAUAAUUUUAGUGGAUGCGAGUUGGUGAUCUAAUUUAUGGUUCUCUUACAAUGUAAAUAGAACAUGGUAUGUGAUGGCAUUUAUUAAGAACAUUGAGUGAAAGGAGAAGCAUUCAAAAUUUGAUGGAUUCUCCCUUGAUAUUUUCAUGGGGAUUUAGGUGGAGAUGGUAGGAGAAGGACUUAAUGCUCUGUAUCUAAAUGCACAACAAACUGAUUGAGCUCAUUUUCUCUAUAGUUAAACCCCGAUGGCGAAAGUGAAAACUAAUGGAUUGUGUUUAGCUCACCAGCACAUUUAUCGAAGAAUAGGUUUGCACGUUAAUCGAAAAACUUCAUUUUACACCACUACAACCUAAAGACAAACUUACUAAACACAACAUAUUAACUCUAUACUUAAACAAACUUGAAAUGUUUCUCAUUGGGAUGAUCUGAAACUAAAGCCACAAGCCCCCCUCCCUUUUUUUUUAAUGUUUGGAUCUCGUUACUUCCUCGAAGCUUUUGAAACAGUUUGGAGUUUGUUUUCUUCCACUUUUGAACACCCACCAAAAGAUGAGGGCAACUGAGGACACGGUCUUUAAAGAACAGUGAUUAGGUGAGAUGAGUUGCAUUAUUGAAGUCAGUGUGUUUAACUUUUUAGCAUUACCAGAAUCAGGGGAUGGGUGAAAGAGGAGAAGAAGCAAAGCAAAAACAGGUUUUAGAUGAUGAAGCCAAAUACCUAUUUACUGUUGGUGAGAAUAAGUUUGUCCUAAAUGGGGUUGUGGGAGCUACAGUAGUUCGCAUGAUGUACUGAAUUGUUCUGUAUGUCGGACAAUAGCAAUAAGUUGAAAUGUUAAACAGGCAAAAUCUCGUGGUGGAGCAGCGGAGGGUAAUUCAUAAGAUUUGACAUUUAAUGUCAGAUUCAAAAAAGUGGAUGAACAACUUCAAUAGUAAAGUAAUAGUACCACAAACCAGAAGUAACGCAUAUGGGGGAGAUGAAUCCUUAUCUAUUUUGGAAAUGGGGUUUGUUGUUGGUUUGAUUCAUUCCUUUUUCAAUUUUUCAGGGUUGAAUUUUAUUUGGUGCAUAUCCGUUUCCCUUUUUAACCAUGGAAUAUAUUGCUGAAAAUAAAAAAUAUGACUCUGUUUAGGUCAUGAGUUGGUAAGAAAUUAAGAUGCAACAGAUUCGUUUGGGUAAGAGUAAUAUUUGAUUGAAGAUGUGCGCCCAUUUCUAUGUAUCUCUUUCAAUUACAAAACAAAGAAUGAUUCAAACAAAAUUAAAACAACAUGGGGUAUCCUAAGCAACACAUAUAUAUUCAUCUAAGUGUCCAAUCAUGGAAUAUGCUACGUAUUGUUGUUAUUCCUUUCUUCAAUCGUGGAAUACAUCGUGAAAAUGUUAAAGUGAGCCCUGUCUGUUUAGGUCAUCGGUCAUGAGUUUGGUUAGUAAAGUGCAAUUGAUCUCGUUGAAAAAGAGUAAUGUUAGGGUCAAGUGUUGCAUCUAGUUGUGUAGUUCCUUCAAUUGAUCCAUCAAAAGUUGUCAUGUAAUAAAGUUUCUUUAUUUUUGCUUAAAAAAUUAUUUUAAGCCUCUUUUUGUUUGUGAUGGAAGAAAACAAGUAUAUGUAUACAUACAUUUAUACACGAUAAACUUGUAAUUAAACAUUUGAAAUGCGUCUCACCUGGUGAGUUGAGUUUGAAUUGUGAAGAAAGAAAUAAUUUAAUGAAUUGAUUGAAAGCUACAUUAUAUAUAGGUUGGUUUAUUGAAGUCAUUAAAUAUACAUUAUACAAAGAAGUAAUCUUUUAAAAACACAUGGCCACCACCAACUCCUAUCUGUAAGUUUGGUUCAGGGCUCAAAAUUAGAGACAUUCAGGAUGAUCAACAUCAUCUCUCUCAAUAAAUACAAAUGAUUAUAAGUCGAUUAAAUCUUUCUUUCUACAAUAAGAUAGUUAAAUAAAUGAAUUAAAACUAAUCAUUAUUUUUGCACAUCAAAUCAACCACUAUCACAUUAAAUAAUCAAUAAAUUUGAAGGAAAAAAAAGUCUUAAUCAAUAAAUUUGAAGGAAAAAAAAGUCUUAAUCAAUAAAUUUGAAGGAAAAACAAAGUCUUCGUCAACUUUUAUAAUUGUAAUUUGUGUGGGAGUAUGUAUUUAUAAUAUUUGUCUAAAUAAAAUAACUAUUAAAUUAGCAAGGGUGUUUGAGAUUUAUAGUUGCGUAUUGAUUUUAGAAAAACAAAUUUAAGUACAAUUUUUCUUUUAUAAAAUUGAUAUGAAACUUGUAAACAAAAUUUUUAUAUAUUUAGAAAUGAUUUUGAAUCAUUAUUGUUUAGAUUUUGAAUCAUUAUUGUUAUUAUAUUUUUUGAUUUGAGAAAUAGUUAUGUUAGUAUAUAAUUGUUUGUUUUAUAAAUAAUUUAAUGAUGUACAUUCUUUUAUUCCAAUAUUUUAUAAAAAGAAAACUGAAUUAGACAUCCAUUUUGGGAGUGGUUGAUUGAAAAUCACCCAACAAAAAUUACCAAUAACCUAAUUCGUUUUUUAAACGAUUUUAUAUUUAUUUUAGUUCAUGUCAAACAAGAAAAAGUGAUUUUGGACAAACACAAAAAAGUAUAUAUCUAAAUAUGGUGAUAUGGAUAGUUAUUAUGGCAACCAUGGAUAGAACUUGGAAUCAACUACAACUACAACUUUGGAAACAAAACCAAACCAAAACAAAAUUCAUAAUUCAUUAGAUGAACUUCUUAGUAAAUUAUUUUUAUAUACAUCCGUAUAUAUCCCCAUUAGAUGAUCAAAUUUACACUUUAUAUGAGAUUUAAUGUAGAAAUAGACUUUGGAUGUUCAAAACCUAACUUUUAACAGCUUGGACUUGAAAACAAUGAAUUUGAAAAGUACUUUAAAAAGUAACUUUUCCUUCUUACAAAAAAACCAAACCUAAAUUGACGAAAUUUUGAAUAAAUUAAACCAAAAUGGCCUCUCAGAUAAGACACAAAUGUGUCACCAUAACAACCUUUACCAUCAUUUGAUUUACACUCUUAAUUUCACUUUCACUUUCUUUGAAUGCCACCAAAAUUUCAUAACUAUAUAUCAAUUACAUAAAGAGAUAUCACGACCAUAAUUAUAAUUACGAGUUGAAAAGCUCACAAGGUAAUUUAUUUAAAAUUUUGUCUACGAUUUAAUAUCAAAUAUAAAUAUCAAAUUAUUAUUGAUACCAUCUUAGAUGGUGGAUUGAUCCCAAAUCAUAACUAUGAACAACUAAAUUCAUUGAUUUUUCAAUAUGGGAUCUGAACAGCCUCAUCCAUCCACCAUAUCACAUAUUUAAAAGCACCAACUAAGUGGCCAACUCUCGAUGAUUUCUUGAAAACCAAAUCAUCCAUCUUUUCCCAACAUUCAUAUGGUUAAUUCAAACCCUAUAAUAAUCAUCAAAUCAUAAUACAAUCCCACCCUUCUUCUCUCGAAUUCAAAAGCAUUUCAAAACUAAUAGAAUCCAAAAAAGGAAAAAAGAAAAAAAAAAUGUACAGAUUUGAGAGAGAGAGAGAGAGAGACGAGAAACAUUUACAAUAUAUAUAUAUAUAUAUAAACCCAAUAGAGGAACUCAAGCUGAGAAGAACCCAGUGGAAGCAGCUCGACCAAUUUGAGAUUUGGGUUCAAAAACCCAAUUGAAUUCCGACAUCUCAGCAGAGUAAUUAUGCUUUUUUGCCAUUUCCAUCAUCUUCUUCAUCCUAAUUGAAGUAGCAGUUGCAGAUAUGGAAACCCCAGAAGAACCCAACUCUUGAAGCUCUUGCCUGAUCAUCUCUUGACCUCGCCUUGGAUUCUUCGUCCUCCUCUCGUAUUCCUCUGCUACAAGAAUUGCAAUAUCCGCCAUGGCUGUGAUUUUUCAACUCUCCCUCUUAGUUGAUUUUGAGGAGACCCCUUUAGGAGGAUGACAUAAUUUAUAUUCAGAUUGAGGUAUGAUUGUGGAUAAGGCUGACAAGUCGGUGUAGUGUAUAAAAGAAAUAAAAAAAAGUGACCUUUGAUGACUUAGUCUGGUUUUUUGGGCAUUUUGGUUUUACUUUUUCUAUGGGUGGACCCUUUGUGGAGAAAUUUGAUUGUAUUAUAUUGUAUAUCUAUAAAAUAUACACAUGUAUAUUGUAUUUCAUUGAAGGGUCUUCUUUGAUUGUGCCAAUACCCAAAUAAAGGGGUUUCUUGGCAACAAAGUUGGGAUAGUUGUGUGAAUUAUAAUAGAAUAUAUCAGUAUUUCAAAAUUCUAAUGGAACACGUAUUCUUAAUAAACUUAUAAAGAAUUUACAGAUUGUUAAAUGAUACAAGAAUUGUUAAUUGAGAACAAUGAGAUUAUGUAUAUUGUGAUAGAUAGGAUAGAAAACCUAUCCAUUAUAAUGGAUGUCUUGUGGUGUUUUCAAUGAAGUUGGUGGUGGAAAUUUUGUAGGCAAUAUUCUAGUGGGUUUGGUGGGGGGGAGGAAUGGUAAAAGGCAAUACCAAUAGUUCAGGACUUGUAAAUGAUAAAGAAAAAAAAAAAGAAACCAACUCCACAAUGUUAAUUAUCUCAAACUCUUUCUUAAUAAAUGUCUGUCCUAUUCAACCUUCUCCUUCAAACAAUGAAGAGAGGGUAACUCUUCUUUGCUUUUCAAUAAUAAUAAUAAAAAAAACAUAUCUUUCUUUUGAAGCAAACUAGCAAAAUUGUUGAAAAAAAUAUUGAUAAAUAUAGUCAAAUUUUAUAUAUUUCUUAGUGUAAAAAAUAUGGAAACGGAAAAGCAAAAGGAAAGUGGUUUUUGAGAAUCGGAAAACAGCGAAACUGAGCAAAUGGUUUUGAUCUCAAAAACCAAAACCAUCACCGACAAACGCAUAACACAUCAGAUUCAUGUAACUAAUACGUGUCUAAUUACUAUUUGUUCUUCAAAUUAAUUAUAUAUUUCGUAGUACACAAUACGUGGCAUCAUAUUACUGGUUGUGGGCGGUGACAAGUCCACAGUCCACGCAUUUUCUUUUGUUUACUCUUUUAAAUCAUUCAUGCAUCUUAUUAAUUAGCUUCUAAAUAAUUCAUAAUUUAACCAUAGUAAUCAUAAUAAUGUCAUAAAUUAUACACACAUUUCAAUAAAUUUUAUUAAUGUAAUCAAUUUCAGUGUUUGGCAAAUAAAUUUCACUCUUCCAAUAUAUACCUAUUAAUAAUGAAUUUGAUUGGAGUUUUUCUAGUGCAUUAUUCUAUCCUUGUGAUAUUUAGAAGCACAUAUUUUAUAAUUAGGUUAUUCUUAAUGGAAAGUAAACUAAUGUAGUCAUAGUUAGUACUUAGUAAUUAGGCUGCAACUUACCCACUUGUUUAUAAAUCGAUGGUAAUUUUAGUUAGUGUAUUUCAUUUUAUUACACUUUUUUUUAAUCUAUAUUUCGUAAUCCUAUGAAAAUAAUGAGUUCACCUUGAAUUGAAAAAUUGAGAGUACUCAAUUGGACUGCAUUUGAGAUUUAUGUGAAACUCACUUUCGUUAUUGUUACUAUCACGAUAUUAAUUAGAAUUAUGAUAAAUGUUAUAUUCUUAGUUAUUGUUAUUCGGUAACAAUAACUAGUGAUAAAUUAUGUAUAGCAAGAUUGUAACUAUAGAUGCGAUAACUCGUAAUUGAAACUCAUUUCAAUUGAUUCAUUAAUAAAAUUUCAUUUUUAAAAAAUAAUAAAACUUUUUUUAUUAUGGUUUGGUAAACAUAACUCUAAUGUUAUAACAACUUUCUUUACAUCUCGAUUACAAUAACCAAUUUAGGCGAACAUAUUCCAGUCAAAACUUGAUCUUUUUAUAAUAAAAAUCCUAAGGAAAGUCCACUUUUAAAAUGCUAAGAUGUGCUUAAUAUUUACAAAAGUGUCGUUUUAAAAGAAUUGAAUUAUCUAUCGACUCAUCAGCAAGAAUCUCAUACUUAUCACCAUCCAGUUCUUGACAAAUGGGAGAUAAGAAUGAGAAAUAUAUAUAUAUAUAUAUAUAUAUAUAUACCUGCAGGCCAAGGGAGGUUUAGUUAUUUUUAAAAAGAAUGAUAAAAAUGUGCCUAAGAAAGAGGAAGACGGAAGUGAUAGUAGAAAACUCACAAAUAUAAUAUACUUUAUACUCAGUAAGAGAAACGUUAAAAGCAUAUUAAUUUGGAGACAUUUGUCAGUUUUGAUUGUAGGUAUUCAAAUUCGUUCCCAUUCCCUUUCCUCAAACGGAUAAGACGAAAGAAAGUAAGAAAGAUCACGAGCUUCAUCAAGCUAGCCAUUCUAAGAAUACAGAAGAAAAGGCUGAGGGUGUCACACAUCUGAGAGCAUAUGUAUAGGACUUUCUUGGUCCAAAGUAACUUGUAGUAAGUGCAACUGAGCAGCAAAAGCAUAUGGUGAGUUCAAGCUUCAACAGGUGCUCUUCUGGGCAAAGUGAAAAACUGACACAUUUCAUCUCAUAAAAGGCCAAGAGUUUUGAGCUGUUGAACGUGCUCUGCAGGAAGUGGUGGAGGCAACCAGUCAGAUCCUGUCAUCUCCCCAUCUACAUCUUCCACAACAUAUUCCUGUGAGAAAUCAAAACAUCCCAAAAAUAUAGUAAUCAAUCAAAAACCUAACCAACCAACAUAUUAUUCACAAGUGAAACUUUCUAGUCGUAAUUAGUCCAUUCUUGCCAAUUCAAGAAUAGCACAAAUUGCACAAUUACCAUCCGAAAAUUGCUGGUUGAUCCUCCAACCUCCUACAAAAAUGGUCGAUUCACAAUCAAUCCAUCCAUGGGAAUAUGUCAUUUGGUUUUAGUGUCCCCCACUCCUGUUAUCUUUCUCAUCCCAAAGACCAAUAAGACAGCCCUCGUGAAUGGAUGUGCUCGGCCAGCUGGGCAUCCACCUUCAUCCAUGAUGUUUGGCUUUUAUUUUCAUUUUCUAACGGGGUGUGUUUGGACGACUAGUAAUUUUGCUCUCUUUUAAAUCAUGGGAUUUACUGAAAUUUUUUAAGAGUACUUCUAAUCUAAAACACUUUUCUUUAAUCACACGCAGUUUGAAAAUUUGUAAAAGUAGAUAAAAGGCACUUAAAAAAGUACUUUUAGAUGAAACAUUUCAUUAGUUUUGCUUACAAAAUAAAUGCUUCACUUAAGAACACAUUUUUCAAAAUGAAAUCUCAGACUCGCCCAAAUUUAGUUGGUUCUGUUUAUUUCAAUAGCCAGUCUAGUGUACAGAAAAAGAAACCAUAUUCAAGUAUUUACACUCCUAGCUCAGAGUUUGAAAGUUAUGCACAAAUAAAUCUCAAAAGAGAUCAAUCAACUCACCUUUGUUAGCAUUCUUUUCGCAAGUAUGUGAUAGUGUCGUUGCCAUAUUCGUUGGCCAACCAUGGUAGCCACCAAGACACUAUAGAAUAUACCAAUCACUGUGAACAAACCAAGAACAAUCAAGGCCAUUAUAAGUAAUAAUGGCAGUCCUGCUUCACCAGCACCUCCUAGGCAUCCACAUUCAGUUGCAAUGCUUCCACAACUUUCGAAGCAAGUGGUACAGUCGGUCCACAUACAAAGAGUACCAGGUAAAUGACAGUCUGCACAUAGUCUGGAAAGAUGCAAGAAACACAUAAAAAUAUGAUGCUGGUGAAUAAACUAAAAAUACUAUUGUUUGGAAAAUAUUUCCAGCAUUUAUAUAUUAUAAUUUGAUGAAGAUAGAUAUAACGAGCUUUGAUAAGGAUUUUAGUCAUCAAUCUAAAAUAGCUUGAACGAAUUCUUAGCUUGGCUAAAUAUUGAAUAUUCUAUAUUUCCAGCAACAUUCUUUCACUACAAUGGGACGGGAAGCAGAAUAGAGAAAGAUCAGUCGUGUUAGAGAAUCAUCACUGCAUGGCAGCAGUUAUGCCAAAGAAUGAGCCUACGCUCCUCAACAAGCAUUGUUAAAAUUUGAAAACAAUAAAAUUUUAACAUAAUUAAAAAAGAAACUGCAAAAUAUGGAUUUAUACCCAGGGUGGCAACAACAUAGACACAAUUCUCUACAUGGUUGAGCCAAAUCACUCCUAACUCUUCGAUCAUAACAAGUGAUGAAGCAGCCAGAUACGCCGAGCAAUGCAAAAAAUAAUAAAGCCCCUGCAUAGGAAAUAACGCAAACUAGUAAAAACAGAAUUGAAAGAACUGAAAUAUGUCUUUCGAUUUUGUAGAACAGAAUAGCAUCUAACAUAAAGAAAUAAAAUAAAUUAAAAUUGUCUCUCUACUUUGAGGUUUGUUCAACUUUAAUCCACAUACUUUCAAAUAUUCAAUUUUUGCCCAUGUACAAAGCUUAAUAUUUUUCUAAAAAAAUCAAAAUUGGCUAAAUAAUAACAAUAACUUUCACGUAAAGAAAUAUGAUAUGUGAAUAUAUUUUCAAAAUUUAUAGUGAAAAUGCUAAGAAAUAUCAAAAAAUUAUUUUAAAAAAACAUUAAUAAGCAUGCAGGAGGGACUAAAUUAUAGAUUACUUGAAAAAGUUGAGACAAAAAUUGAUCAUUUAAAAGUACAAGGACUAAAAUUGAACCAAAUUUAAAUUAUAGGGACCAAAUUGAUAUUGCAUAUUUCAAGUUGACUCAAUAUAAUACUCAUACAGUGAAGGACCAUAAUCCAUUAACUACUUCCUCCUUAUGAGGUUCAACAACAAUAUGAAUAAAAUAUUGCGAUAAUGUAAUAAGCACAUUUUUUUCAGCUGUUGUUCUUUGCCCUCAAACUUUCAUUAGUUUUCAUUAAUUUCUAUGAAGCACAAAAGAUUUCCCAUCUCUCUACACACUUUAUCUCACAGGCUUUUUUUCCAUACAUAAUCUCACCCUGGUCUCUCUAGUCUCUACACUCCUCUACUACACAGUUCCUCUCAUCAUCAACUUCUUUCUAAAAAGUAAAAACAACCUCUCAACAAUUCUUCUCACUAUCACAACUUUUACAAUUUUAGAUACACCCCGACUAGUAGCUUACCAAUUCUUAAUAUACUUUUAAUUAAAACUUAAAAGACACUCCUUUCUAACUAAAGCACACCGCAAAAGUACUUAAAAAGUUAGAAUUAAAUAAGCAAACGAUAUAUUAUUACUUAUCAUCAAAGUUCUUAUGUUAAAAGUUCUUUGGAUGUGAACCCAUAAAAGUCAGAAGCGCUCUAAGCAGACCAGCAAACAAGGUCACUAAGACAAACUGCUUGAAGCUAUGGGCCAAACAAGAUUAUGCCCUAAUGCUAUAACAUAAAUUGUGCAUGCAAAGCUUGAAUCAGCCAAUUGAGAUUUUACCGCAUAUGUAAUAAAAACUAAUUUUGCUAUCAAAACCCCAAGUAAGACGAAGCCAGUAAUGUUGACAACCAUCUAUUAAGUAUGUCAAAUAUCCCAGAGAAGCAAUUACCUGCACAAAGAUAAACAAAGGAAUAUAAACUAUUCUACAGAAAAAUAAUCUCAUGCUACAACAUAACUUGGUUUGGCAAUAAAUUAAAUAGAAACAAAAUAAAACUUACAAGCUGAACCGCCAAAAAUAUAAAUAUAAUGUCUCUAGUCACAAAAAAUCGAAAUUUCAGGGUUCGCCAUUUUCUGUCAGCAACAGCAUGUACUCUCAAAUGGUAAGGGGCCUUACAUGUGGUACAGUGAGCAAAAGCAAACCCUUCCUGCAAUUUUAAUCACGGAUGACCAAAUGUAACUAAAUGAUGGCUAUAGAAAUUUCCUUAUUUAUUUUCCUAAAUAAACAUAGAACCAGUCUAAGAAGACAAAAACGAGACUGUAAAUAUGACUGGUGCGGGCGGAUACAAAUACCGCCCAAGAGUAGUGAUAUUCUUUAUUUUGUUAAUUACCCUAAAUUAGAGUCAAUCGUGUGAUAAAAAUUGAAACUUAAAAAAUGCUGGUGCAAGGAGAACAGAGUUAAUAAUGGCAAAAUACGAGUUAAUUUCUUAAGCAAUAAAAGGUAUCGUAACAAUCACUUGUUAAGGCUGAACUUAGUCAUUAAGGUGAGGAAAAUAUAACCAUGCAAAUUCAGGGAAUCAUGGGUGUAUUAUCAGCAACUUCAUUUGAAAAUUCAAUCACAAUAACUAAACUUACAUUGAAACCACCAGCAUUCAAGAUAGCAUUCAUACCUUCACGGCUCGCCAAUGAUCCAGACAUUCUCGAUGAACAUAUUUGGAUGUCCCUUUGCAUUUGCAAGGAGCAAUAAAAUCCCUACCUGAUCAUGUAAUGAAACACGCACAUUGGUUAAUUUAAAUACUCCCAUAGUCUCAGUGUGAUACCCCCCUCUCCUACCGUUAUACAAACUUUCAAGUGAACAGUCAACUCCAAAGAAUUCUAAAGCACGAAUGGCCAAGUGGAUGGGGAAUGUUAACAUCGCUUGUCAAACGAUCAAAUUAACGAAUUUUUAACACCGAAGAACCUAAUUAAUUAGACUUCAAGUCUCACGGUAUUGAAAGAAACAAUGAUCAUAAGAAAACACAUCGUAAUUUCGGAAAAUUAAGAUUCUAGGGUCCAAAGAACUUCGCCUAAAACGCUGCACUGAGCCAUUGAUUAUAAAGCAAGCAGAAGAAAUUAGGUUCCACAAUGAUUUCCCGGAAGGAAAAUGUGGAACAUACCCAAACGAAAACAACCCCACCAACCGUACGAAAACAGUCGAAACCUAACAAAAACUGAAAAACAUAGGAACGAGGAAUUACCAUCGGUCUCAAGGCAAAUUCUACACUGAAUUUGUUCCCCUUGACCAGCUUCAAGGUCGAUCUCACUAGGGUCGGUGAUCGGCGCCGGAGGAAUAAGAGGGGAAGAAUCUGACGGUUGACCCGCCAUAAGGAGUUAAGAAGCGGAAAAACACAAAAAAAAAAAAAAAAUGGUGGGAAAAAAGUGGAGGAGAAUUAGGAUAGCAUGAAGAAGAAAUAAGGGAUCUCCAUGUAAAAGAGUUGUAAGCCCAGAGAGAAUAAUAAUGGUGAAGCAGGAAGAAAGCAAGAGAUUGUGUAGAAGUGUAGAGCAGAAAGUGGUUGAAUGUCUUUCUUCCCAAAAUGGCCACAGCCUUCACCAUUUUUUGACCAACUUAUCCUUCAAUCCCUUAAAACUCUUUUCUAUUUCUAUCACAUCAAAUUUUAUAACUCAUUCUUUUUUUUUUUUUUUUUUCAAUUACAAAAUUUUAUAUCAAUUUAGUUCAUAAAUAUUUUAAUACUAUGAAGCUGGAGUAUGAAGUUUUGUUUGCCAACAAAUUGGCUUAUAAACAGUCACAAUCAUAACUACUAUAUAUAAAUUGAAAUUUGAAUUAUUGUUUGUUUUUUUUUAAUUUUUAAUUUAAGUAUUGAUUCGAUGCCUUUUCAAAAAUACCAAAUCCUCACAACUUUUUUCAUUAAAUUUAAGUUUUCUUUUUCUAUCCACAACAAUUCCAACGUAAAAAUGAUAAAUGUGUUGUAACUUCUAUAAGAAAUCUUUUUUAUAAGAAAAACAAAUUAUCUAUACGUUACACGUAAUUUGCAGUUAGUUGGGUUUAUAUGAUAAAUUUACAAUACCUUAGUUUAUUACUUGGUAUAAGAAUAAUAAAAAUCUAUUUACGUAAUAUUUAUAAUAUUAUCAUUAUUAUUUAACAUUUCUUUGGUUAUUUUUAUAAUGUUGUCCUUAUUACUUAUUAUUUAACAUUACUUUGGUUUUUCUCCAAUGAUAAUUAUUUAUUAAUAAAAUGUGAUCUCCUUUCAUUAUCAAAAAGAAAUAUAAAAAAAUCUGAACUCAUAUUACUCUUUUAUUUCCUUUGUUGCCCUUUACCCUUUAUAUGAAAAAUAGGGAGAGAAUAGUUUAAACAAUGUGAUUUGGGCAGCGAAAAGUGAACUCCUUCCAUUAUCAAAUUAAUUAAAGCAUUGAAACUAAUCGCCGUUUAUCACUGCUGCAGCUAAAAAAGUUCAAAGGUACUCUAAAAUUAUGCAGCGGAGACAUAAUUACUAAUUUGGAACACAUCCUAACAAACGUUCUCAAGAAGCUAAAAUAAAAAUUUUUAAAAGAAAAAAAAAAAAACCCAAAAGUCGGGGGAACAAAGCUACAUAUGAAAAGUGUCUAUGUCCGCUUUUUCAUCUCCCUAUUUUUUUUUACUUCUUCCUCUUCUUGGGAGGCUGGAGUGCUUCCUCGUCUUCGUCCUCGUCCUCUUCGUCCUCGUCAUCUGCUACUUCGUCUUCAUCCUCUCCACCAUCAUCAUCGUCGUCGUCAUCACCAUCUUCGUCGUCGUCAUCCUCAUCGCCAUCAUCGUUAUCAUCAUCAUCAUCACCAUCAUCGUCUUGAUCCUCCUCCCCGUCAAACUCUUCUUCUUCCUCUCCAUUCUCUUCCGCCCCACCAGCUCCACCCUCUGGAUUCUUCUUAGAAUUACUUUUGUUAUUAUCGUUGAGGUUGUUGGUGUAGUCAUCUCCAUCUUCAGAUGAUAAAUCCUCUUCACCUUCACCUUCACUCAAGUCGCCAUCCCCAUCACCUUCAUCGUCAUCAUCAACAUCUCCUCCAGCAUCGAGCGGUGUGGACGAGGGGCACAGGGUGGAACUAUCUCCUUUCAUUUCAGGAUUGAUCAGAAAUGCACCAAGAGAAUCCUGCAACAAAAUUCCCAAGAGUACAAUGGUCCAUAAGGUUAAGCAUGUCAGCGACCAAAAACAUCACUUCAAAAAUGGUCGUUGCAAUCAAAGAAAAACAGACAGAGAAACCACACAAGGACUAUCAAUUUCUAUGUUCCUUAUACACUUGAACUCAACAUAGUAGGCAAUAGAUUUUAAUGAAAACAUUAAUGCUAAAACAACGUAGCCGCUACCAGUUCACCUGAAUUUCCUUUUAAAAAGUCAAAUUGAUAGUAAUGCCUCAGAAUUUCUUUUGUUUUACAAUUUCAAAACAUGAUGAUUAGUAACGAUAAGGACAUAUUAAAAUAUUUAACAGAAUAUGAUGGGACAUAUUAACAGAAAUGAAUAGUAUGGCAGGCGUACAUUUGUUUAUUCCCCCCCGUCUCAGUCCUCCAAUUUGACAAUCUCUGUUUUUACUUUAACCUCCUCCCCUUUUUAUUUUAUUUUUUCCCCAUGUCUUUUCUUGUCGGGAUCUGGUCACCAACCAAAGUGAUAAAGAACCCACUUUAACGUUUAAAUUACCCACUAAUUUUAAUCAGCUACUUCAAUUGAAUGUCAUAAAUGGCAUCCAUUAAGAAGCAGAAAGGCAGAGGAUGGUGGGAAGGGAAUAAACUUCCCAAUCACAAUCGGGCGGGCACUAUCAUAAGCUAGAAAUAGAUACAGGAAGAUGAAAAGAUAAUCUUUUGGGCACUAGAAACCACGUAUUAAGAUUGAUUCCUAAUCCAACAAUUCUCAAAAAAGUCGCAAAGUACUCCAAGAAUUAUUCGACACCGAGUCCAAAGCAUAAUAUUCCAACAACAAAAGAAAAAGGUGACAUCUCCCUAUCUUAACAAUUGUUUAGUGAAAUAUUUCACAUGAAACGAAUAAACUUUGGAGCAUAGCUUUAUUUAUUUUAUUCUUAAAUGGAAAUAAAAUGAAAUUCCGUGUCAAUCAUCAAUAGUAUCUUCAACCACUGAAAUGAAGUGAAUUAAAAGAGGGAUAUGGCGUGUCAUUCAAGUUGUCGGUUGAGGGUCAUUUCCGUAAAUUCAGCAUCAAACCUCAACGAACCCAUCAAGUGGGGUCAAGAAAAUGAUGGCCCAAUAGCAAAAAAACAAAGGGAGAAAGAUAAAUCCAAAAGAAUCAAUCCCAUGACGCGUGAUUACAGUAAUUUCCUUGAAAAAAUAAAAAUGAAAAGUUUUCAACUUUUUAUUUUAUUAAUUUGUAGAAAAAGUUUUUGUUUUUUGGGUUUGAAAAGAUCAACCAAAAUAAUCUAAUGGAAGCCGUACGAUGGGAAUCAGUUAGCCAAACGGAAGGAGUGGCAGUGAAUGGAUCUGUUGGAUAUUUUUCUCACCUAUCCUACAGCUUACUUUAUCGACUAAGGCUCAGCCGAAAUCGGCAAACAUCAAAACGGUUGGCCGAAGCCGGGGGACUUCCAUAAAAAAACACACAAAAAACCAUCCAGUAAAAACCCAUUUGAAACAUAAUUUUUCCUCGAUAUGAAAAGCAUAUCAACUAGAAACAUUCAUUAACUGGGCAGAUAGAACUCAGAAAUUACAGAUAAGGUGGUAAUUAAAAAGGUUAGAGACAGAGAGGGGCCUUGCCUGAGCCAGGCGCUGGGUGUUGACCAGAGCCGAAGCUAGUAAAGCAGCUAAGCAAUUACUGGCGCAUGCCAGUGAGCCAUCACCGAGCGUGACACCUAAUGAAGCAUUUGCUAUCUCCAUUCGCGCGGCGACUGUUCCCUGCAAAUGGAUCAAAAAACACUGAUGAGAGAUGUGGUCGCCGUCAGAUCUGUCUCCAAAAAUUCAACAGCCGUUAAAAAAUGAAAAAAUGAAAACCUAAAAAUUAUAACAAAACAUAACUCCACCGGAAAUUCUCUCAGUCUCUCAGUCUCUCAGUCAGCCCCUUCCCCUACCGUGUUGAUUUGGUAGUUUCUACCGCCUAUCCUGAGGUUUGACCGCAGACAAUAAAUCCAAAAAGACUCAUUCUAAGACAUAUUCAAAUACCUUUUUUAAAAAGAGCAUAAGAAGUUUUCUGACGCAUCCUCUAACAAGCAGAGGGACCUAAACUUUCAGUGAAGCAAAAAAUUCCAGUGUUCAUAAAGUCAACGGUAAAUCCAUCCCAAAAGUUACAAAAAGCGUAGAUAUACGAGAAAUUAAACUCCACACAGCACAGAAAUUCAGUUAAGUCGUUCAGAAACGACCCCGAAACACUAGUAAAGUGAAGAACAGCAAAGAAGGUGAAGCAAAAAAAGCAGAAAACAAGAAAAGAUGAAGCUCAAAUAGGGGAAACAAAACAGAAACAGAUAGAAGGAAGAAAAAAAAGGAAUUAAGAGAAAAAGCAUACCGAGAAGAGAGAUCAGAGCAGAGAGAUGGUAGAUCUGGAGGUAUGGAGAUCUAAAACCACAGAAAAGAAGGAGGAGAAGGGAGGUUCAUUGUGGACCGUCGGAUCGAGAUCGAAAAGACAAAAGAGAAACGAAGAUAUAGAAUUAUCGGCGGCACUCAGAGAAGGGGGGGGGGGGGGGGGUUGAGAGGGAAAGAGGUGAGAGAGGGGAAGUGAGAGAAGCGAGUGCGAUUACUGGAGACCGACUGCCCGUAAUUUUCCAGUCCGGUAUCGGGCAGAUCGGGCAGCGUCGUAAUCUUGUAAAAAAGACCGCGUUUUAAGCUGCCCAAUGAGCCUCGAUGGACAGGUGUGGGUUCGGAUAAACUUUUCUCUUCUAUUUUUCCCUUUGGUCCUUUCUUUUUUUCCUUUUUACUUUUUCAGCAACCAGUUUUUCCAUUUAUUACACAAACCUUCCUCCAACGAAAACUGUCUUUUUCAUAAAGUCUUCGUCCCCCCCCUUUUUUUCUUUUUUCCUUCCCCCCCUCUUCUUCUUCUUCUUCUUCCUCUUCCUCUUUUAAAUCAUUCUUAUUUAAAUUUAAUAUGGCUUCAACUUUAAGCAUCUGAACAACUCUUUAUCUUCAGACUAAAAGUAUAGUAUUCAAAUUAUUAUUAUUCCUAAAUAAGAACAGUAUCGUCAGACCAGACUCAGUCCACCAGGAACUCCACAUCCUUGAUUAUAAAUUAAUAUCAAUGAAAGGAUAUUGUUAAUUUAAGAAUAAACCGAUAGAGCUUAGAUUUUAAGCAAGAGGGAGGUAUGGGCCUGUUUUAACAACCAGGCCCAGGCCCAUUCUUGGUCCAAUUAACCAUCUUCUUCUGGAAGGAUCAAAAGCUCCUCCACUUUAAAACCAUGGAAGAUGUUUAAUAACCCUAAUCCAUGUAUUUUCAGGAAUGGGGACACAGAUGGCUUAUAUUUUAAAUUUUCAAAACAAUUACCUUUUGAAAUAUGUCAUUACCCGUAGUUAUAAUCUAUGAACUAAAUGCAGUCAUGGUAGGUUCUUUGGCAAAGCAGAGAACGCCUUCUCUGGAAAAGGUUCGGAUAAAAGAAUAAUAGAAACUACAAAAUAAAUAUCACACGGGAAGCCUCGGUUCUUAUUUUGUUAUAAAUCAAUAGGUUGAAGCAAACUUAGCUCAACUUGCAUUUCCUUUCUUAAGAGAAUGAAGAUUUGAUUCAUUUUCGUUAUUAUACUAAAAAAACCAAUAAAAACUUAUC
rnacentral:lncRNA from 1 species